rnacentral:lncRNA from 1 species
UUUUUUUUUUUACAUAAGGUAUAAUUUAAAAGUGUUAAAUAUAAUGAACGUUUACCUAUUAAGGAUUUGAAUUAAUUUCAAAAUCAAUUAAAUAAUAAUUAUUUUAUAACAAAAGUUACUUAAAAAAUAAUUUAUACGUUUUAAGGCAUAUGUAAUACAGAGUUGUUUGCUUAAUUAGAAUCCUAAUUUUGGUAUGCUUUUCGUUUUUUGGUAAUACUAAUCGUGGUAUGCUACUAAAGAAGAAAAAAAGAGAUUUUGUGUUUUCUUGUCUUGAAAUUUAAUCCCGUUUGUUUUCAUAUUUUUUUUUUUCCUUAAAACCAGUUUACUAUUGGUAGAAGGAAAUCUAAGUAAGUAAAAAUAUUAAUUAACUAUAACUGACACCUAACAAAAUUUUCCAUAAAAUUAGGAGUGUUCCCAUAUAUUUGAGUUUUUAAAUUUAUUUUUUAUAUAUAUUUAUUAAAGUCAAUAUUUAAUUUUAAUAAUAAUUAUUUGAGGAAAAAAAUAAAAAGACGAUUUUAUUUAUUGCAAAGUCUUUUAAUGAAGGGCAAAAAGUUCAAAUCACUUUUCUAAGGGUCUUCACACUUUUAAUAUAUUAUAUAAUAUAUAUAUAUAUAAUUAUUUGAUUCUCCUAAUUUUUUUUCUUAUUAUAUAUUUCAGGACUCAUUAAUUUUAAAAAUGAUUAAUUAAAAGUUUUUGAUAUAAAAUCUUGAUUAUUAAAAUUUUUGAUGUUUAGAAAGUGUACUUAAGUCCUAAUAUUUAGAGGUUCCAUAAAUAGAUAAUAACAAAAUAUGAGAGGGUGUUUCUUAGUUUCAUAAUUUGAUCGUAAUCCACCAAUUAUGGAUUACUAAGGAAUCCACCAGUUAUGGAUUAUUAUUGGCUCGACCACAAUUACCUUGAUUGUAAUUACUACCUACUAUCCAUUAGUUUGUAUCUGAAUUUAAUGGUAUUUUGCUACCAUUGUUAAGUACUUAAGUUGAUUUGACUAAUUAAGUGAUCAAUUAAUUCUUUCCAUAUAUUUUUUUGAAUCUAUAUAUUUUAGAAUUCAUAUAUUUUAGGUAGACAUUUUUUUUUUUUUUUUAUAUAUGUAUGUUAUUAGGAUCCCAAAUAUUUUAGGAGACUUUAAUUUAAUAAAUAAUAAUUAAAAAAUAUACGAAAAGAUGAUUUUGUCUAUUACGACUUCUUUUAAUGAAGGAAAAAAAGUUCAAAUCACUUUUCUAAUGGUUUUCACACUUUUAAUAUAUUAUAAAUAAUUGUUUACCUUGAGAUUUAAACAGUAGUGUAAUAUUAGACUUUGUUUGUGAAUAGGUCUAUGGUGACUAUUUAAUGCGGAUUUACUAUCAAGAAGGAAAAAGAAUAAUCUAAAAUUAAGAAAUUUGUUAUAUAUGGGAAAUCUUAAUACUAUUCACGAAUUGUGAGAUCAUUGGGACACCACCGAUUAUUUAAAAGAGGAAAAAGACCUUUAACUUCCUAUAAAUUAGAUUUCUUCCACAAAUUUUAGGUUGAAAAGUUGUUAUCUAUUCACGUGUACAAAUUCUAUGAAUUUAGAUUUUUUCCAUGUAUUAAUAUAUCUUUAAUAAAAGUCCUAACACCUAACAAAUUUGAAAAAACAGAAAAGACCGUGUAUUUGUAUAUCAAAAAGAAAUCUUCAUCAAAACUUUCGUUUUUUUACCUCCUAUUAUAUUGUAUAUUUCAGGAAUCCCUUUUUAGGUAGAACAUAAUCCUAUUAUAUAUUUUUUUUCUUAUCAUACAUGUUAGGGCUUUUUUAAUUCUCAGAAGUUAUAACUAAUAAUAUAAAAAUAAUUAAAUAAUAAUUUUAAAAAAAAUAAAAAAAUGAUUUUAUCUAAAGAGGAGUCUUGUAAACAGGAGCAUAAAAUUCAAAUCACUUUUUUAAGGAUUUCACACUUUUGAUAUAUUAUAGAUUAUAGAUAGAUAUAGAUUAUAGAUUAUAGAUAAAGAUAAUAAAUGACUAUUAAAUUAUUUAGCUGGCAUUUGUGUCUUUAUUUUUAUAUAUCUUACAAAUAAUUACUGCUAAUUAUAUUAAACUAAAAUCAUAUGAGAAAAAUAGCAAAGAAACGAUUUUAUCUAUUGUGUACAAUUAGUUGUAGUGACUUUAUGUUAGGAUACAGAUGACCGACAUAGUUUUUUAACUAUGAAAUGUUGCAAUACAAAAAAAUUAACAUGAAAGACAUUUUAAUUGGGAAGAAAAUUUUGCAACUAAUUUUAUUUUCUUUAUAUUAGGACACGGAUGCCCAACACAAUAUUUUUAGUUAUGGAAUGUUUCAAAAAAUAUUAGCUAACCACAAAGUACUUAUCAAUUAACAUUAGUAAUUAAAUUAAAAUUAUAUGAGUAAAAUAGUAAAAUUGACUAGGAUGUUGUUAUACUUGGUGUGUUCAAGAAAUCUAUAAUCUAUAUCUAUCUCUACAGCUUAUAAUCUAUAAUAUAUUAAAAGUGUGAAGGGCGUUAGAAAUAUUUUUUGAAAUUUUUAUCCUUCAUUAAAAGUCUUUGCUUUAGACAAAAUCAUCUUUUUCAUAUUUUUUAUAAUAUUUAAGUGUUAAAAAUUAAUUAAAUAUAUUUAUGGUAAAAACUUUUCUUUUUAGAAGUCAUCAGAAUUAAUAAUUUUUUUAAUAUUUAAGUGUAGAAAAUUAAUUAAAUAUAUUUUGGUAAAAUAUUUUCUUAUUAUAAGUCAUCAGAUUUAAUGACACGAAAAACUUUUUUCAUUAGUUUAACAAUCCUAAAUCAACUAAAUUUGAUUUUAAGAAGAUUUGAAAAUCUAGAAAUAAAUAUAAAAGUGUUAAAAUAAGAAAAAUUUAAGAAGUACCAAAUUUUAAAAAUUUGAAGUACGUAAUAAAAAUGCAAUCAAUAAUUUGAUAAAUGGUAAAUAUUUGACUUUAAAAACAAGAAAAAAAUUUAAAUAUAGGAAAAAAUAACCGUGCCACAAAUAUGGUUCAAAUUGAUGCAUCUCUCUUUAGCCUCUAGCAGCAAGGGAAGAGGUACUGCAUGACAAACGCAAAAGUGAUGGUCGAUCAAUCACUUGAAACUUUUGAUGUUAAAAUAUAUAUAUGUGCUUAUACUAAAAUGCAUGUUUAUAUUUACAUUACUAUAUUAAAAUGUGAAGUAUCUUCAAAAAAUAAGUUGAAAUUUUAAAUGUCACUAAAAGUAUUUGCAAUAAAUAAAAUCAUUUAGUUUUAAAUAAUCAAAUAUUAUACGUCCGAGGCACGUGCGGUUAAACUAGUAUCCCGAAAUAUGUAUAAUAUGUGUAUACUAAUUGUAUAGAUCUGUAUAAUAAGUGAGAAUUUAUACAUUUAUUAUAUUGUUAUAAUAAUACAUUUCUUAUAUACAUAGAGAUACAUAUUUUAUACAAUAACGAUACAGUUUCAUUAUGUACGAUACAUUUUUCAGAUAUAUACAUAUUGAUACAAUUUCUUUACUAUGAUAAGAAUAGUUGUAUUCAUUAGUGAUACAAAAAUGAUACAAUUUUUUCUGCACAUAAUACAUUUUUCGUGGACAUAUAGUAGUGAUACAUUUUUUAUAUAGUAAUGACAUUAUUUUAUACGGAACAAAACUAUGUUAAAGAGGCAAAAAAAAAAUUUCUAAGCUUCUUGAGCCAUCUGAUAUUCAUCAUUUCUAUUCUUGUCGGCUUGUCCACAUAAUACCAUUCUCUACUUGUAAUCAUUAACAAUAGAAGCCAAAGAAAAUUUUGUAUUUUGCUAUGAAUUGUUUUCGUCGCAAAUAGUUGAAUUAUUCAACUACAAAUUUUAAAGUUGUCACUAUUUAUACCUUGAAAAUUUUGUGACAAAUUUUUAUUGUCACUAAAUCAAUAGAUUGAUUAGAGACAAUAAAAUGAUCGUCACUUAUUAUAUACUAUAAUAUUAGUGACCAAAACUAAUGUCGCAAUUAAAUAUAAAAUUUAUGGUUAAAGCUUACAACAUUUAACUACAAAAUAUAAUUUAUCACUAUUGUAACAACAUAUUUUUUAUCACUAUUAAUUUUGUGUUAAAAAAUUAAUUAAGUUUAAGACAAAAAGUUGAUUUGUCACAAACUAGAUAAGCAAUUAGUGACCAAAUAAUGUGUCACUGAUAAUACAUAAUUCGUGACUAAUGUUGCUUAAUAAAAUGGUGCCAACUCAUUUUUUGACGGGAAACUUUAGAGAACAACAUUGUGCUACGAAAAUUUAUAUUUUAUCUCUAAAAAUAUGUGACAUGUAUUUAACGACGAAAAAUAACUUUUGUCAUUAAAAGCGAACAAUUAGUGACAAAUUAUAUAUCGUAGCUAAGAAAUUUUAGCUAAAUAUCACAUUUGUUGUAGUGCGCCUCCUCCACCUAUUUAUUGCAAACAAUGAAAGAGAGUAGCGAACUAAAACUUCUUUUCAAUUUGAUAAAAAAGAAAAAAUCUGUGUGAAGGUACGUACGGUUGCUUCUUUACUAGAGAGCUUAACACACUUAAACACAUGAUUUAAGUCCAAAAGGGCUCCAACGCCCAUAUUACAUAGAUUAGCGUGACACUGUUCACGCUUUUAUUUCAUAAAUAGACGCUCAAGCAUAUUACAGAGAUUAGCAUGACACUGUUCAUGCUUUUAUUUUUCAUAGAGACACAGUGAAUAGGCAAUAUUUGGAUCACAAUUCCUAGGGCAAGCUUUUGGGUUGUUGGGGUCAGACUCUCCUUCACAAAUGAAAGUCCCGUCAGCGCUGUAAUAGUUGCAACCCUUACGGCCUGCACAGCAAUUGGUGCAUAGGCGAUUUUCUGCGUUUCCUUCGGAACGUGGACAUUUUGAAUAGGCAAUUCUUGUAUCACAAUUCCGAGGGCAAGCUUUUGGGUUGUUGGGGUCAGACUCUCCUUCACAAAUGAAAGUCCCGUCAGCGCUGUAAUAGUUGCAACCCUUACGGCCUGCACAGCAAUUGGUGCAUAUGCGAUUUUCUGCGUUUCCUUCGGAACGUGGACAUUUUGAAUAGGCAAUUCUUGUAUCACAAUACCGAGGGCAAGCUUUUGGGUUGUUGGGGUCAGACUCUCCUUCACAAAUGAAAGUCCCAUCAGCACUGUAAUAGUUGCAACCCUUACGGCCUGCACAGCAAUUGGUGCAUAUGCGAUUUUCUGCGUUUUCUUCUGAACAAGCCUUGGCAUCAACAUGUAGAAGCAAUAUUUCUACAAUAAAUAUAUAAGCUAUAUAUAAAUAUUAAGAAAAAACAUAUCACCACCUUUGUGUAUCACUACUACAAAAUCAAUAUUUUCCUACUAAAAUUUGCCGCAGAAAAAUGUACUUAAUAUUUAAAAUUAGGAAGCUUUCUAGUGUUUCAAUAUGAAACUGUUUCUCACCAUACGUUUUCCAGUAAUCAGUAAGGUGAGAAACGGAUGGAAAAAUCAUGUUUUCCUCUAUCUCUAACAGUGUAUAUACUAAUGAAGAAAUUAAAUAGAAAAAGGAGAAAGGAAAAUCUUACCAAGAACAAGUAGGAAAGCAAGGAAACUAACUUCUUUGUGAACAGCCAUAUUAUGAAUCGGUGGUGAUUAUUUACCUUGUUUUUGUUAUGGAUGAGGAAGUCUAACCAUCACCACCUAUUUAUAGCAAACAAAUAAAAGAUACUUGGCUAACUAAAAAUUUUAUUUCACAUUAAUAUAAAAUUGAAAAUUAGGUACUUCUGCUUGAUUCAUUAUUAGAAAUCUUAUUUUUUUCCUAGUUGUUAUAUUCUGUACUGACCCCAACUUGUUUGUUUUUGAAAUAUUUGUCGUCUUGCAAUAAUUUUCUUCUGCACGUGAUAAGUUGCAUAAAUAUCACUCUAAUUUUUGUGGACAAAAUUAUUUUGGCAAUAGAUAUUAUGUGAAUCAAACAAAUGGCUCACUCAGAAAUUUGCAGCCUGAAUUGGACCACCCGAAAAGAAGAGGAUUGAGAGUGACCCAAAGUAAAAAAUAAAAGAAAAUCUCUUUCAUAACAUUAAAUUUAUUACACUUAAAGAGUAAUAAAUAGAUAUGCAUUGUGUAAACACAAAACAUGGUUGGUCGCGGAUAAAUGAUAGACAAGUAACCCUCCAGAUUUAUGCUAAGGCGUUCUGAUAAAUGGUUAAUGUGUCUGAAUACACGGCUCAAGCUCGGUGAAUCUGAGGUUAGUCGCUUGUAUCCGUAUGUAUUUUAGUUAUCCAAUUUUUAAAAUCAAGAGUAUUUUUUCAUAUAUUUUUCAUUUUACCCUUGAUAGGAAUAUUAAAUACAUUCGCAAAUUUUAAAAUUAUUGAAUGGUGCAUAAAUAAUCUCAAUUCUCAAUAUUAAAUAAUUAUUAAUGAAAAAGUGUAUAUAUACCCCUAACCUUUGAUAAAUGGUACAAAUAUACCCGCCGUCAUACUUUAAGAACAAAUAUAUCCUUACCGUUACUGAAAAGGUAUAUAUAUAACUUUGAACUUCUAUAAAUGGUACAAAUAUACCCCGGCCAUACUUUAGGUACAAAUAUACUCUUUUUGUUAAUGAAAAGGUACAUAUAUACCUCCUCAUAACGGUAGAACAUGUGUCGCAAUCUUGUUCAUUUGCCCUUUUUAAUUUAAUUUAUUCCCACCCUACCCGAAUUAAUUCUAAUUUAACCCACAAGCUGAUCUAAAUAAUAAUUCAAACUCGACCCGGUCUAACAGAAACUUCAAGAUGCAUCUCUAUUCACGCAUAUUCAUUUUCUCUUUCUCUUUCUAUUAGAUAGGGUUGGGUUUGAGUUAUUAGUUGGAUUGAGUUAUGAGUUAAAUUAGAAUUGUUUUGGGUGAGGUUAGGAUAAAUUAAAUUUAAAAAAGGCCAAAUGAACAGGAUUGUAACACGUGUCCUACCUUUAGUGAGAAGGGUAUAUAUGUAUCUUUUCAUUAAUGCAAAAGGGUAUAUUUGUAUCUAAAUUAUGUCGGAAGAUAUAUCUGUACCAUUUAUCAAAGUUCAGGGCUAUAUAUGUACCUUUUCAAUGAUGGCACGGGUAUAUUUGUACUUAAAGUAUGACGGAGGAUAUAUACAUACCAUUUAUCAAAGUUCAUGAGCUUAUUCGUAUCUUUUUUCGAUAAUAUAAUAAAAAAGACAACACCUCAGCAGAGAUUGAUCCCAUGGUCCUGAGAAAUUCAUUCCAUGUCAUUAAGCCAACAUUCUUUGUGUUUAUGAUUUCCCAUCUAUAGUAUUUUAUGGACUUAUUCUAUUUUUAAAUAUAUUUACCAAAUCUAUCGAUAGCGGGUGGGAAUUCCUGGGAACCCCAUCAACACUGUAGAUCUGCCCCUGAUUCUGCUAUAUUAAUAGAUUAUUAACAUGAAGUGUAUAUAAACGUCAUAACCAAUAACCUAUACCCUUUAUUAUGGUACUUGGAAGACUACAUAACAAAGUACGAAUGAUUCAGAAAAUUGCAAAGGAAUUUCUGAACAACACUGCAUACAAGAUAUUAGGAUAACAACUAAGGAAUCGAUAGUAGCCUUAAGAUAGAUAAAAAGAGAAGAAUUUUGUCUUUUCUAUACAAUUACCGCAACGGUUAGGUUUGAUUAUAGGUACCAUCUAUUUUGAACCUUGCCAAAACCUUCAUCCAACAUGUAUAGGCCGUAUCAAGACCUGAUAUAAGGGUAAGCCAAUAGCAAAUGACCUUUUCGUCCGUGCAUCCUCAACCUAUAUUUUACAUUACCGUUAUCUAUAUAAACAAAAUCGACCAAUUAAGUCGCCCUUACACUUGCAGAUAGUUGAACAAAGUGAUAGUAUGAUUACGGAUGAGAAAGAGAUUAUAUUAGUAACACAUGCAGAAAUUAAGUUAAAUGUAUUUGUUCACACAACAAAUACAAUCUGUAACAACUUUAAAAAUUCGGACGUGAAGUUACAAAAUUUUGUCCAAACAAAAGACAAAUUCUACAUUUUAUCAUGAUUUUUCUGUAAUCAAUCGAUCUGUUUUUCGAUUCCCUUCAAUAUAUUGCAAGUUGUGAACCACUAAUACAAAAAGAACAUGCAUAUUUAUAUGACCGCAUCAUGUUUUGACGUGUGUAUCAAUUAAAUAGAAGGACAACUAGAUGCACAAAAUAUUUCGCGUUAAGAUUGCACUUUUUGAGAGCAUUGAUUUUUCACCUUUUCAAAUCCAAAACAGCUCAAGUACUAUUACCCACCCAACCGAAUGACUCUCUUCUGCAAAGCAACAGUUAAUGCAAACUUGAGUAACCUUGGCCUAUUCAGAAGACAGAUAAGUCAUGUAAGCAACUCUAGGGUCACAUUCUUGAGUACAAACCCGGGCAAAGUUGUCAAAUGCCCAUUUUCAAAACUUUCUUUAUCAUAUUUAGAAACAAGUCUUGAAAAAUUGGCCAAAUGACACCAUUUAUGAUGUCAUCAUAUAUUUUUUCAAACUUAACAAAUCUAACAUACAAGUUUUUACUAAUACACUUUGACCCCUUCUUCUCAUCCCUAAUUAUGUUCAAAAUAUCAUUUCAAAAUAUUUUAAAAAAAAUUCAAAAGCUUAAAAAAGAAGCUCCCAAUUUCCCUUUAAAAUUCUCUAUUUCAGGCACGAUUUCAGAGAUUUUUUUCGACGAUCAGCUCAAAAUCCGUCCACAAAUGUCAUAAUCUUGUUCAUUGCAUCAAUUGUUACCCCAUUUGUUUAUUAUUUUCUCAAACACACUUUCCACUAUUGUUAUAAAGCUUCCAAAUCAUUCACAUUAUGCAAAACCUCUUUAGAAUGUACAUUACAGUAGCUCAGGUGACUCUAACUUCAUUUCUCUAGUCCAUAAAACCUACGAUUGUUCAAUAGAAGUAUUUUUUGCACUUUCAAUGCUUUGUACGGAUAUCUUCCCAAUCAACGACCAUUCAUAAAACAGACAUAUACCACUAGCAGAAUCAAGGAUUAGCUCCAGUAUACUUUUAGGAUGUCAGUUAUGAUUCGGACAAAGUAAGAAAACCACAAGUAAAAGAAAACAAGAACAACACACAGAUUUAUGUGGAAACCUUUGCUAGAAAAACCACAGGCAGAGGAAAAUAAGGUUUCACUAUAAUAGAGAGAGAGUACAAUAUGGAGAAGGCUGAAUUUUUUGAAUACCCAAAAUAACCCACUAAAUGCACUUAUAUAAUAUGUGCAUACAAAUAAGUCCUAGGCCCUAAAACAUAAAGGUCCAUAUCGGGCCGCUACGCUACCAUCACAGACCCCAUUGAAAAUCACCAACAUGGGUAUCACGGCAAAACUUUCUGGGCCAGAUCAAUAAAAUUUGGGUCACAACUCUAACAAUAUCCACUUUGACAUGAAUUCUAAUUCAGAACUCAAAUCCAAUUCAAGACAAACUCUCCACUUCUUCCAUAAAAGCUCCUAAGGGCACAUAUUAACAGCUAACACUACCAAGUUCAAGCAAUGCUCAAACUUGGCGCUUGGUAGUAUCUUGGUCAUUAUAUCAGCAGGAUUAUCAUGAGUACAAAUCUUUCUCACCACAAUAUCACCACGAGCAAUAAUUUCAUGCACAAAAUGAAACUGAACAUUGAUGUGCUUUGUCCUUUCGUGAAACAUCUGAUCUUUUGAGAAAGAUAGCACUCUGACUGUCGCAAAAAAUUAUAGUAAUCUUUAAGUCUUUGCUAAGUUCACCGAACAUAUCCUUCAACUAAAUAACUUCCUUGAAAGCUUCUGUAAUAGCCAUAUACUCUACCUCAGUAGUUGAAAAAGUAACUGUAGUCUGCAAGGUAGCUUUCCAACUAAUAGCACAACUACCAGUGGUGAAAACAUAGCCUAUAAGGGACCUCUUUUUAUCAUGAUCUCCUGAAAAAUCAGCAUCAACAUACCCGAUUACUCCAUCUAUAUUUCGCCAAACUGCAAACAAACAUCAGUAGAUCCAUGAGAGUAUCUGAAAAAAUCCACUGAAUUGUUUUCCAAUGUUCUUUGUCAGGAUUUUCCAUGUAUCUACUAACUGCAUAAGAUAAAUCUGAUCGGGAACACACCAUCUCAUACAUAAGAGACUCGACGACACUAGAGUAUGGAACUCGAGACAUAUAGUCACGCCCAUCAUCUGUCUUUUGAGAUAAAGUGACUGAAAGUUUGAAGUGAGCUGCCAAUGGAGUACUUACAGGUUUGAAGUGAACCUGUGAAGCACUUUCUCAAUAUACCUUUUCUGACUCAAGUAUAACUUACGCUUCUCUUUAUUCCUCAUAAUUUCCAUGCCCAAAAUCUUCUUUGCUGCUCCUAGAUCCUUUAUCUCAAAAUCCUUGCUGAGCUGGGCUUUGACUUUUUUUUAUCUCUUUCAUAUCCUUUACAACAAUCAACAUACAAGAGAAGAUACAUGAACAAACCAUCACUCACCUUCUUAAAGUAGACACAACUAUCAAUACUACUCCUUCAAAAUAUAUGAGAGGUCAUAAAAGAGUCAAACCUCUUAUACCACUACCCGGAAGACUGUUUAAAUCCAUAAAGAGACUUUUUUAGUAAGCAUACAUAGUCCUCCUUUCCCGAGACUACAAAACCCUCUGGUUGCUGCAUAUAGAUAUCUUCCUUAAUUUCUCCAUAUAAGAAUGCAGUUUUGACAUCCAACUGCUCAAGCUAAAUAUCAUGCAUGUUCACAAUACUAAGCAAGGCUCAAAUCGAACUAUGCUUUACAACUGGAGAAAACACAUUGUGAAGUCAACACUUGGAACUUGACUGUAACCUUUAGCAACUAGUGUUGCUUUGUACUUAGCAUCUUCAACUCCGAAUGUUCCUUCUUUCUUUUUGAAUACCCACUAGCAAUGGACAACUUUUUUAUCUUUAGGCAAUCUUACCAGAUCCCAUGUGUCAUUCUUAUGAAGUGAUUCUAUCUCCUUUUGCAUAGCAAUCAUCCAUCGAUAGAAAUCAUCACAACUAACUGCCUCUGAGUAAGAAGAAGGAUCUUCACGGAAUUAAUACCUUCUUCUACACUUAAUGCAUAAGCAACCAAAUUAGCCUCAGCAUACUUCUGAGAAGGCCUAAUAUCUCUUCUAGGGUUGUUUUCAGCAAUCGAAUAUUGUGGCACCACUGGUGAUGAAGAAGAAAUAGUAUCACUUUGUAUCUCCGAGCUAGACUGAGAAGUAGGCACUGGUGUAGACUUUGCUCCAAUGUGCAAUUCAACAUAGGUGCUUGACUUUGGCUGAUUCAUGUCACUAAGAUCAUCUGGAGGUGAAGCACUAGAUUCGGAGGGAGCCCGAAGCAUGGCAGAUUCAUCAAACGCAACAUUCUUGCUAAUUAUAACCUUUCUGCUUUCUAGACACCAAAGAUUGUAACCUUUAACACCAGGCUUAUAACAUAUAAAUAAACACUUAACAGAUAUAGGCUCUGAAUUUUCAUUAUCAACAUGAGCAUACACAAGACAUCCAAAUAUCCUCAAAUCAGAAUAACUAGCAGGAGUACCAGUCUAUACCUCUUGUGGAGUCUUUUUAUCAAUCACUAUUGAGGAAGAACGGUUAAUAAGAAGACAAGUUGUGGAAGUAGCUUCAGCCCAAAAAGACUUGGGUAAACAAGCAUUAGAGAACAUACAACACACCUUCUUCAUUAUAGUCCUAUUCAUUCGUUCAGCCACACCAUUCUGCUGCAGAGUAUGACGAACUGUCAAGUGCCUCACAAUUUCUUCUGACUUGCACAGAGCAUUAAAUUCAUUAGAACAGAACUCUAAACCAUUAUCAAUCUAAAAGCAUUUUACCUGCUUCCUUAUUUGCUUUUCAAUCAUAAUCUUUCACUCCUUAAAAGUAGGCAACACAUCAUUAUUUUUCUUUCAGGAAGAACACCUAAACAUUUCUUGAAUAGUCAUCAAUAAUAGUCAACAAAUAAUGUGCACCUCCUCUAGAAGGUACUCUAGAAGGACCCCAGAGAUCAAAAUGGAUGUAAUCAAGUGUGUCUUUAGCUGAGUGGAUGCCUUUAGUAAAUCUGACUCUCUUUUUCUUCCCAAAAAUACAAUGCCCACAAAACUCUAGUUUGGUAAUACUCUGCCCAUUAAGAAGUCCUCUCCUGCUUAGUUCAGCCAUCCUAUUUUCACUCAUAUUCCCCAGACGCAUAUGCCAAAGUUUAGCAACAUCACUUUCUGAUAGAGAGGAGGUAGAAACAGUUGCAUCACCUGUAAACAUAGAGCCUUGCAAGACAUACAAAUUUUCAGACUUUCUCUAUCCCUUUAUCACAAUAAGAGCACCUUGAGCAACCUUCAGAACUCCACCUUCACCAGUGUACUUAUAUCCGUUUGAAUCAAGAUUACUCAAGGAAAUAAAAUUUCUCUUCAGGUCUGGGAUAUACCGCAUAUCACCAAGUAUCAUCACAACCCCAUCAAUCAUCUUAAUUCUGAUUGUUCCAAUAUCGGCUAUCUUUCAAGGUGUAUUAUUUCCCAUCAAUACAACACCUUUUAGAGACUGCUUUAUAUGUUAUAAACCAAUCCCGAUUAUGACACAUAUGAAACGUGCAUGCUGAAUCAAGAAUCCAAUCCUCACAGGGUUUAGAGUUACCAUAAAAAACUGCCAAGAGUUCCCAUUACUACCGUCAUCAUCAACAAAACUGGCUUUACCGAACUUUUUUGGUUGGUUUUUCUUUUAUUUUUGGAGCUUCUUUUUUAUCUCUAUUCUAUAACUUCCAACACUCGAAUUUGAUAUGACCCUUUUUAUUGCAGUUUUCACAGGUUUUGUUUUUGUUACUAAAUUUUGAUCCGUUUCUAUCAUCACCCCAGAGUUUCUCUCAUGAUUCCUUCCUCGAAAAAUGAGACCAUUUGCUUGAGUCUUUGAACCAUUCACAAGAUGCUUCUCUCCUUAGAAAACAACGCAUCAUAGACUUUAUCUAUGGUCUGGGUAUCACGACUAUAUAAAAUCGUAUCCCUAAAGGUCGAGUAUGAUGCAGGCAGCGAACACAACAGAAUCAACCCUAGAUCUUCCUCAUCGUACUUAACCUCCAGAGUUCUAAACCAGAGAUGAUUUCCUUAAAGAUAGAUAGGUGAUCCUUCAUGGACGCACCCUCAGACAUACGAUGGGAAUAAAGUCAUUGUUUGAGAUGCAACUUACUAGUUAGGCUAUUCAUCAUGCAAAAAGAUUGCAGUUUCAACCACAAGCAGGAUAGUGGUCUCCUUCAAAACAUCCUAUAGAAUCUGAUUGGAUAAAUGAAGGUGGAUCUGAGAAAGAGCCUUUCGAUCCUUACGUCGUUUGUCAUCAGCUGUUCAUGAUGAGGGCAUAUGAUCAAACCCUAAUAGAGUAUCGUCUAAAUCAAUUUGCACGAGCACAACCCACAUCUUAACCUGCCAUAACAAAAAUAUGCCGUUGCAAUCCAACAAUGAAAUAUCAUACUUCAUGGUUGUCAUCCCCGAGAGAACAAUCGAAACAGGCUCUGAUACCAGUUUGUUAGGAUUCAAACAGAGUAAGCAAACCACAAGUAAAAGAAAAUAAGAACACCAUACAGAUUUAUGCGGAAACCCUUGCAGGAAAAACCACAGGCAGCGGCAAAGGAGGUUUCACUAUAAUAGAGAGAGAGUACAAUGUGGAGAGGCUGAAUUUUCUAAAUACCCAAAAUAACCCACUAAAUGAACUUAUAUAAUAUGUGCAUACAAAUAAGUCCUAAGCCCCAAAACAUAAAGAUUCAUAUCGAGCCUUUCGGCCCGAUCCCUAUGCUACCACCACAGACCCCAUUGAAAUCACCAACAUGGUCGCACUGCGAAGCUUUCUGGGCCGGAUCAACAAAAUUCGGGUCAUAACUCUGACAAUGUCUAUUGUAGAGGUUCUUGUUUCUGGUAAUUUCAUGGGAGAAUGGGUGGAGACUCCCAAACGUUGGAAUUGGAAAUCUUUUACUAAGGUGACAUUGUCCAUUGCGGUUCGCCGCAAUAGUUGAUACGACGACUAGGUUGCAAGUGUAAUGAAGACCGUGGAUUUAGAUUGCGAGCCAAGCGAUAUGGUGAUUAGUUAUCUAAUGAACUCAAGAAAAAAUGUGCAUCGUACGAUCUUAAAUAAUGGCAGACAUGUGUCUUUGUUCAUGUUGGAUGUUAGUGCUGAUGGCUUUAGGCCUAUUUUAAAAAUAAAUGUAGUUGGGAGGUCUCCUUUACACUCUCUCCUUUACGAACUUGCCGUCUUUAUCAAAAUAGUAGCAACCUUUGUAGCCCGUGCAACAGUUGGUGCAUCCAGUGGGAUAAAUUAUCAUCUCUCCUUAUACAAAGCAUGUUGCGUUAAGAAUAUACCUUUGAGAGAUUACACAUGCAUUUACGAAGGAUUAUCCUUUUUUUAUGAAUUACAGUAGACCUAGAGUCACUCAUGAUAGAGCCUAGAGGUCACAUUUUGUACGAGUACGAGUUAUUCGUCUUGUUUCAUAUUGCUAAAGAUAAAUAUUUACCUUAUAAUAACAGUGUUUAAUUUGAAGCUGAAAUGAACAGUUGAACUACUGUCAAACCCCAACUAAUUCCUGUUCUUUCACUUCUUCCGUUGAGGCAAGAUUUAUCCCAAAGAACUUGUAAACAACAAGUUACAUCGUUAAAUUUAUUUUGAUGUCCAAAAAAAAAUAAUGUUCUUUGUAAAUUAUCCAACUUUAUAUUCAUUAGCAAAAUAUAAUAGAAGUUGAGAGAAAAGAAAAAAGAGGAAGAAAAAAAAAUAAAGAUCGAGAAAAAAAAGGAAAAAAAGUAAAAUUUAAGAAUAAAAAUGAUGAGCUCUACAAAAUAAAAACGAAUUACUCAUACUUUGUGAGCUGUAUAAAAUAAAAAUGGACAACGCUCAUAUUUAAUUAGCCUUAUAUUUUUUUUUAAAGUUAGGGACGUUGCCAACCAUUCCAUUAAAAAAAGAAGCGCUAAAGCUCACAAAAUAUGUGAGCUUAAUGUGAACGGAGCCUAUUUUGAUAUCAUUUUAUAUACCGGCAAUUGGAUACUUAUGCUUGAUACUUUAUUAGAAAGCUUAGUUUUCCCUAGUUGUCACAUUCUUUCUCUUAUUAAUUAAGCCGUACUGAUUCCGACUUUCUUAUUUCAAUUUGUCAUCUAGCAAUAAUUUUUUCUCCACGUGAUGAAUUGGAAGUCAGUAACAGAUGGCUCAUACUUGCAGCCUAAAUUGGACCACCCGAAAUGAAAAGGAUUGAGAGUGAUCCAAAGUAAGAAAUAAAAGAACAUCUCUUUCGUAGGGAAUAUUGUAUCUAGUUGAAGGAUGGAUAAAUGUUUCUGACGCAACGAUUUAUGGUGAUUAAUUGUUGCUCCCUCUAGUUUUUAGGUACCAUCAUUGCACGUAAUCCCUAUUUAAUUCAGCUGAUAUAUUAGAUAAUAAUAGAUACUAUAUUAUAUAGUUUUCUAAUCCUGUCUUGAUGUGUUGUACACAGUGUAACAGAGUAUUACCACGUAUAAUUUGUCUUUAAUAUUAGUUCUAUCAACUCUAAAGUCAGUUGGAAUACGGUUGUGAGACUCUUUUGUAGAGAUUUGAGUCUCUGUAAUCUCAUCAAAAGCUUUGAAAUAUGCAGUUGCCUUAUACUGUUGAUAUAUAACUCAUAGGUUCCCCAGUAGUAAAUAGUGAAGAACCAAAAUGACUAGAGAGUGUGUAAUCAUCUCCUGCGAUUCAACAGUUAACACAAAUUUGAUUAAACUUGGCCAAUCAAUCUCUCUCUCUAUAUAUAAAGGAGAAUGUUAGCUCAUGUGGUAUGAUUUAGAGGCCUCCAAUGUUAUUUAUUUUUUUUGUGAUUUUUUUGAGUUCUUAUUGUCUAAAUAUUUUUGUUAAUUCUUUUUCCUUUCCUAUAAUUAAUGUGAUUAAUUUGUUUUAAAAUUUAAUAGAAAAAACAAUGAACCAUUUAUCUUCUUCAUUGUGUUGUGAUUGUUGUAGGAAUGAAUACCAUCCACACUAAUCACCAUAUAUCAUUAAUCUGCCGUUCAUAUUUCUUAUAUUAUUAAUCCUGUUUUUCAUAUUCCCUAAUUGUAACAACUCUUUAAAUCAAUCUUUGCAUUGCAACUCCUUCUCUUUUAAUUGAAACCUGAUUUGAAGAGAAAAAAAAUCAUUUCUUCUUUUUUAUUUUUAAGUUAAAUUAAAGAAAUCUCAUGACCUAAAAUUGUUCUUUCAGUUCUAUUACUUUUUUCUCUUAAUCCCUAUUUAAUAUUUAUCUACUGAAAUUUCAAGAAUUCAGUUUUUCGAGAAUGCUCGAAUAAAUUAGUAUCAUGAAACAAAAGAAGAAACGUAACAAAGUGCAUAGGAAAGCUUAAAUUUUUUGUAGCACUAUACUCCUGUUUCUUAUACCUUAAAAAUAGUACUGAUAGUGUUUUUUUUUUUUUGCAUCUGAAUGUUUGCAUCUAUAUGUUCUUUUCUAUUAGAUUCGAUCAAUUCUAUUAGUAAAUUAGCCACGUAAAAUAUGUACCCAUCAAUCUCAAUCUAUUCUAUAAAGGGGUUCAAAAUUAUGUAAGUGCAGACUAAUUAACUUCUUAACCGUUCUAUUAUUCGUCAAUUAAAUUAUAUUGAUUCUGUUGAAAAAAUUACUACAAUAUUGAUAUGAAACUGGAAUUAAUAAUAGUAAGAGAAUAGUCACAAAACACUGUGUCGUGGCAAGUCACUGCCUUGAAAGCGAUUUCGGCCUGACUCCGGUGCCAAUCCUUCUAGACGGUCGCUUCCCAAGGUUCCACAACUACUUCCAAACAUGUGCACUCGUGGCUGAAAGUUUGGAGUUGCAAAAAUUAUUACCUAGAAAUUCACAAGGAAUAGAAUACCAAUGAUGAGAAAGCAAUAAAGAGAGAAAACCAAGCAUAGGCAAAUGGUAUUUGUUUCUUUGGAUGUGUUUAUUCAUCAAGUGAAGACACAAUUAUAUAGGUUUGGAAAUAAAUAUUUUUGGUGAAGAAAUAAAUGAGAUCAGUUAUUAUCUCAUUUAAGAAAAUUGUUAUAUUUCAUCUCAUUAAACAAUGUAUAUCUUAUUACUUUGCAUUUUAAUUUGCAUAAUUAAUUAGAGAUAAAUGAAUGCAAUGAAUUCAUUGUCAUUCAUAAACGAAAAAUCUCACAUUCCCCCAUAAAAUGCAAAAAAAAAAUAAAAAAAAUAAAAAAAUAAUAUGAAUAGUUUUUGGGCAAAAGAAAGGAACACGUACUUAAGUAUCAAUAUCUUUCAACUUGAAUUGAUACAUAGUGAAAUGAGGCAACAACAAAUAUCCACAAAGUGAAGUACGCUUGGAAAAAAUAAAUAUAAGCUGAAACCCCCACAACACAUACCAUAUUCUUGAUUUUAUGCAAACUCCGCGAUACUCAUAAAGUGCUUUUAUGAUCAUGCACACAAACCUUAGGUCUCAUGAGUGCUCUAGAAAUACAACCCAAGUCUUUUAUAAAAAGGUGACCAACUUUUUAAACUCACAUAGGUGAUCCAUUAAGUCUAUCUCUUAGACCACCUUAAGGCUGUAGAUCAUUAAGAGAAAAAAUAACCUCAACCUUAUAAUACACUACCUCAAGCCAUAGGGAUAGGAUAUGUUGUGUUUAUUGAUGUCCUAUAUGGCUUCGUUUGACCACAAAUGGGUAUCCACCAUAUUACCUUAAUCCAUGGGCUUUAGCCCCAUCCCCUCGACGAUUUAAUGACCAUUUUCCUUGUCAAACCCUUGGUCAUAGGAUCCACCAAAUUUCUUUCGGAUCUUACAUAUUCCAAGAAAAUAACACCAUGUUUCAAUAAUUGUUUAACUGCACCAUAUCUGAAAGAAAUAUGUCUCUUUUUAACAUUGUAUACACUAUUUUUAGCAAUCCCAAUAGCCGCCUGUGAGUCACAAUGUAAAGAGACUGGUGAUAUUUGUCUUUCCCAUAAAGGCACAUCUAUCAAAAGAUUUUUCAUCCACUCAACUUCUUAUCCUGCCAACUCGAGAGCAAUGAAUUCAGAUUGCAUGGUAGAACGUGCUAUACAAGUCUACUUUGAGGACUUCCACGAAAUAGCACCUGCACCUAAAGUAAGCACAUAGCCACUGGUCGAGCUAAAUUUAUCAUUGUCAGUAAUCCAGUUUGCAUCACAAAAAUCUUCUAAAACAGCAGGAAAUUUAUUUAAAUGCAAACACCAAUUCAUAGUACCUCUCAAGUACCUUCAAAAGCGAUGAAGAGCAUGCCAAUGUUCACUACUGGGAUUAUGAGUAUACCUACUCAAUCUACUAACAGUAUAAGUUAUAUCAGGACGAGUAUAGUUCAUGAGAAACAUUACACUCUCAAGUAUUUUAGAAUAUUUAGUUUGAGAAACACUGGAAUCUUUAUUCUUUUUCCAAGUGUAUUCUAGGACUAUAAGGAGUUCUCACUGAAACUACAUCAAAAUAAUCAAACUGUUUCAACAUUUUUGACUGACACAAAGAGAAACCAUUAACAGUUCUUUUAAUUUUUAUUCCUAAAAUCACAUCAGCUUCUCCAAAGUCUUUUAUUUCAAAUUUAGAAAAUAAAAAUUUCUUAGUCUCGUUUACAACAUUCACAUUAGGGCCAAAGAUUAAUAUGUCAUCCACAUAUAAACAUAUAAUCACAAAGUUUGAUCCUAUCAUUUUAGAAUAAACACAGGUAUCAGAUGAAUUAACAACAAAGUCAUUGUGAAAUUAAAUUUUUCAUACCACUGCUUAGGUGUCUGCUUAAGUCUAUAUAAGGACUUUCUCAAUUUGCAUACUUUAUCCUCUUGUCUUGGGACCACAAAAUACUCAGGUUGAGUCAUAUAGAUCUCUUCCUCUAAAUCACCAUUUAAAAAUGCAGUUUUGACAUCCAUUUGGUAUACCACUAAAUUAUGAAUAGAGGCUAGAGCAAUAAGAGUCCUAAUAUUCACUAUUUUAGUCACAGGAGAAUAAGUAUCAAAAUAAUCAACACCUUUCUUUUGGUUAAAGCCCCUAAUGACAAGUCUAGCCUUAUAUUUAUCAAUUGUACCAUCAAGCCUCAAUUUCUUCUUGAAUAUCCACUUGCUACUUAUGGGUUUACAACCUUUAGGCAAAUCAUACAAGACCCAUGUGUGGUUAGAAAUUAUAGAGUCUAAUUCACUUUUAAUAGCCUCUUUCCAAAAUAUUGCAUCUAUUACACUCAUUGCUUCAUCAUAUGUCUUAGGGUUUUCUUCUUUUAAGUAGAUAGACACUAAUUCAUCAUUUAAAGUGUCGAUAUUAAAAUCCUCAUUUAAGAAGGUGGAGAUAAAUUCAGGAUCAAAUCUAGUCUAAGUUCUACGUUUUUUACUGCUUCUCAGUUCAUUUUCAUGCUUAUUAGCAAUAACAUCAGAUACAGGCAUAACAUGAGAGUUAACAGACAUAAAUAUAGAAGUAUUAUUUUGCACAUUACUAGGCACAUCAUUUUUCAAAGGAAAAACAUGCUCAAAAAAUUCUGCAUCUCUAGAUUCACAAAUAGAAUAAUUAUUUAAUGAAAUAAAUCUAUAUGCAACUCUUUUUUAAGAAUAACCAAUAAAGACAGCAUCAAAAGUCUUAGAACCUACAUUACUCAUUUAAAAUCAGGUAGACCUAACUUAGCCAAACACCCACACACUUUCAGAAAUUUAAAGUUAGGGGCAAAUCCUUUCCAUAACUCAUAUGAGGUUUUGUAUAACUUUUUAUAAGAGACUCUAUUAAGAAUAUAGCAUGCAGACAAGACAACUUCUCCCCAUAUAUAGUCAGGUAGACCUGAUCUUAAAAGCAUAGAAUUCAUCAUAUUCUUAAGAGUUCUAUUCCUUCGUUCAGCUACACCAUUUUAUUAGGGAGUAUAAGGAGCACUAAACUCAUGGAUAAUACCAUUUUUCUCACAAAAAUCUUCUAGAGAUUUAGUAUUAUUCACCGCCCCUGUCAGAUCUACAUCUCUUGAUUUUCCUGUCUAAUUGAUUUUCUACUUCUGCUUUGAAUUUUAAAAACAUGCUUUCAACCUCAUCUUUAGACUUAAGGAGGUAUAACUUAGUGUACCUAGAAAAGUCAUCAAUAAAAGUAAUGUAAUACUUAUUUCCACCUUUACUAAUAGUGUUCUUAAAAUCUGCUAAGUCUGAAUGUACUAGUUCAAGCUAUUCGGCCUUUCUACUAGUAACAUAUUUAAAAGGUUUCUUAGCAUGUGUCACGACCCGAACCAGGGCCUGGCCGUGAUGAGAAUUUUGAAUCAUGGAGGCCCAAAACAUCCUUAUCUAUCUGGUAAUCAUGCACCUAAUUCAUAUGAUCAAAGUAAUGCGGAAGAAACACAAUAAUUCAGAAACAUGGUCAUAGAUAUGAAAAGAACCAAUAGCGGGGAAAUAAAGUUCCCCCGAAAUCAAUCAACCUCUAAACAUCUGUCUGCGAAAAUCUCCAACAAAUGACUGAGUCAAGUAACUGUAUAUAAAUUGGAACAAGGCCCCCAGUAGACCACAAAACUAAAUAUAAAAUAAAAGGACUGCGGGACAUAAAGACCUUUCGAAACAUAGAAGGCUCACCACUUGUCUCUGCUACUCUGUCUGAAUGAUCUACUAAUUCUCUUGACCCCUAGACUGGGCCUCUGAACCUGAGAGGUUGGAGAGGAGAGGGGGUCAGUACAAAAGUACUGGCAUGCAGAGAUAUCAAAAUAAAACAUAAUAUUUUUACAAAAUAUAGUUGAGAGUCAUUAUAAGCAAUUUCAUAUCAAAUCAUUUGAAAACACCUGGGCAUAAUGCAAUAGUUUUCAAUACAAAUGUAAUUCAAUUGAGUUAGGUGGAAUACCCUACAAUUGUAAUUCCACGGAUAUGUGGAAUUCGCCUCUGGUGCUUGGCGGCCAAGCCUCCAAUCCAAGUAGCCGCCAGGAGUUGGAGCUGGUAUACCCUCCAUGUGAGUAUAUCGCAGGGAAUCCCCCAUGUGAGAUGUCCCAAUUGUUUUAUUAUCCUCUCAUGUAGGAUACAAUAUCAUAUGACCCGCAUCGGUAACUACGGUUUCCAGCGAUGAGCCAUUUCACUCAAACGCCUUCUUCGGGCAUCCACCUUUCUCAUAAAAUCAAUGCAUUUCAAACUUUGGUCAAAUCAAUCUUAUGUCAUACUCUGUAGGGUAUUGUCAUACCCGACUUGCAAGUCAUCAGUAUCAUAUCAUUCUCUUCAUUCAAUCAACAUAUGCAAUAUAUUUCAACAUGAACAAAACAACCCUCUCUUUGAAAGUCAAAAUCAUAUCCAAAUCAUGACUUUUUUUAAGACAUUUCAUGACAUGCAUUUCAAGAUGAUUUCAAACAUUUCACAUCAUAUGAGGAUUUAAUACAAAAUCAUAUCAAGAGAGGGGUUCCAUCUAAAUCAUUCUCUCAAUUUAUCAUCAUUAUGAAACACAUACAUAUACAUAUAUAAUACAUCAAAUCAUUUCGGGGAAAGGCCUAAAAGACCACAACAAUAUCAUUAAAACAUUUAAAACAUAAUUAUAUUCUAAAUUUCAAAACCCCCAUUUUUGAAAACAUAAAUUUUAAAGCCCAUGAGAUUUUUUUGAGAUAACCCCACGUACCUCUAUUUCCAAAGAUAAUAGAUGUUUCUUGAAGCUUGUGGAUUGGUGAUUCCAAAUAUGUAAUUAUCUUCGAAAACCUACGAUUGAACCUUGAACUAUUUGGGUUUUUACUUUGAAACCCUAGGAAGAAACCUUGAGCACUUUUAAUGAAUGAGGGUGUAUUUUGGGGUCCUUGGAACUGAAUUUUGUGUUUUAGGGCUAAGUAAGGGUGGAAAAGGACCAUUUUGUCCCCAAAAUGGAGUGUUUAAGUCACUUAAAUUCUUUACAUAGGCGCCGUCCAUCUCAUUGCUUAUGUUUACAUAGGCGCCGCCUAGGCUAUCGCCUAUGUUUACAUAGGCGCCGCCUAGGCUAUAGCCUAUGCUUUCCAGUGGCCAUGGGCGAUUGGUUAGGCGACACAUAUCACUUUGAAAGGCCAUAACUUCUUGCUCGGGUGUCGAAUUUUAGCAAAAUUGGUAUCGUUGGAAAUCUAACUCGAAGACCUAUCAUUUGACACGUAGUAGGAUCCCUAACUCAAAAUAUACGGAGAAUUAUGAUCGAUGGAAGCUGACACACUUUACCAUGUCCACUAAAACUUAGUCAAUCUAAAUAGUUUCAACUCGUCCUUAAGUUGAAGGACCUCUAUGGUCUAAAUUCAGGCUUGAAUGGAUUCACAUGCUACACAAUUAAUUAACACGCCGCAUUGGCAUAGGAUUUUAUGGCUUUGAAAUUAUCAACGCAUCAAAAUCAUGGUCUAUAUUGUAGCCCGAAAUGCGGAACGUUACAAGAAUAAUUCAGUUCGGAUCUAAAUACGUUGGAACGACGGUCUAAACUCUAGCCCAAAAAUACGGGGUGUUACAAUAUGCUUUGCUUCUACACACAAAGGACAUUUAGAAAUAUCAUAAAUAUUUAUUGUAGGAAUUAAUCUUAUUUUUAAAGUCUUUUAAUAGAAGUAAUAUUAACAUGACCUAUCCUACCAUGUCAUAAAUUAAUAGACUCAGUAAUAUAAGUAGAAUUAGGAAUAUUUACAUUAUUGACUCAUCAUUUAAAAAUGCAGUUUUGACAUCCAUUUGGUGUACCACUAAAUUAUGAAUAGCGGCUAGAGUAAUAAGAGUCCUAAUGGUCACUAUUUUAGUCACAGGAGAAUAAGUAUCAAAAUAAUCAACACCUUUUUUUUGGUUAAAGCCCCUAAUGACAAGUCUAGCCUUAUAUUUAUCAAUUGUACCAUUGGGCCUCAAUUUCUUUUUGAAUAUCCACUUGCUACUUAUGGAUUUACAACCUUUAGAAAAAUUAUACAAGUCCCAUGUAUGAUUAGAAACUAUAGAGUCUAAUUCACUUUUAAUAGCCUCCUUCCAAAAUAUCGAAUCUAUUAAACUUAUUGCUUCAUCAUAUGUCUUAGGGUUUUCUUCUUUUAAGUAGAUAGACACUAAUUCAUCAUUUAAAGUAUCGAUAUUAAAAUCCUCAUUUAAGAAGGUGGUGAUAAAUUCAGGACCAAAUUUAGUCUCAGUUCUACGUUUUUUACUGCUUCUCAAUUCAUUUUCAUGCUCAUUAGCAAUAACAUCAGAUACAGGCAUAACAUGAGAGUUAACAGACAUAGAUAUAGAAGUAGUAUUUUACACAUUACUGGGUACAUCAUUUUUUAAAGGAAAAACAUGCUCAAAAAAUUCUGCAUCUCUAGAUUCACAAAUAGAAUAAUUAUUUAAUGACAUAAAUCUAUAUUCAACACUGUUUUAAGAAUAACCAAUAAAUAUAGUAUCAAAGGUCUUAGAACCUACAUUACUUGUUUAAAAUCAGGUUGACCAAAUUUAGCCAAAUACCCAUACACUUUCAGAAAUUUAAAGUUAGGGGCAAAUCCUUUCCAUAACUCAUAUGAGGUCUUGUAUAACUUUUUAUAAAAGACUCUAUUAAGAAUAUAGCAUGCAGACAAGACAGUUUCCUCCCACAUAUAGUCAGGUAUACCUGAGCUUAAAAGCAUAGAAUUCAUCAUAUUCUUAAGAGUUCUAUUUCUUCGUUCAGCUACACUAUUUUGGUGGGAAGUAUAAGGAGCACUAAACUCAUGGAUAAUACCAUUUUUCUCACAAAAAUCUUAUAGAGUUUUAGUAUUAUUCACCGCCCCUGUCAGAUCUAAAUCUCUUGAUUUUCCUGUCUAAUUGAUUUUCUACUUCUGCUUUGAAUUUUAAAAAUAGGCUCUCAGCCUCAUAUUUAGACUUAAGGAGGUAUACCUUAGUGUACCUAGAAAAGUCAUCAAUAAAAGUAAUAUAAUACUUCUCUCCACCUUUACUAAUAAUGUUCUUAAAAUUUGCUAAGUCUGAAUGUACUAGUUCAAGCUAUUCAGCCUUUCUACUAGUAACAUAUUUAAAAGGUUUCUUAGCAUGCUUUGCUUCUACGCACAGAGGACAUUUAGAAAUAUCAUCAAUAUUUACUGUAGGAAUUAAUAUUAUUUUUUUAAGUCUUUUAAUAGAAGUAAUAUUAACAUGACCUAGCCUACCAUGCCAUAAAUUAAUAGACUCAGUAAUAUAAGCAGAAUUAGGAAUAUUUACAUUAUUGACAAUCUCUUGAUCAAUGCUCAAUAUAAGCCCCCACUAAGGUAUCCCUUCCCAACAAAGUUUCCUCUACGAGAAAUAAUUAUUUUAUCAGCUUCAAAAACAAGUUUAAGGCCUACUUUGUUGAGAAGUGCUCCAGAAAUUAAGUUUCUACGGAGCGAGAGAACAUACAAAAUAUUGUUCAAGGUAAUAUUUUUUCAGAAGUUAAUUUAAGUAAAAAUUUUCCUUUACCCAUAACUCUAGCAGUAGUGGAGUUACCCAUGUGGACACACUCGCCAUCGGUGGAUUCCUCAAAGUCAUGGAAUAAUUCUUUGUUAGCACAGAAAUGUCUUGAAGCGCCUAUGUCCAACACCCAAUCAGUCUUGUUAGCUACCAGAUUUGCCUCGAUGAUUACUGUAGCAAUCAUUUCAUCACCCUCUGUAAGAUGAGUUUAUGCAUCACCUUGUCCUCCCUAUUUUGACUUUUGUCCUUAUCUUAGAUAACACUGGACAACCCUAUGGCCAAGUUUUCCGCAGAUAAAAUAGGGCCCCUUUGAUUUUUUAAUUUGACUCUCUGACUUGUUGAAAUUAUUUUUCUUUUUCACUUGUUCCUUAUUCUAAACAUUCUUUUAUUUUUCUUCGUACCUGUCUUUUGUAAUAGUACCAGAAGAUUCCAUAAAGUUAGCUUUAGAAGAACUAAGAGAAAGAGCUUCCAUCUUAUCUUUGAGACGGUUUGCCUCCUCUGUUCUCAUGUAACUGAUAAUUUCUUGGAGAGUUAUUUUUUUUUCUUAUGUUUCAAUUGAUUUCUGUAAUCACUCCAGGAUGGUGGAAAUUUUUCAAGCUAAACAUUAGCCUAAAGAAUCUCACACAUCUUCAUGCCCUCAUUAAGAACAUCAACAGUUAAAUUUUCAUAUUCGUGGACUUGUUUCAUGAUUGAUUUAUUGUCAACCAUUUGAAAUUUAAUCCAUUGUCCAACAACAUAUUUUUUCUUUCCUGCGUCAUCGGCACAAUAUUUCUUUUCUAAAUUGUCCCAUAUUUCUAAAUUAGUCAUAUAGUUCAACAAAUGUCCUCUAAUUGUUUUGUUAUCCUUUUUGAAUUUCUUUUUAGCAAUAUCAUCAACCACAACAGUGUUAGAUCCAUCAGUAAAAGGUUCAUUAAACAAAACAUAAUCAACUUCUAAUUGUUCGAAGCAAAUCAAAAUUUUUUGUGACCAACGUUUAAAAUUAUUUCCAUCCAAUGGCUCAAGUUUUGACAAAUUAGAAAAAAUUUUGUUCAAAAAAAUAGUCAUUUUUCAAUAUUAUAUGUAUGAAAAUCUCUUUCAAAUUGUUGCAAAAAUUACGACAAUAUUGAUAUGAAACCAGAAUUAAUAAUAGUAAGAGAAUAGUCACAAAAUACUGUGUCGUGGCAAGUCAUUGCCUUGAAAGCGAUUUCAGCCUGACUCUAGUGCAAAUACUUCUAGCCGGUCGCUUACCAAGGUUCCACUUCUACUUCCAAACAUAUGCACUCGUGGCUGGAAGUUUGGAGUUGCAUAAAUUAUUGCCCAGAAAUUCACAAGGAAUAGAAUACCAAUGAUGAGAAAGCAAUUAAGAGAGAAAGCCAAGAAUAGGCAAAUGGUAUUUCUUUCUAUGGAUGUGUUCAUUCAUCAAGUGAAGACACAAUUAUAUAGGUUUGAAAAUGAACAUUUUUGGUGAAGAAAUAAAUGAGAUUAGUUAUUAUCUCAUUUAAGAAAAGUGUUUCAUUUCAUCUCAUUAAACAAUAUAUGUCUUUUUAUGUUGCAUUUUAAUCUGCAUAAUUAAUUAGAAAUGAAUGCAAUGAAUUCAUUGUCAUUCUUGAAAGGAAAAUCUCAUAGAUCCUUUUUGUGCACAUUUACAUGAGGAAUUCUAUGACAUUAUCACUUGUGAUGAUUAUUACUUUGACAUAGCAUAUAAAUUCAGAGAACACAUUAUAAUACCAUAUGUACCUUAAUAAGGUCACAAACAUCAAUAAAAUUGAAAUGUGUAUAGACAUUACUAGAAAUAAAUUAAAGUUUUUUCCACUACGAAUUAAUAGAAAAUUUGUGUUAUAAAUAUAAUUUUCCCAUUUCAUUUUCACCGAUCUAGCAUGCUCACCAAAAAUACGCAUUUUGGGAAAUAAAUUUUUGUUAGAAUAGUAGGAAACUUUCUAACUUUUUAGUGUGAAAAUACUAAUUUUUUCCCACUUAAUGAAUCAAAACAUCUAUUGAAAUAUCCACUAACCAUUGAAAUUAUAUCUUUUUUUUUUUUUUGCUUUUUCCAAAUAAUUUAAAUUACUACACUAUUUGUUCACUUUUAUUUACUGAUAAACUGUGAAUAGAUGCCGACUUUUAUUUUCAAGUUUAGAAAAUUAAGAGAUAAUUUAUAAUUUAGUUUUUAAUUUACCUUUAUUGUUGAUUGUAAUUAUGUUUAAAAUACUAAAUUCACUGUAUUCAAAAAACAAUAUAAUGAAAUUAUCAUUUGAUUUAUUGCUCUUUAGAAAGUGUGCAAAGUCAAUAUUGGACAAACAAAAAUAGAUGGAGACGAUAUUCUUUAAAUUUGACUUGCAAAAGAAAAAAAACAUUUGAUAUUGUCGUCUUCACCCCAUAUAAGGUAUCUAAUUUUUUAUUUUUUUUUAUAAUUUGAAUAUUCUAUGUUUUGAUUUGUUAAUUUGUGAUUUAGGAGCAAGAGAAUUUGGGCUUUGGGUUGCUAAAAUUGGGUUAGCCAGGAGAAAAAAAGGAUAGGAAGCAAAAUGAAUCAAUUUAAUUAAUUUAUGAGUGAAGUAAGUCAAUUAACUGCAUUUUUUUCAGAUUAAGAUUUUAGAAAUAUUUAAAAAAAUCUUGUGAUAAGUUAGAAUUAUUUUACGUAUAUAAUAAUGAUAUUUAUAAUCGCACAAAACGCGAAUCAUUUCACUGAAUCAAUAGACGGACAAGUCAUGUAAGCAACUCUUGAAUCACAUUCUUCAGCACAAACCAAUCUUCUUACAUACAAACUUACCCUCUUUACCAAAAUAGAAGCAACCCUUGUAGCCCGUGCAAUGUGGUGCAUCCAGUGGGCUAAUUUAUUGUAUCUCCUUAUUUUACAUCUAAUCAUCUAUUUUUCUUUCAAAUGUAAUCAAAUUCAACGACAGUUUCUCACGAAAUGUAUCUGGUAUGUUUUCACGAAAUUGUUACUUGAAAAAAAUCAAUGAAGGUCAUGAAGAAGAGUAAUGUGUCGUGGGUGAGGCGACGAUAUUCCUCAUAGUUAAUUCUUGAAUAAAGGAAGCGUGAGAUAUUGAGAGUAAUGGGGGAUAUACAGAAAAGGACCCAGAUGAGUAGUAGAAAAGUAGUUGAAGAAGAAGAAGAAAAAUACACAUAAAAGGUAAUUAAUGAAAAUCUUUUGCGGUAUAAUUAAAAUUUAAUCAAUGAAAAUGGUAAUUAAUUAAAGACUUUCCUUCAUUAAUGGGCAGAAUUUAGAAAAAAAUGAAAGAAAUGUAUUAGAGUAAAAUUGAUGGGGACCCAUAUAUUGAAAAUAUUGCUAUUGUUGUUGAGGUCAGUAAUUUUUUUAAACUGUUGUUAUGUAUCACAAUUAAGGACUUAUGUUUCUUAUGUCAUGUGUAUUUUCCUUAAAUUUAUUAGUCAAAUACAAAUAAUUUCUCAUCAAAAACACUUUUAAAAGAAGUAUUAUACAAAAUAAACUGAUUUUAAAAACUUGGGCAAACAAGUUAUUAAGUAAUUACUGUUUGAAUUUAUUUUUGUUUGGCUAUAAUGACUUGGGCAAGUUUGUCAGAAGGACAACAUGGAAAUUUUUUUUGUCAAAGUUCCAAACUUGAUGAAUAAUUUGCCAAAAAGACACUUAAUUCCACAUCAUCAUUAAUUUUUUCAACUUAACAACUUCACCCACAAAUUUUAUAAUAAUUCACUUUAACCCAAUACUUCCAACUUAAUAAAUUCAUCAACUAGUUUUAAAUAAUACAUUUCAACUCACUCCAUCAUCCACCAUUAUAUAUAUAUAAAAAUAUUUAGGUUUCCAAAAAUAUUAAAUAAAAAAAAUCCAAAAGCUUAAAAUAGAAAGAGGUUGUUUUCCCUCCAAAAAGCUCUGAUUCCAACCACUUUUCCGGCAUUAUUUUCAGCGAUCAGCUUUAAAUCAGUCCAAAAACAUCAUAAGCUUGUCCAUUGCACCCAUUGUUACCCCAUUUGUUUGGUAUCUUCUCAAACACAUCACUUUCCACCAUUGUUAAAAAGCUUGAAACCAUUCACAUUACUCAAAACCACUUUAGAAAGUACAUUACAGCAGCUCAGGCGACUCCAAGUUCAUUUCUUUAUUCCAUAAACCCAAGGAUUGUAGAUUAGAAGCAAUAUUUGCAAUUUCAAGAUUUUCGUAUGGAUAGCUGCUCAGUCAUCGACCACUGAUCGUCAUUCAUCGACCGUGAAUAUAACCCGAUAUAGACCAUAAGCAUAAUCUACCGUAGACCAAAGCCUAAUUUAACGAUGUCUAUUGAAAAUUUAUUCUGGUUUCUGGUGAUUUCAUGGGAGAAUGGUUGGAGAUUCCUAAAUGCUGAAAAUGGAGAUCUUUUACGAAGGUGACAAUCCCCGUUGAUGUUCGCCGCAAUAGUUCGUACGACGAAUUAGUUGCAAGCGUAAUACAGAGCGGGAAUCUAGAUUGUGCGCUGAGCGACGUGGUGAUUAGUUAUCUAAUGAAUUCGAGGGAAAAGGUGAAUCCUACGAUCAUAAAUAGUGAUGUACGUGUGCUGAUGUAUAUGAUGGAUGUCGAUGCAGAUGGCUUUAGGCCUAUUUUGAGGAUAAAUGUAGCUGAGAGGUCCAUCGAAGGACUGGUAAAUUCAUUAGAACCUCCACCUCUACACCAGGUAGUCGACGAUGAUUUCAGUGAUUACGAGAAUGAUGACAAUCAACCUAUUAAUAUGGAAGAUGAUCAUAUGCAUAUGGAAGAGGUUUCAUCGAACUCGCAAGAUGACGAAGAAAAUCGUGGAACGGGAUCACAACCAGGACAUUCCUUCAACGACGAAGAAAAUUUCCAUCUCGAUCAAAUAUUUGCCGAAAAGAAAGAGCUCAAAAUGCUAUUAGAUGCAGCAGCGGUGAGGUAGUAUUUUGAUUAUUUUUUAGAGAAGAACUGCUCCGAAUUCUUGAAGGCAAAAUAUUUAUCUCAUGGUUGCGGAUGGUUGUUGAGGGCAAUGAAGUAUGAAACCUCGUGCAGAUUUCGCAUAUACAAGUAUGUCGGGUUGCACACGUGCGGUGUUGAACACACCACCCGUAGACAUAAGAGAUUGUCCUCCGAAUUGAUUGCUUCACUAUGCGUAAAUCAUUUUCGGGAUGGUAAGGGUCCAAGCAUUAGCGAAAUACAAAGGGUUGUGUUCAAGGAGUUGCAUUACCACGCAAGCUAUUAGAUGUGUUGGAAAGGAAGUUUAAUUGAGAAGAACAUCAUUUGCGGGACACCGGAGCACGGAUAUGCUUGCUUGCCAGCUUUUUCCCACAUGGUGGAGUUGUUGAAUCCAGGGUCUUCCUACUCUAUCAUGGUAAACUAAAUUAAUGGAGCAUUCGUUUACUACUUCUUAGCAUUCGGAGCUUACAUACGGGGAUAUGCCCACAUGACAAAGGUAACUACCAUCGAUGGCAUACAUUUAUAUGAAAAGUACAGGGGUGUGUUGCUGAGUGCAAUUGCACAGGACACAGAAAAUCAGAUCUUUCCAAUUGCCUUUUGUGUCGUCGAUAAAGAGAACGAUGCUUCUUGAACCUUCUUCUUCCAGAAGUUGAAGUCUAUCAUAGAAGAUAAACCAGAUCUAUGUGUCAUCUCCGACAGGCAUAUCAGCAUUGCUAAUGCCUUCUCUCGUGUUUAUAGUCGUGCACACUGUGGACUUUGUAUGAGGAACCUCGCUAAAAAUCUGUGCGUAAAUCAGCACUGUGGAGAACAUCUUUAUUUGUUCUACGCUGCGGAAAAGGCGUAUACUGUUGAUGGAUUUAGUGAGCAUUUUGCUGAAUUGAAGAAUAAUAGUCCCGAGGCAGCACAUGUCCUUGAACAUGUGCCUGAUUUUGAGAAAUGGUGUAGAGCACACUUCCCGGGCAAUAGGUACGAUGUGAUGACCACAAACAUCGCCAAGUCUCUCAACUUGGUGUUGAUGGAUGAACGGGAGUACCCCGUGUCAUACAUAUUCAAUUCAAUUACUAGAAAAUUUGGUGAAAAGUUUAGGGAGCGGCAUGCCUUUGUCGAUGGUCAAAACAACAUAUUGUGCCUUGUGCGGAAAUGAUUCUAAGGGAUAACAAGAGUGCGAGCUAUUUCUUGUAUGUGACUAAUGCAAAUGGGGGUCUCGACAAAUUUAUGGUGUUUGGCAGCGGCGUUAUUGCCAAGGUCAAUCUAUUAGAGAGGAGUUAUUCUUUUCGGAAAUUUGACUUGGUGAAAAUGCCGUGCGAACAUGCAAUGACAGCUUUGCGAGCAAAGUAUGGCGAUGACGUAGGUUCUGGCAACUCCAUCUACGAGUACUCUUCGCUAAUUUAUAAAGCUGAAACUUACAUCCUCGCGUACUCAAAAGCUAUUAGCGUUGUCCCUCUAGAGGCCGAAUGGACUGUGCCACAGGAAGUGCAAGACAGUAAGAUUUCUCACCCCUACGAUCGCAAACUCGGAAGGAAGAAAGUCAAAUGCACUAAGGGCAUCGGUGAGACAUUCAAUUCCAAAAAGAGGAAUUGGUGUUCGAUAUCCAAGAAAUCUGAGCACAAAAGAACCACAUGUAGAAUGGCCAACAAAUCAUAGACAACCUUUUUUUUUUGCUUCAGUUAUAAAGCUACUAUUUUAGGGGAUAAAUAUUCAUUUCUGUAGAAUUUAACCUUCAGUUGUAAUCGACUUAACGCAUUAACUAUGAUAGACUAUGUAAAUUCUAUGGUAUAUCGUUUCUCCAAUUUAUCAAAUAUUAUGUAUUGGUUAUAUGAUUGCUUAUCAGACAUGUUAUGUUGGUCUUUUUACCGCCUUAACUCUCCAAUCGAUGCAAUGAAUCAUUGUUUCCCAUUCCCAUUUAAUGAAAAGCUGCAGAAAUAUCUGUUCACAAAAAAAUCACUGGUAUACUCAAAUCAAGCAUUUUCUCUUCUGCUUCUUCUUCUUCUUCUUCUUCUUCUUCUUCUUCUUCUUCUUCUUCACCCAAAUAAAAAAAUAUGUCUCCAACAAGGAUAACCCUGCGCCCUGUCAGACCUAUUCCCCCAAGGAACUACGACCUCCUUCUUCUAAGAAAUGAUUUCGAUCGCCUGUUCUAUGGCCUGGGUCAAGACCGCCUCUACCUAGAGCGGAAACUCCGUAGAAUUGCUCGUUUUCUAAGGGCAAUUCUGGAAAGGCUCGGAAUGGAUGGCCCUGACUAUAUCACCCCCCAGCAUCCCCGUGAAAUCUGUUGUUUAGUUUUUUAUUUUCUUUUAUGUUUAUUAGUUUUUAUUUUGUGUUCAUUGCAGAAGAAGUUUUCUUAUAGGAUUGUUUUUAGAAGAAAACUUCUUCUUAUUUUACUUAUUUUGCUUGUUCUGGCCGAUGUGCCAAUGCUUUGAAUGUAAAAAUCCUAUGAUUAUGCAAUGAACAAAGAAUUUCUGUUUUCAAAUUGAAUUUUUCUCUUUUUUGUUAUUGUUAUUUUUUGUCUUAGCAUCUGUAGUGAAUGCAUUUGUAAAAAAAAAAUCACAUAAACAGUUUCUCAUCGAUCACAUAAAGAGUCUAUCCUCGAUCACAUACUUCGUCUAUCAUCGACUCGAUAUAGUAGUGGAUCAUCGAUCAUGUGAAUCGAUGGAGCAGCAGUUAAAUUAAAAUAGAUAAUACUAACAAGUUUUGGGGGCUGGUGAAGUAAAAUAAUUAAAUUAAAAAUAAUUUAAACUGAUAAUAACAUGUUUUGGGCUGGUGGAAUAAAAUAAUUAAAUUAAAAAUAAUUUAAACUGAUAAUAACAUGUUUUGGGUUGUUGGAAUAAAAUAAUUAAAUUAAAAAUAAUUUAAACUGAUAAUAACAGGUUUUGGACAGUUGGAAUAAAAUAAUUAAAUUAAAAAUGAUUUAAACUGGUAAUAACAUGUGUUGGGGCUGAUGGAAUAAAAUAAUAAAAUAAUAAAAUAAAAAAUAAUUUAAAUAGACAAUCUUGAACUAUUGGUCAUUUAAAUUAAAAAUUAUAUAAACAGUGAAAGUUAAUAAACCGUCGCAGAUCAUGACCAACGUCAUCCAUCAACUAGAUACUAAAAUAUACCAUAGGCUGGUAUGGUCUAUCGUAGACCUACACCUGUACGAGUGCAUCGACAGAUCUCUUAAUUAGGCGUAGACCACUGUGAUCUACGUAUACCGAUAUAGACCAACAAUUGAAUGUUGUUUAAAAGAGAAUAAAUAAAUUAAAAAUAAAUGUAGGGUGGGUUUCUAUACAUGUGAGGGAGCGUAAACAAGUCACACAAUCAUAUUAGAGGUUAUACAAAUUAGGGGUGGUGUACUAAGGAGUGUGUGGAUGGGUAGUGGUUGAAUGUUCAAUAGCCUAAGGGUAAUAUUUUUCAAAGCACAAGUAUGUUUUGUGGAUGUAUUUUGUAUUUGAUGACUACACAUUCCACAUACUCCUUGAAUGACCAUCCCCAAAUCAAAAGAUUAAGUGGAAUGGAUAGUGGUUUGACAAAAUAUAUCCACAAAACAUAUUUAUGCUUUGAGAAACAUUACUCUUAGGAGACUGAACAUUCAACCACUACCCAUCCACACACUCCUUAAUACACUACCCUUAAUUUGUACAACCUCUAAUAUGAUUGUGUGACUUAUUUACACUCCCUCACAUGUGUAGAAACCCACCCUACAUUUCUUUUUAAUCUAUUUAUUCUCUUUUAAACAACAUCCAAGUGUUGGUCUAUAUUAGUCUACGUAGAUCACAACGGUCUACGCUUAAUUAAGAUAUCCAUCGAUGCACUCAUACAAUUGUAGGUCUACGAUAGACCAUACCAGUCUACGGUAUAUUUUAGUAUCUAGUUGAUGGAUGACGUUGGUCAUGAUUUACGACGGUCUAUUAACUUUCACCCCCAGUUCCAAAAAAUAAAAUUAAUGUUCCAACGGUAACAAAUGACUAAUUUUGCACUUAACACAUCUUUUUUUACUUCAUAUAUAAAGUCGUCACUCCCUCAUUAUUUUAUUUCAUUAACUUUGUUUUUAUUUAAAACUUCUACAAUGUCUCAAGCAUCUCAAACAUCCAAUUCUAAAAAGACUCUAAUUUGUCAUUGUGGGAAUACGGUUGUCUUGAGGAUGUCACGCACGGACUCGAAUCCAGGUCGUAAAUUUUAUAACUAUGCAAUUGCGAAGGUGAGUCGUGUAUGUUAUUUUCAAAAUGUUAAGUUAAUAGUUAUGUAAUUAUAAUUUAUUUUCUAGGAUAAUGGCGCAUGCUCAUUUUUUAAAUGGCUUGAUGAGCUAUCACCUCCAAGCAGUCCAUCAACGUUGAGUCCGGGACGUGACACAUCAAAUUUUUAUGGAUCCGCAAAAUUUAAUCUACUACAAAGGCUUCAAGAAUGCGAAGAAAAUAGAGAUUUUCUUAUGAAUUUGUUCAAAGAAGCCGAAGGAUAAAGGGAUCACCUUAAAGUAUUGCUACAUGACACCCAAAUACAGAAGGAUCAACUAAAAUAAAAAUUGAUUUUGGCCGAAGAAAGAGAGAAUGGCCUAAAAAUGAUGUUGUGUUCUAUAAUGCUAGUAUUCGUUCUUUGAAAAAGUGUAACAUGGAUGUAGUGAUAUUGAAUAAAUAAUAAUACUUCUAUUUUUCUACAAUGUUAACACUGUUUUUGAUAGAAUCAUAGUCGAUCAAUCAACACAUCAACUUAAAAUGGAGCAGCAUGGUAAUGAUAGACUAUGAAAGAAGUAUACGAAAGAUUAGCUAAACAUUCUAUGAAAUAAAAGAGAGUUUCAAAUAUCCUACCAAACAGAUCAUUCAACACAUUAAAAAUAAAAUAAUUCAAAUAUAUUUUUCAAAAAAUUUCCUCCUCAUCAGCAUAGGUGUUGUUGAUUCAUCAACGAUAUCCAUGAACCCAUCUUAUUUUUCUUCCUCACCUUCUUUUUUCCUUCACCUUCAACAGCUUCUUCUUUUUGACCUUUCUUUUCUUCCUCAGCUUCUUUUUUUUUUCUUCCCCUUUAGCAGCUUCUUCUUCUUUUUCACCAGCUGCAGCUUUAUUAGCUUCUUCUUUGUUAGCUUGUUCUUCUUCUUCUUCUUCUUCUUCAUCAGCUGCUGCUCCUAUUUUUUCAGCUUCUUCUUUUUCCUUAGCUUCUUUAACUACAUCUCCUCCCUUUUCCUUGCCUUCUUCUUCAACUGCUGCUAUUUUUUUUCAACUUUUUCUUCUUCAGCUGCAGCUGCUUCUUUUACACUUUCUUCUUGGAUCUUGUCUUCUUUCAUUUAUUCUUCUUCAUUAUUCUUUUCAUCUUUUUUUUCUCUUCCGCCACAACAGAGGCUAACUCAUCCAUUUUGCUCCUUUUUUCUUCUUCUUCAUAUCUCUCCGAUUCACGAAGGUCCACAUUUACUGUAUCAUCAUAUUACAAAGUGUUACUAAUAUUUAAACCUGAAAAUUCAUUAACAACAUCAAUUAUUGAAUGAAGUUACCUCGCUCGUAUUGUCGCUUAUCCUGUUUUUUUUUCUUUAGUCUUUUCUCUCUGAUAUAGGCAGCAAUAUCCAACACUACUUCCUCGAGUGCAGCAAUAUGCUUAUAAAGAUCCUCAGGGGAUGAGGUGACCGCUGCAUCUUUGGAGGUGCUUAGAGUAUCAUCAUCACCAACGUGUACUUCAAUGGGGUUACCACCCAAACUCCCAUCAUCAUCACUGUCCUCAUUUGAAAUAAGGACAGUCACCCCUUCUAACUCUUUCUUUAAUCUACCGAGGACAUUAUUCUUCACCUCAUCCGUAUAUGGCUCAAAGGUAAUCAUGUAAUCCAUCUUCGUCUCAGGAACAGUAGGGAUGAUGUACGGGUGCACGUUCUACGAAAUAUCAAUUAACAAUUAUAUAAUAUUCGAUGCAACAGUAGUAUUAUUAUUGCAUAAUAAAAAAUAAGUUCAUACCUCGGUAACUUUUCCUUUGUACUUGAAUGGAUCACCUUCAAUUAUCUAGUCAAUUUUGGUAGUGUGCCAUCUGAGGAUGCGGGGAAUGGAAAAGGGCUCACCCAAUGAUUUUUCAGUAAAUUUUCCAAGAUGAGAAAAGGCCUCGUACAUCUAAACCUGUAAUCAUUACAACAGAGAAAAAAGAACUUAGAGUCUAUGACAGAGUAUAAAUAAAACAAGAAUCUAUGAUAAACUAACUAAAGGAUUUAUGGUAGAUACGAUGAAUGCUCAGGGAAAUCCGAAUGGAGCAUAGGAUGCCUUCUGCUUCUCAUGAAAUACUUCCAUCUGCUUCUUCAGGUCACUUUUCUUCUUCAGAUAGUCUAGGGUCAGUUGAAAUGUCUCUUUCCCCCACGAAUAAUUCUCGAAGAAACUCAAAAAAUUAACUAUUCAAAUCAGUUUUGUGUUGACAACCUUCGUCGAAUCUUUUGGAAGCAACAUGGUGUGCAAGAACCACAGUAAACAACACUUAAACUUGUGGUCCUCGUUCAGCUUAUUCCCUAUGAUCAAGUGUAACAAGUUGACCGUAAUAUUUUUGUUUUUCAUCACCUUAAAGCAAAAAUGCUCCCCCUUGUCUAACACCUUCUUCAUUUUUGAUUCACUAGGGUAUGAUGAGUAGUUCAGCCCCAUGAGCAAACAAAAUUCUUUCAAGCCAAAACAGACAGGCUUGUUGUUAACGCAGAACCAUAUCUCAUGAUGCAUCUUAUCCCUCUUGACACGUUGCAACAGCAAAUAAUGGACCAACUGCCCAUUGAACUUGAGAUAUUCUGACAGGUUUCUCAGAUGUCCGAAACAGGACCGCUUGAAUCUUUUCUUCAACUCCUAGUCGACAAGAACUUGCUUAAAUUCUCGAUAAGCAGCCAUUCUUGAUCUGACCAAUAUCUUCGCCGAGAAAGAUCCGACCUCGUCCAUUAUCGUUCGAAGAUCAUACCAUUCCACGGAAAUGAACCUUGACAAACUUGGCACGGAAAAAGGAUCAUUGUCUUCUCCCACUUCCCUUACUCUCUUCACUGUCACCACUAGCACUGCGCUCGGGAAGGACAUCUUCACUAGACUCGGCGUAGUCUCUUAUCUCUUUUAAAUUUGGAUCAGAUUCGGACACUUCCUCAUUAAUUUUAUUUCUUUUUGAGACAUUUUUUGCUGCCUCGGCUUUUGUUUUUCUACUACUACCGGCUUUGCCUUUAGGAUAGAUGGUUUUUUUUUUACCCAUUUUCAAUAUAAUCUACACCUGCAGAACAAAUCUUCCAUUUUCAGUUCAUAUACCACAAGUCUAUCAAUAGAAAUAAGUCAAUGCUCAAAUGAAUCCCCCCCCAAAAAAAAUAAAAAAAAAUAAAUAAAUAAAUACUUCACCAAAAUCCAACAUGAAGUAUCAAAAUCAAACUAGUGCACCUAAUCAAACUAAUUAGCUAUUAAUCUUUCAAUUUUUACUAUUUCAGCCAUCAUAUUUUAAAAGAAUUUCAUAUGUCUAAAAAUUUAUUUCAAUCUAGGGUAUUCUGAUUUCAUAGACUACGGGUCGAUUUCAUAGACCACUGGUCUACGGAUAGAAACAGGCGACUGUUGGAAUCAAACUGCCAAAAUAACUCUUCAAAUAAUGAUUAUCUCACCAUUCCACCAUCAAACAGUUCACUCCAAACAUCAAUAACUGUGAACCAAAAUCCCACAUGCAAUAUCCAAACACGACAAUUGAUAAAAAUCAAACCACUGCACCUAAUCGAAUUAAUUAGCUAUUAAUAUUUCAAUUUCCACUAUUUAGGCAACCAUUUUUUAAAAGAAUUUCAUACGUCUAAAAAUUUAUUUCAAUCUAGGGCAUUCUAAUUUCAUAGACCACAGGUCGAUUUCAUAGACCACGGGUCUAUGGACAGAAACAACUUACUGUUCGAAUCAAACUACCAAAAUAACUCUUCAAAUAACGAUUAUUCCACCAUUCAACACUUCUUUGCUAAAAAAAGAAACUAAACCAAAACUCCUUAAUCAACCAAAUUCGAAAGAAAAAAAAUUCCUACAUCACUGCGAAUCGAUUAGCAAAGAAACCUGUCUAAAUGGAUCUACAAAUGAUCGAAACAUGAUUUUAACUAACCUUAUGAAGCAAAAAUGACCUCUUAGCAGCUGCAGAAGAAGGAAAAAUGAAAAUGGUGUUUGGGGAGAACUGUUCUUCAAGUUGGAGUUGGAGAAAAGUUAAUAGGAGAGAGAAGAUUUUUUUUUUUUGAUAUUGGAAGAAGUUGAUGUGUGUUAGUGUAUUAUGUUAAAUAUGUAGAUGGGUGUUAGUGUAUUAUGUUAAAUUUGUAAAGUUAGAAAAAUGAUAUAAUGGUCCCUUGGCCCACAUGUGGGCCAACUUUUUUUACACUUUUUAUACCCUAACCCUAAAAAAUAAUUCAAAAAGAAAUUUAGUGUCCCUUUGGCUAAAUAAUUUUGAGAAUGGUAGCUUUUGCCAAUUUUUUCUUAAUGACUUUGUACGUGAAUUACCUAAUCCUUCAACUUGAGUUUAUUGAUUAAAGAAAAUAAGUAGGUUUGGUAAAGAGUUUGUUGUUAUUGGAUGAUCAUUUAAUUAAUUAACUCGGUAACAUUGAGAUCUACUUAUAACGUAUUAAGCUUAAUAAUAGAGAUAUGUAGAUAUAUAUGGACGGCUGACCACGUACGAUAUAAAUAAUAUACUUUCACCGUUUCAUUUUAUGCAGCAUCCUUUCCUUUUUAGUUCGUCUAAAAAAUGCUAUCAUCUUACAUUAUACCCAUAAUGAAAUAAAUUUACAGCCACACAAAUAUUUAAUGCUUGUUUUAGUUCACAAGUUUCAAGAUUUUUUUUUCUUAAAACCGUGCUAAGUCAAAGAUGCUACGUAAAAUGGGACGGCAUGAGUACCAUUCAUGUUUAAAACAUGUUAGCAAGGAAUAUGAGAGUGAUCACUCUAUUAUAAAUAGAAGGCUUCAUUGGUGAAGGAGUCAGAACUCACAACUCACAAGCAAAGCAAUACACAAAUCAGUAGUUAGCAUAAACAUGACAAAGUGCUUAUUUUUCUUGUGUUUCUGUUUGCUUCCCUUUGUGGUAUUUUCAUCAACUUUCACUAGCCAAAAUCCCAUUGAACUACCCACUGCUGCUACUUUUUUUGAGUUAGUACUAAACCGGAGCGGUGAACCAGUACUAGACCGGAGCGGUGAACCAGUUGAUGCUGGUUCAAGUUAUCGUAUGGUUUCCACUCUAAGGGGUGCUGGUGAUGUGUACCUAGGUGCCUUAGUCCCCAAAUUCAAUUGCGCCUUGUAAAGAUGGCGUAUUUCGUCACAACUCUGGUCUACCUAGAGGUACACCCGUCAAAUUCAUUAAGUCUGAUCUUACCAGAGGUAUCAAUGAAUACGAAAACAUCAAUAUCCAAUUCGACAUUGCAACUGUGAAACUAUGUGUUAGCUAUACAGUUUGGAGGGAAAAAUUGGCGAGACUACCCACUUCCAAAACUAUUUUGUCAUUUACCCACUAAAAUUAUUUUUGAUUUAAUUUUUAGGGUUAGAAUAUAAAAACUUGAAAAAAGCUUAAAAGUGGGGCCCACAGGUGGAUCAAGGGACAAUUUCAUCAUUUUUAGAACUUUGCAAAUUUAAUAUACUACACUAACACCCUACACUUAUUCCAAUAUCGGAAAAAAAAAACUCUCUCUCUCCUCUUCAAUUCUCUCAACUCCCGCUUAAGAAACCUUCAUCCCAAAAUUGCCAUUUUCAUUUCUUCUUCUUCUCCAGCAGAUAAGGGGUCGUUAUUGCAUCGUAAGGUUAGUUAAAAUCAAGUUGCGAUCAUUUCUAGAUCCAUUUAAACGGGUUUCUUUGCUAAUCGAUUCGUAGUGAUGUAGGAAAUUUAAAUUUUUUUCGAAUUUGGUUGAUUAAGGAGUUUUGGUUUAGUUCCGGUUUUGUUUAGCAAAAAAGUGUUGAAUAGUGGGAUAAUCGUUAUUUGAAGAGUUAUUUUGGCAUUUUGAUUCGAACAGCGAUCUGUUUCUGUUCGUAGACCCAUGGUCUAUGAAAUCGACCCGUAGUCUAUGAAAUUAGAAUGCCUUAGAUUGAAAUCAAUUUUUAGGCAUAUGAAAUUCUUUUAAAACAUGGUUGCUGAAAUAGUAGAAAUUGAAAGAUUAAUAGCUAAUUAGUUUGAUUAGGUGCACUAGUAUGAUUUUUAGAAAUUGUUGUGUUUUGAUACUGCAUGAUGGAUUUUGGUUCAGUUAUUGAAGUGUGUAGUGAACUGUUUGAUGGUGGAAGAGUUAUUUUGGCAUUUUGAUUCGAACAGUGACCUGUUUCUGUCCGUAGAUCCGUGGUCUAUGAAAUGAGAAUGCCCUAGAUUGAAAUCAAUUUUUUGACGUAUGAAAUUCAUUUAAAAUAUGAUGGCUGAAAUAGUGAAAAUUAAAAGAUUAAUAGCUAAUUAAUUUGAUUAGGUGCACUAGUUUGAUUUUGAUAUUGCAUAUUGGAUUUUGGUGGGGUAUUUCUUAAUUUUUUUGAGGGGAGGCGGGGGUUUCAUUUGAGCAUUGAGUUAUUUCUGUUGAUAGACUUGUGGUCUAUGAACUGAAAAUGGGAUAUUUAUUCUGCAGGUGUAGAUUGUGUUGAAAAUGGGUAAAAAAAUUACAUCCUUUCUAAACGCAAAGCCAGUACCAUUUCCGAUACUGCUGGUAGCAAUAGAAAAAGAAAAGUUGAGGCAGUUGGAAAUGUCUUAAAAAGAAAGAAAAAUAAAGAGUCGGUGUCCGAAUCAGAUUCGGAAUUAAAGGAGAUAAGCGACUACGUCGAUUCCAGUGAAGACGUUGUCAAGCACAAUGCUAGUGGUGACAGUGAAGAGAGCGAAGAUAGUGGAAGAAACAAUGUUGAUGGGGAUAAUGAUCCCUUGUCCAUGCCAUCUCUUUCAAGAUUCAUUUCCGUUGAGUGGUAUGACCUUCGAACGAUAAUGGACGAGGUCGGAUCUUUCCCGGAAAAGAUAUUGGUCAGAUCAAGAAUGACUGCUUAUCGAGAUUUCUAGUAAGUUUUUGUCGACCAAGAGUUGAAGAAAAGAUUCAAGCGGUCCUGUUUUGGACACCUGAGAAACCUGCCAGAACAUCUCAAGUUCAAUGGGCAGUUGGUCCAUUAGUUGUUAUUGCGACGCGUCAAGAACGAUAAGAUGCAUCACGAGAUGUGGUUCCGCGUUAACAACAAGCCUACAUGUUUUGGCUUGAAAGAUUUUUGUUUGAUCACUGGUUUGAACUGCUCAUCAUACCCCAGUGAAUAAAAAAUAAAGAGGGCGUUAGCAAAAGGGGAGAAUUUUUUCUUUAAGGUGACGAAAAACAAAAAUAUUAUGGCGGCCAACUUGCUACACCUGAUUAGAGGGAAUAAGCUGAACGAGGACCAAAAGUGUAAGUGUUGUUUACUAUGGUUCUUGCACACCAUGUUUCUUGCAAAAGAUUCGACGAAGGUUGUGGACACGAAACAGAUUCGAAUGGUCGAUUCUUUGAGUUUCUUCGAGAAUAAUCCAUGGGGGAAAGAGACAUUCAACUGACCCUGCACUAUCUAGAGAAGAAAAAUGAACUGAAGAAGCAGAGGUAAGUAUUUGAUAAGAAACAGAAGGCAUCCUAUGUUCUAUUCGGAUUUUCCUGGGCAUUCAUGGUAUCUACCAUAAACCCUUUAGUGAGUUUAUCGUAGAUUCUUGUUUUAUUUAUACUAUGUCAUAGACUCUGAGUUUUUUUCACUGAUGUACUGCUUAGAGGUUUGGAUCUACGAGGCCUUUCCUCAUCUUGGAAAAUUUGCUAGAAAAUCAACGAAUGAGCCCUUUCCCAUUCCCCGCAUCUUUAGAUGGCACACUACAAAAAGUGACCAGAUAAUCGAAGGCGACCCAUUCAAGUACAAAGAAAAAAUUACCGAGGUAUGAACUUAUUUUUUAUUAUGCAAUAAUAAUACUACUGUUAUAUCGAAUGUUAUGUAAUUGUUAAUUGAUAUUUUGUAGAACGUGCACCCGUACAUCAUCCCUACUCUUCGUGAGACGAAGAUGCAUUACAUAAUUUCCUUUGAGCCAUAUACAGAUGAGGUGAAGAAUCAUCCUCGAUGGCUUAAAGAAAGAGUUAGAAGGGGUGACUGUACUUAUUUCAAAUGAGGACAGUGAUGAUGAUGGGGAUUUGGACGAUAACCCCAUUGAAGUAUGAGUUGGUGAUGAUGAUACUCCGAGCACCUCCAAAGAUGCAGCGAGCACCUCAUUCCCCGAGGAUCUUCAUAAGCGUGUUGCUGAACUCGAGGAAGCGAUCUUGGAUAUUGCUGCCUAUAUUAGAGAGAAAAGACUGAAGAAAAAGGAACAAGAUGAGUAACAACACGAGCAAGGUAACUUCAUUCAAUCAAUAAUUGAUGUUGUUAAUGAAUUUUCAGCUUUAAAUAUAAACAACUCUUUGUAAUAUGAUGAUACAAUGAAUGUGGACCUUCGUGAAUUGGAGAGGAAUAAAAAAGGAGAAAAAAGGAGCAAAAUGGAUGAGUUGGCCUUUGCUGUGGUGUGAGAGAAAAAAAAAGAAGAAAAGAAAGAUGAAAAAGAAGAUAUGUGCUAAGAAAAAAGUCCAAAAGAAGCAGCUGCAUCAGAAGCAGAAGAAGAAGCUGAAAAAGAAGCAGCGGUAGAUGUUGAUAAAAAGGGAGAAGAAGGUGAAGAAGUACCAGCUGAAGAAAGUCCAAAGAAGCAGUUGCAGAAGCAGAAGAAGAACCUAAAAAAGAAACAGUAGUAGAUGUUGAGAAAAAAGGAGAAGAAGCACCAGCUGAAGAGGUACCAGCUGCUGCAGAUGAUGAAAUAGACGGAGAAGAAGGCGAGCAUGAAGAAGCAACCGAAGCUGCUGAGAAAAAAGGAGCUGAAGCUGACCAAAAAGAUUUGGUCAUGGAUAUCGUAGGUGAAAUCAAUAGUUACAUUUGUGUUGAUGAUGAAGACAGGUAAAAAUACAUUUGAAUGCUAAUAUUGUUAAUGUGUUGUUGAAUGAUCGGUAGUUAGGAUCGGACAAAUAUUUUUUUAUUAGAAACAUUAUUUUAUUUUAUGGUAGUGGUUAUGAUUUGCACUGAAUAUGUCUCUAUCAAACUGAUUAGUGGCAUUGCCAUUUGAAUAUGCAGGGUGUUUUCAUAGUUGGUGCAGUGUAUGGUUGAUAUCAUAGAAUGCAUACAUAAUCUUUCGUAUAUUGCUUGCAUGGUCUAUCAUUACCAUGCUGGUCGGUUUUAAGUCGACGUGUUGUUUGAUCGACAUGAUUCUAUCAAAAAUAGUUUAACAUUAUAGAAAAAUAGAAAUAUUAUUAUUUAUUCAAUAUCACUACAUCCAUGUUACACCUUUCCAAAGAACGAAUACUAGCAUUAUAGCACAUAACAUCAUUUUUAGGCCAUUCUCCCUUUCUUCGGUCAAAAUUAAUUUUUGUUUUAGUUGAUCCCUCUCUAUUUUGGUGUCAUGUAGCAACACUUUAAAGUGAUCCCUCUGUUCUUCGGAUUCUUUGAACAAAUUCAUGAGAAAAUCUUUAUUUUCUUCGCAUUGUUGGAGUCUUUGUAGUAGAUUAAAUUUUGCCAAGCCUUGAAAAUUUGAUGUCUCGGGUCCCGGACUCAACGUUGAUGGACUGGUUGGAGGUGAUAUCUCAUCAAGCCAUUUUAAAAAUGAGCAUGCGCCAUUAUCCUAGAAAAAAUAAUAAUUACAUAAUACUAACUUAACUUCAUAAAAAGACACACACCGCUUACCUUAGCAAUUGCACAAUUAUAAAAUUUGCGACCUGGAUUUGAGUCCGUGCGUGAUGUCCUCAAGGCAGCCGCAUUCCCACAAUGAAAAAUUAGAGUAUUUUUAGAAUUGGAUGUUUGAGAGGCUUGACACAUUGUAGAAUUUUUAAAAACAAAACAAAGCGAAUGAAAUAAAAUAAUGAGGGAUGACCGACCUUAUAUAUGAAGUAAAAAUAAAGUGUUGACACUGAUGGAUUAUAAAGGUAGCCGUUUAUUACCGUUGGAGCAGUAAUUUUAUUUUUAGAACUGGUGGUGACACUUAAUAGACCGUCGUAGAUCAUGACUUAUGUCAGCCAUUGAUUAGACUGGUCAACCGUAGACUUACACCUUUAGAUAUGCAUCGAUUAAUAUCCUAAGUAUGCGUAGACCACAUUGAUCGAUGUGCACUGCCAUAGACCGUCACUUGGAUGUAGUUAAAAAUAUAUAAAUAAAUUUAAAAUAAAUAUAGUGUUGAUUUCUACACAUGUGAGUGAGUGUAAACAAGACAAACAAUCAUAUUAGAGCUUGUACAAUGUGAAUUAAGGAGUGUGUGGAUUGGUAGUGGUUGAAUGUUCAAUAUGCUAAGAGUAGUGUUUGUCAAAGCACAAGUAUGUAUUAAGGAUAUAUAUUGUAUUGAUUGUACAAUGUGAAUUAAGGAGUGUGUGGAUUGGUAGUGGUUGAAUGUUCAAUAUGCUAAGAGUAGUGUUUGUCAAAGCACAAGUAUGUAUUAAGGAUAUAUAUUGUAUUGAGGAGGAGGAUUGUUCAACCACUAUUCAUUUCACACACUAUUUUGAUUUAGUGGUGGUGAUGGAAGGAGUAUGUGGAAUGUGUAGUCAUCAAAUACAAUAUAUAUCCUUAAUACAUACUUGUGCUUUGAGAAAUAUUACUCUUAGCACAUUGAACAUUCAAUCACUACCCAUCCACACACUCCUUAAUUCACUUUGUACAAGCUCUAAUAUGAUUGUGUGUCUUGUUUACACUCACUCACAUGUGUAGAAAUCAACACUACAUUUAUUUUUAAUUUAUUUAUUUAUUUUUUUAACUACAUACAAGUGAUAGUCUAUGGCAGUGCACAUUGAUCAACGUGGUCUACGCAUACUUAGGAUAUCAAACGAUGCAUAUCUAAAGGUGUAAGUCUAUGGUCGACCAGUCUAAUCGAUGACUGACAUAAGACAUGAUCUACUAUGAUCUAUUAAGUGUCACCACCAGUCUAUAGAACAGACUAAUCGAUGGACCCUCAAGAUUAUCUAUUUAUUUUAAUUAUUUUAUUCCACCGGCCCUAAAAUAUGUUAUUAUCUGUUUAAAUCAUUUUUAAUUUAAUUAUUUUGUUCCACCAGUCCCAAAAUAUGUAAUUGUCUGUUUAAAUCAUUUUUAUUUUAAUUAUUCUGUUCCAUCAGUCCCAAAAUAUGUUAUUGUCUGUUUAAAUCACUUUUAAUUUAAUUAUUUUGUUCCACCAGUCCCAAAAUAUGUUAUUUUCUGUUUAAAUCUUUUUUAAUUUAAUUAUUUAGUUCCACCUGUCCCAAAAUAUGUUAUUGUUCGUUUUAAUUUAACCAGUGACGCAUCGACUCACAUUAUCUACGAUCGACUACCAUACAAAGUCGAUGAAUGACGAAGUAUAUGAUUCAUGAUAGACUAUAUAUCACUUUUUACAGAAACUUGAAAUUAAUAAAGUCAAACUACAGUACUAUUAAUUGAACGAGACAUACAUAUUUGAAAUUCAUUUUUGUACAGAAGAAUAACCGCCACAAUAAAGAAAAAUGAAUGAUAACAAAUGUGGUAAACAUAAUGUUCAAACUGAAAUUGUUCAUUAAAGUGAACUGAAACUUACAUUAAACUUGUUCAUUGCAUUACUUGAUAAAAUUUACAGCAAAAGGGGGAAAAUAGAAGAAGCUUUCUUCUAACAAAGUCCUACUGAGAAAGUUUCUUUAGCAAUGAACAAACCAACAAAAACUUAACAACAUAAACAAAAAAAAUAGUAAACUAAAUUAUGGGGAUGAUGGGGGGUGAUGUAGUCGUUGCCGUCCAUUUCAAGACGCUCCAGAAUUGCUCGGAGGAAAUGAGCAAUUCGUCGGAGCUCAUGCUCCAAGUAACGACGGUCUUCUCCCAGGACGUAGAAUGGCCGGUCAAAAUUAUUUCGAAGUAGAAGCAAAUCGUAGUGACGAGGGGGAAUAGGUCUGAUUGGGCGAAGGGCAAUUCUAUGACUAGGCAUGAUUUCUAAUGUUUCGGAGAAGAAGAAAAGGGUUUCUAAUGUUUUGGGUUUAGGGACAAGUGAAGGGCUACGUAGAAAUAGGGCCUAUACUUAUAGACCUAUAGAUGGCGUCCUUUUAUAUAUCCAACCAAUGGUCAGUCGACACGUAUAGGAAUAGAAAACGUUUGCUUUGUGUAUACUAGUGGUUUUUCUUGAGAACAGACGUGUUUGCAGCUUUUAAUUAAUUAGGAACAGGAAAUAAUGAUUCAAUGUAUCUAUUAGACAGAUAUGGUGGUAUAAAUACCUACAUAGCGUGUUUGAUGAUUAAUCAUAUAACAAAUAUAUAUUAUUUAAUAGACCGAGUUAAAGAUAUACCAUAGAAUGUAUGUAGUCUAUUGUUGAAAAAGCUUUAAGUCGAUAACAACUGAACGUUAAAUUCUACUGAAAUGCAUAUUUAUACCCCAAAACAGUAGCUUUACAACUGAAGCAAAAUAAAACCUAUCUAUGAUUUGUUGGCCAUGCUACAUGUGGUUCUUUUGUGCCCAGAUUUCUUGCAUAUUGAAUACUUAUUUCUCCUUUUGUACUUGAACGUCUCACUGACGCCUGUCACAUCCCUUUUUCCACUCAAAGGAUCGAUUCGAAGGCUUUUUCCAAUCAAAGUGACGAUUUUGAAUAGGGAUUAGUUUAUUAACAGAGUCGCCACUUAGAAUUGAGUUAUGGUGUUUCAAGUCACCUUUUUGAAUCCCUAAUCAAAAGAAAAUGACUAUUUGUUGGUCUGCGAAAAUAGAAGACUGGGUAAGGAACUAUGUUGACCGAGGGGAAGGUGUGAGGCACCCCUCAAGUCAUGUGGUUCUAGCAUGGUCUCUUUUAUUGACUUAUCUUGACUUAAACUAUUUUGGAUAAAUUGUGUUAAGGCCUAUAUUUGCUCAUUUUAAUAUAUAUUAAAACUAUUUAAAACUCUUGUAUUAAAUUUGUGAAAAAUUAAGUUUAGAAAAAUAUUUACCAAAGUGCAUUUUUGCAUCCUUGAAUUUUAAAAUAUCUCGAAAAGAUGCGUACGCCGUAUUCUUUAUUAAGACGAAUAUUAAAUAUCUAAAAUUUGUCUAGCGUUAAAAAACAUUCGUUCUUUAAUUAUAAACUCAUAACAAUUUUUAUCUAUUAUAAAAGUUAUUCAACUUUAACAAUAAGAUUAAGCGAAAUCCAUUUAAAAAAAUAAAUAAUUUAUUAAAUAAUUAAUAAACUUUAUUAAUAACAUUUAAUAAAAAUAAUAAUAAAAUAUAGUAAAAAUAAAAAUAAAUAAAAUAAAUAAAUAAAUAAAUAAAUAGAUCAAUUAUCUAUAUUAUGCUAAUUUAUUAUGAUUCUUAUAUUUAUUUUCUUUAAAAUAAUUGCAAAUCCAAAAAUCACUUAAAAAAAUAAUUUUUCUUUAAUAUAUUUAUAUAUAUAAAAAAAUUGAUUUUUAAACAAACAAAAGAUUGAACAGUUGUUAAAUAUCAUACAAAGUAAACAACAGUAAACUAAAAAAGAAAAAAAAACGACAACUGAUCUGAUUUUCUUUGGAAUCUGGCAUUUAUGAUGACUGUGAGUAUCACCGACUGGAGAGGGAGGGAAGGAAUAUCAUUUUAUUUUUAGUUGAUGUCAGCGCCGGUGAUGAUGUUUUUUCAGCGGAAUUAGUCGAAAAAGAUCGGUUUUGCGAUUUUUCGACGAGAUUUGGUCGGAUCUAGGAGGAGAUCGGCGGAUCUGGUUCGUGGUCGCCGGUUUCGGUUCUAGUGAAAGGUUCCAGCGAGGGGCGAUUCUGGGCGAUUGAUUAGUUUUUCGGUGACAAGAAAAUAAGUCCGGUGGUUUUUCGCCAUUUUCCGAUGAAGAUGGUCAUUGGAAUAGCGAUGGGGUAGACUGGUUGGAUGCGUUUUGCCGGCCAAUGAUGGUUGGCAAUGGCUGGACAGUUGAUUUUCAAUGAAAUUCAACUGGCGACGGUGAUGGAAAAAAAUGGGGACGGAAAGUGGAAAAAUUCUUUAGGUGUGUACCGCGUUGGUGGUUGCCGGCGGCGUUUUUUCCGUUAAUGGUGUUGACAAUGGUAGUUGGUGUAUUCCGGUAAUAUGUCACCAAAAAAAUUAUUCCACCAUACAUUUUCUCUCCCCCACUGAUAUACUUUUAUUCUACUAUUUUUUACUUAAUUUUUACACUCUGUUGUGUGUGUACAGCGACUGCUUGUGAGUAUGAAUAGCUCUACAUAUGAAUUAUAACAGUAUAGAAUCUGAUGGUCUGAUGAUUUUUUUUCUACCUCUGUUUGAAUAGUGUAAAUAUCCUUAAAUAGAGGGAUUUGAAAAAAGGGGGGAACAAUUAUCUUUUCAAAGGGGAGUAGUUUUAACAACAGAUAAGGGGAGAGUUAUUUAAAAUUUAAAAUUUUUAUUUUUUAUUUAUUUUAAUAAAAUAUAAUAUUAAUAAUAAAUCAAUGAAUAAAUAAUAUAAUAAAAGUAAUAAUUAAUUAAUUUUAUAGUUAACAGAAGCAUAAUAAUAAUUUAUAAAUCGACAUAAUAAAUAUAAUAAAAUAAUAUUAAAACUAUUAAUUUAUUUAUUAAAAUUUAUAAAAGAAAACAUAUAUUUUUAAUUUUUAUAUUAUUUUUUAAAAUUAGAAUAAAAAUAACAUAUGAUUAAAUAUAAAUAUAAAUAUUUAAUAUUGAUAGACAAGUUAAAAUUUAGGGAUUGUCAAAAAUCACGUAUCUACAUUUUUGCCCCUCUUUGUGUGAAAUCUCGAAGAGUUUUCAUACAAAGAAGUAGACGAGAUAUUUGACCCUUCAAUUAUUUAGAAGGUAAGAAUAAAAGGAAAAAUGUGACCGAGUCCUGGUUUUUGGACAUCCUACCUAUCCCGGGUUAUAAGGGAUUCAGGUCACGCGUAGUUCAAAAGUAAUCUGGUGAGAGAAAAAGUUAAAGCCGAGUGAGAUUCUGUCGAGUUUUCGAUUAACGACUUCUGCUUUUACAUUCAACUGACUAAAUAAAAAUCAAAAAAUGAAAAAUACAAGUAAAAAUUACAAUCUCUAGAAUCUUGAUUCAAGCCUUCGCGACUUGAAUUUGAAAAUUUGCCCUAUUCUUCAGGCGGGCACCUGGACUUGCAACUUCUUCACCUUGUUCUUCAGGCGAGCUCCUGCAAUUACUUUUUUUUUCACUUUCACCCUGUUCUUCAGGGGGGCUCCUGGACUUACAAUUUCUUCACCUUGUUCUUCAGGCGGGCUCUUGGACUUUCUUUUUCUUCACCUUAUUCUUCAGGCGGGCUCCUGGACUUCUAAUUUCUUCACCCUAUUCUUCAGGAGGGUUCCUGGACUUACAAUUUCUUCACCCUGUUCUUCAGGUAGGCUUCUGAACUUACAAUUUCUUCACCCUGUUCUUCAGACGGGCUCCUGGACUUUCAAUUUCUUCACCCUGUUCUUCAGGCGGGCUCCUAGACUCUCUUUUUCUUCAGUCUGUUCUUCAAGUGGGUUCCUGGACUCAAAGAAAAUAGUGAAACAGAAAAAUAACAUCCCAUUCUUCAGGAGGGUCCUGGAUAAAUAAAUUCUCAUUCUUCAGGAGGGUCCUGAGCAAAAAUAAAUUUUUAUUCUUUAGGAGGGUCCUGUGCAAAAGAAUAAAUUUCAUACAACACACAUAAAAUUUUGCCCCAGUUUGUACUGAAAAAAUUUGUGCGUCACCGGAUCUUAAUACAUCUCACAAAGAAUAAAGUUUACCAUAACUGAGAUCCAUCAUCAGAUACUGUAACCAUGCUUCUUGCGUUGACAGAAAUGUGGAAUUAAAUCCUUUAUUUGAAAACUUUUAGUGUAAAAAAAAAAAUAUCCUAUCUCUGUUUCAAACAAAGAAAAAUUGUGAGUUUUAAAAUAUGUGGUGGUUGGUUUGUGGCAUUUGUCUUUUGAAGUGGCCACUCUCGCACGUGCCAUGCUCAACUCUUUUCCAAUCCAUUAUAAUAUUCAUUGUAUUGUCGUACUUCUGACUCAGAAUUUUGACUACUGAGAUCCUCAACUCAAAUCAUGUUUCUGUGUAUGUUGCUUCUGAGUUUAGCUUCCAAUACAUCCCUUAGAUUUUCACAAGUUUAAAAUGGUCAAAUGACCAUCAUCUUGAGUACCUUACUUUUACUUUGAAAUGUUGUCUCUAUGCAUCGAUCCUUUGUCUUGCUUUGUACCCUUAAAGGAGUUGGUAGCGAGUUUGGAGUCCUUUCUCACUCGACCUAACGUGAAUUUGGCUCAAAAGACAACAAAAAUUUUCAUUUGAUGACAAGGACACAAAAAAUUGAAAAUUAAAAUAAAACAACAAGAAAAAGACAAUAGGCAUCUCUUUCUCAAAACAAAGAGAAAACUUAUUUGAAAGUAGAAACCAAUUCUGGUGAUUAUGACACGCAUUUUGAAUCAAACAGCCAGAUCUACCCACACCAAUCAUUACAAAUUUUGUCCACUUAUUGAGCUUGAAAUUAAGUCAAUCUUGAACUUGUUUAUUCUUGAUAACAACCUUUGUUCGGCUAGUGGCACCUCAAUGGGUUUUUGCCAACGAGUCUAUCUCCUUUUCAUUUUUGUCUCAGCUCAUAGUUGUCUUAUGAUGCCCGAAAGGGUUUUCACCAAUAAGACUCUCUCAUUUUCAUUUUUUUAUUUUUUUUAGUAGAUAAACACCCAAAAUAUGAAAUAUCAUGCACUCAUAACAUGUUUAGCCUUAACGUUAUCAAAGAUUGAUCCUAAGGUCUUUCUUUGGUUGUAAAUUGGCUUUUGGAUAGGGUUAGAAAGAAACAUCGGCAUGAGGCUCAAAAAUUUAUAUAACAUUGAGUGAAACAUACAACUUUUGGAAUCGAUUCUUUUAAGAAAAUAAAUUUUUUCCCAGUUUCAUUUCAUUCUGGGUAAUUUGAAUUUUCUUCUGGUUAGACCGAAUCCCAGAGUAGGGCUGCCUACAUAUCUUGUCAUAGCAAGAAUCAGGUCAAACGUAGUUCAGGAAAUAUCAUUCCUUUGUUUGAUUUUGAAUUUUUGAUUGAUUUCUUCUUCUUCUUGUUCUUUUUCUUCAACUUUUUUUUUUAUAAUUUUUUUUCAACUUUUUUUUUAUAAUUUUUCUGACUUUAAUUUGAUUUCAAAAGAGGGGUACGAAGAAAAAAGAAAAGCUCAAAGGGGUAAGCAAAGGUUGAUAUAUUAUUCGGAUAGUAGAACAAAAUGCCUUCAUCAUUUCAAAUCUUUCAAAAUGUAAGUACAAAACAUACAUAACAUAAUUGUACAUGAAUAUCAUACAUAAUAUCUUUUAACUGCAUCAGCAUUGACCAUCAUUCCUUUCAUUUUUCCUUCUACAUCAGUUAGAUAUAACGCACCAUUAGGUAACACUUUCUUCACCAUGAAUGGCCCAUUCCAAUUAGGAGAAAAUUUGCCUUUGGCUUCAAUCUGAUGGGGUAGGAUGCGUCUUAGUACUAACUGACCAACUUCAAAAUGUCUGUGAUGCACCUUUUUGUUAUAUGCUCGUGACAUUCUCUUCUGAUAUAGUUGUCCAUGACAUACUGAUGUUAAUCUUUUCUCAUCAAUCAAGAUUAAUUGCUCCAAAUGAGUCUUGACCCAUUGGUCAUCAUCAAUUUCAGCUUCCACAACUACUCAAAGAGAUGGAAUCUUAAUCUCUGCAGGUAUAACUGCUUCAUUUCUAUACACUAAAAAGUAAGGAGUUGCACCAAUUGAAGUUCUAACUUUAGUACGAUAACCCAACAAAGCAAAUGGUAACUUUAUAUGUCAUUGUCGGGAACCUUGCACCAUCUUUCAGAGUAUUUUCUUUAAGUUCUUGUAGGCAGCUUCGACAGCUCCAUUUGCCUUUGGGCGAUAAGGAGUUAAAUUUCGAUCCAUAAUAUUAAAUUGUUGACACACUUCUUGCAUCAAAUGACUAUUGAGGUUUGCAGCAUUAUCCGUGACAAUUAUCUUUGAAAUGCCGAACCAAUAAAUGAUGUUGGAGUGAAUAAAAUCAACCACCACUUUCUUAGACACUGACUUGAAAGUCACUGCUUCAACCCACUUCGUGAAAUAAUCAGUGGCUACCAAGAUGAACCUAUGUCCAUUCGAGCCCUUUAGUUCAAUUGGUCCAAUUACGUUCAUUCCCCAAGCUACAAAAAGCCGUGGAGCAGUCAUUGUAUGCAACUCAGAUGGAGGGGAAUGUAUCAAGUCUUCGUGUACCUGGCAUUCAUGACAUUUACGAACGAAAUUGAUGGAAUCUCAAUCCAUGGUGAGCCAAUAAUAACCUGCUCGGAGUAUUUUCUUUGCCAAAAUAUACCCACUCAUGUGUGGUCCACAAAUUCUAGAAUGCACUUCAGUCAUAAUUUUUGAACCUUCUUUAGCAUCUACACACCUCAGAAGUCCUAAAUCAGGAGUUCUCUUAUACAAGAUUCCUCUACUUAGGAAAAAUCCACUAGACAAACGUCGAAUGGGUCUCUUUUGGUUACCCAUCAGCAUGUAUAGGAUAUUUUCCAGUAUGAAUAUAUUCUUUGAUAUCUUGGAACCACGGCUCCCCAUCAAGUUCUUUUUCAACCAUAUUACAAUAUGCAUGUUGAUCAUGAAUCUGUAUAUGCAAAGGAUUAAUAUAAUUUUUGUUGGGAUGUUGAAGCAUUAAAGAUAUGGUCGCCAAAGCAUCAACAAUCUCAUUAUGAGCUCUGGGAAUGUGUUUGAACUUUAUUGAUACAAAUCGUUGAUAGAGAUCUUGCAAACAAACUCUAUAUGGUAGGAGUUUCGAAUCACGAGUCUCCCAAUCUCCUUGGAUUUGGUGGACUAAUAAAUCUAAAUCUCCUAAUACCAACAGUUCUUGGAUCCCCAUGUCAAUGGCUAAUCUCAAUCCCAAAAUGCAAGCUUCAUAUUCUGCCAUAUUAUUGGUACAGUAGAAUCGAAGUUGGGCUGUUAUAGGAUAAUAUUGUCCUUAUUCAGAAAUAAGAACUGCUCCUAUCCCCACUCCUUUUACAUUAGCAGCUCCAUCAAAGAACAACUUCCAUCCUGAAUAACAAUCAUCAGAAAUAACUUCAUCAACAUACAUUACCUCUUCAUCUGGAAAAUAAGUCUUCAAUGGCUCAUACUUCUCAUCAAUAGGAUUUUCAGCCAAAUGAUCCACCAAGGCUUGAGCUUUCAUUGCAGUUCGUGUCACAUAAACAAUAUCAAACUCUGUAAGAAACAUCUACCAUUUCGCGAGUCUGCCUGUGGACAUAAGCUUCUAAAAAAUAUAAUUUAAAGGAUUCAUACAAGAGAUGAGGUAAGUAGUAUAAGAUUACAAGUAAUGUUUCAUCUUUUGGGCUACCCAAGUUAAGGCGCAGCACGUCUUCUCAAGAAGAGUGUACUUAGCCUCAUAAGUGGUAAACUUUUUGUUGAGGUAGUAGAUGGCUUGUUUUUUUCUGCCCGUGACAUUAUGUUGACCCAAUACACAGCCAAAAGAAUUUUCUAAAAUAGAUAUAUACAAUAUCAAGGGUCUGCCUGGCUCUGGAGGAACCAAAAUAGGCGGAUUCGACAAGUGUCUCUUAAUUCUGUCAAAUGCCUCUUGACAUUCUUCAGUCCAUUCAACUUUAACAUUUUUGUUCAACAACUUGAAUAUUGGCUCACAGGUUGUCGUAAGCUGAGCAAUGAAUCUACUGAUAUAAUUCAACCUUCCAAGUAAACUCAUCACCUCUAUUUUAUUUUUUGGUGGAGGUAAAUCUUGGAUAGCUUUUAUUUUUGAAGGAUCUAACUCAAUACCAUGUUUUCUGACUAUAAAACCCAAAAGUUUUCCUGACGGAACUCCGAAUACACAUUUUACUGGUUUAAGUUUGAGAUCAUACCUUCGAAGCCUUUCAAAGAAUUUUCUCAGAUCUUUGACAUAGUUAGCCUGCUCUCUUGACUUAAUGAUCACGUCAUCCACAUGAACUUCAAUCUCUUUGUGCAUCAUGUUAUGAAACAUUGUGGUCAUUGCCCUCAUAUAAGUUGCCCCAACAUUCUUUAGUCCGAAAGGCAUGACUCGAUAAUAAUAUGUCCCCCAUGGAGUAAUAAAUGAUGUCUUUUCUGCAUCUUCUGGAUCCAUAAUGAUCUGGUGAUACCCCGCAUAACAAUCCACAAAAGAAGACAGAUCAUGUUUAGCACAAUUAUCCAAUAAAAUAUGGAUAUUGGGAAGUGGAAAAUUAUCUUUCAGACUUGCUUUAUUUAGAUCACAAUAAUCAACACAUAUCCAAACUUUGCCAUCCUUAUUUGGAACAUGGACAAUAUUUGCUAACCAAGUAGGAUAUUGGGCCACUCGAAUGACUUUAGCCUCGAGUUUCUUCGUGAUUUCCUCUUUUAUCUUUACACUCAUGUCAGUUUUGAGCUUUCUCAGCUUUUACUUGACAGCAGGAAAAAUAGGAUCAAUUAGCAACUUAUGAACUACCAAUUCAGUGCUCAAACCGGGCAUAUCAUCAUAAGACCAUGCGAAGAUGUCUUUAUACUUAUGCAAAGCUUAAAUUAUAGCUUUCUCUUAUUGUGGUUGACGUGUACACUUAUCUUAGUCUCCCUAAUAUUUUUAUGAUCUUCUAAAUUGAUCGCCUCAAUUUUUUCCAAAUUGGGAUUUUUCUUAUUCUCAAACUGUUUGAAAUGCUUGCUUAUAUCCUCAAAUGUUUCUCCUUCAUAGUAUUCAACUUCUUUAUUCAUUAUUUCAUAAUUAGAUUGAGUUUUUAAAUCUGGUUGACAAUUCUUCAUGCAUUUCAUAUCAUUAGAAUCGGCAUAGAAAGAACUGUAUGAUAGAAGAAUAAAUAAAUAAAUAUCAGACCCAAAAUAAAACAAAAGGAGACUGCACUUUAUUAAAAACAAAGCUAGAAAGAGUUUUAACCUAAAAUACCAAUGUAAAGGUCUGAAUUACAAUCCUAAAAUUAUUCAAAUUACAGAAAGAAAAACAAGCUACUAAGAUUGUAAGAAAAACAAACAAACUACUAAGACUCCUUCAUAAUAGGGAGAGGAGUGGCCUCCCAAUUGUUAAGCUGGACAUCAGGACCGACAAACUGCACAUCUGUAUUGCUGGUACCUUCCCCGAUUUUAACCAUAUAAACUUCAAUGAACAUAUUCUAAAAAAGGUCAAUGAACUCUGUACCAUCAUCAUUCAUUGAUUCUACAGUAGGUAACUUGGAGGAUCGGACAUCACUGAAUUUGAUAAAAGACUCAUGAAGUGGCGGUAUCGGCUUGGUAAGUGACCAUGACUCUUUCUUACACUUUUUAGCCUUCUUUAUAUCUUCAGCAGUAGGCUCGUAUCCCAAACCACAAGUACCAAAGUUCUCAUAGAGGUUUACCGGAUGAACUAUGCCUUGCAAAAACAUCCCUAGAACUUUUUCUGGUUCAAAACCAUGCUUCAACAUUUCAUUCACUACCAUAACAGAUGCAGAGGACAAUUGUGGUCUUGCGAUGAGAUUCUCCUCAAGGAUAUGCUCAACAACUACUACCUCAGAAGCUUGAUGAAUUAACACAUUGGCAGUAUCUGCUUUGAUGGAAGCAACAGAGUAGUCUUUAUACAUGGAUAAGUCUCCUUCACCAUGAAUAACUAUCUCUUUCUUGUCACAUUCGAAUUUGACCAUUUGAUGCAAUGUUGAUGCGAAUGCUUUAGCCCUAUGAAGCCAUGGCCUGCCCAAUAACAUGUUAUAUGAAGCAUCAAUGUUCAGCACUUGGAAAUCCAUAGCAAAAUAUCCAGGUCCGAUUGUCAAUAUGAGUUCUAUUUCACCAAGGGCAUCAGUUUUUGAUCCGUCAAAACCCUUGACGCAUACAUUGUUAGGUCAAAUUCUCUCCACAUUAAUAUUCAACUUUUGAAAAGUUGACAUAGGACAAAUGUUAGCGCCUGAUCCUUCAUCAAUUAACACUCGAAUGACAACAAAAUUCUCAUAUUUCACAGAAAUGUACAGACCUCUGUUAUGCUCAGUACUUUCCAUAUGCAAUUCAUCAUCUGAAAAAGUAAUUGUAUUUGCUUCAAGGAUUCUUCCAAUAACUUUUUCCAGCUGAUUCACUCUAAUCUCAUUGGGAACAUAUUCUUCAUUAAGAAUUUUCAUUAUAGUCUGGCAGUGUUCCUCUGAAUGUAUCAAUAAAUACAACAAAGAAAUUUGUGUUGGUAUCUUCUUCAACUGUUCCACAACAGAAUAUUCUGGCAAUUUUAUUUUCUUUAAGAAUUCUUCAACUUCUUCAUCAGUGACAGGCUUCUUAACUGUCAUUCGUUCUUCACCGCCUUGUUUAUUCUUUCUUAACUCUACUGGAGCAUAACAUCUUCCAGAUCGAGUUAAUCCCCCUACUUCAUGUACAUCUUCAGUAACAUGUUUCCCCUUGUGCAUCACCACAACACGAUCAUAAUUCCAAGGGACAACCUUGGUAUCAACCAUAAGCUACUGUGACAUUGGUUUAAUAACAAUAGGAGCUAUGAGAGCUCCUUUUAUGAUUAAAAGAGGCUUAUUGGAUCUUCUAGGAAUAAUAAGUUUUGGCUUUAUUUGACUUGACCUAAUAUUUUCUGAAAUCUCUUUCCCCAUCACCAAGGGAGCGUUUGAUGAUUCGGGUUUUGCUAUCACCACCUCUAUUUCUGCAGGCUUUUCCUUUGUCAAAUCCACAACAUUUGCUAUUUUUUCUGAAUCGAUUUUAAUUUUAAUGAUCGACUUAAAGGAUAUCAUAGCAUCUUCACCAGUGAGUAUCACUUCGAGCAUGUUUGUUUCAUUAUAAUCUGGCAGCGGAUUUUGAUUGACAUUUAGAGCGUCUGGACUUUUUACCAUAAUCUGUUGGGUAUUAAUCAACUCUUGAAUGGCUCUUUUCAGAUACCAACAUUUCUCUGUGUUGUGUCCUGGGGCAUCAGAAUAGUAUUCAGAUCUUCUAGAAUAGUCCAAGUUCUUCGGAGAAGGAUUUGGGAUCCUUCGCUCAAUUGGGUUUAGAACAUCAUUUUUCUCAGCCUAUGAAAUAAACUAGUGUAAGAUAUUCCAAUAGGAGUGAAAUUAUCUUUUACCAUGUUAUCCCUUUUAAAUUCUGCUCUAGGCUAAAAAUUAGACCUCGGAGGGCCUCUUUGAACUUACGGGGCCAUUGGAUGAUUUUGGAUUACUGGUGCACACCACUGCGGGUAAGAAGGAUCUCGAGCAUAUGGUUGUGUAUUGUAAAUAGGAUAUUUGGGAGAUGGAAUGAAAUAUAAUGGAUUUUGUGCGUAUGGUUGAUGCGUACCUCUCCAAUUUUGUCGUGGACCUAUCACAAUAGUUGGUACAUCCUCUUUUUUUUUUCUUUCCCUCGAAACUUCCUGCACCACUUUGAAUUGCCUAUGUUGUUGCUUUCAAAGUGGCCUGGCUGAUGAUCUUUCUUGACUUGAUUCUAUUUUCUACCAUCUUUCCAACUUUAAUAACUUCGGCAAAUGUGCUUCCAAUAGUAGAGAGCAAAUGAUGGAAAUAAUCAGGUUCUUGUGCUUGCAGAAAAAUAUCAAUUAUUUCAGAUUCUUUUAUCGAUGGUAUGACUCUUGAAGCCUGCUCUCUCCAUCUGACAGCAUACUCUCAAAAACUUUUGGUCAUCUUUUUUCUCAUAUUGGCAAGCGUAGUGCGAUUUGGCACUAUCUCAAUGUUAUAUUGAAAUUAUUGAAGAAAAUAUCGAGCCAUGUUAUCCCAUAUGUGCCAACGGGAAAUGUCUUGAUCGAUGAACCAUUCAGAAGUUAUCCCUAUAAGGCUUUCUCCAAAGUAAGCCAUCAAUAAUUCUUCUUUUCCUCCUGCUCCCCUUAAAUGAUUGCAAAAAUUUUUCAAAUGAGCUACUGGAUCAUCGUGUCCUUAAUAUUUGUCAAAUUUUGGCAUUUUGAACCCUAUCAGCAAAUAGACAUCAGGAAACAUACAUAAAUCCUUUUAUGAACCACUUUUUAGUCCACCUAAUCCUUGCAUAUUUCUCAUACUCUACUCUAGACCUCUAACUUUUCUAGCCAUCUCCUCCUGUUCCACAUUCUUGUCAAUCUUCUCAAUCACGAUAGGAGUAUCGCGUUUAUGAACAUGAUAAUGUGGAUUUUGAUAUUUGAAAGUCAUUUCAGGAGGGUACGACAUAUCAUAACUUGGUUUACCCGUAUUCUUCGGUACUGUCGGUUGAGUACUCGCAGUAGCUGGUGCUACAGAAGUAAAAAGUGGGUUAUUUACGACAGAUGGAUUCAGUGGGUGCAUGGUAGAAGUACUAGCAACUCCAGUCAUAUUAGCAAAUAGGACAAAUCCUGGUGGGUAAAAUGGAUCACUAGUUUGAGCUGGGUCAAAAUUUGGAUCAUUCGAAGUUGAAAGUCCAGGGAUUGAAGAAAACGGGGCUUGUCCAUUCAACUAAGCUUGGUACAUCUCCGCCAUCUGUUGUUUCAAUGAUUUUAUUUCUUCCAUUGAUGCUACUUCCUAUGAAAUCAACUGAUUCUGCUCUUCUUCACUGUCAGACCCUAUACCCUCUCUGCGAGUCAUUCUUCUUUUACCCUUGUAUCUGGUGUUAUAUGGAUGUGAUGCCAGUUUAAACCACAAACCAACCACCAAUUACUUUAUCUUUUUGUUACCAAGUAGCAAAUGGGUAGUGUUAUAUAUUUAACACAUUAUAACGCCACGUUAUAUGUCAUGUUUCUAUAUGCAUUUCCCAACCUAUCAUGGAAGACUUUGUGUUUCAUCUCAGCUUUUCUAGGCAUGUAUUUUCAAAAUUUAUGAUCGAACCCUUUGGAGGGUUGCCUACCUAUCAUGCCAGGACAUAAAUCAGAUCUUGCGUAGUUCCGAAGGAAUUUAGCAAAAUUGUUUUGUCUUUUUUUAUUGAAGAAAAUAUUUAAAGUUAGUGAAGUAAAACAUAAGUAGUAUAUAUAGAAAUAAACAGUCAACUUCAUUACAUUCUAUAAUAUAAAUACGACAAAAUAACUGACCCAACUCCUAAAAUAAAACCUACUAACUAACAUCUGAAAACUAAAAGACAUAACAUCUAAACAAGAAGUUUUAAAACAGAAAAAAGAAAAAAUAUGAAAAAGAAAACAACUAUCUAUUCAAGGAGACUUCGGCUUAAUAUGUCCUCCCAAGCUAAAGUAUAUGUCCUCCAAUAAAGUAGUGAGACGCUGUGCGAAAGCUGGUACUUGUGACAAAAAGUCAUCACAAUCCAACUGCUGAUAAUUCAAACCCAUUCUGGCAGUAUCCUGUGCUACACGGCGGACCUUUUCUUGAAGAGAACUGAAGGCCUGAUCCCAUUCGUGGGCCUGUCGAUCUUGAAAAUCAACCAUCUCUCUUGUACGCUGUUCACGAGCAGAAGCAACCUCUAACUAUUCUCGCAAUACUCCUCUUUCACGGAUCCACUGAGAUCUCUCUCGAUCAAAUUCUUCUUGUAUAUUCUUUUCAACUUCUUGUAGUUGUUGUUGGCGAGAUGCGGCAAGUUCUGCAACGUGUGACCCCCUAGUGGUAGCAAGCUUGAUUUAUCCCCGAAGUGCAACCUCAAUAUCUGUUGACUUAGCUUUUUCUUCAGCAAAUUCCCUUUGUUGUUCGUCUAUUUUUGCCCUGGCAUGCUCUAAUUCUUCUCUCAAAGCUUAGUUGGCCUCAUGAUGUUCUCGUAUGGCUCUCUCAAUUUCUAUCUUGAUUGCAGUUUCCUGAUCUAUAGGUCCCCUAACCGAUCUUUUUGGUCUGACUGGUGGACUCGACUGUCCUUUAAACUAUUCACGAUAAUCUGGGUGCACUCUCCUUUCUCACGUUCUUUGACCAUCAUUUCAAUCCCCAUAAUACGGCAACCCUCCCAAAUCUGCUAGGCCAAAUCUUCUAAAAGUGGAAUCUCUUGUCUGACCUCAAAUACAAACUCAGUUAUGUUUUCCGUUGUGGGAAUUAUUUGACGCCUACCUAGCUGGCGUAGAACCCUCAACGGAACAUAUGGUUGAACACCUCUAAUACCCAUUAAUAACAAGAACGGACGAAUGACAAAACUAUGUAUGACUUGCCUCCAAGGGAACCAAUGGAGAUUCCAAGUGAUUUUAUCUGUUGUCAAAGAACGAAAAAGCUUAACCUAAUCUCCAAUUUCUUUUGGACAUUUAUAUUUCUCCAUCCUUUCCUCGUAAUCGUUGAUGCGAUUAAAUCGCUCAGGAUCGAACCUUGUCAUUGUAGGACGUUAAUAAAGAUGCUCCACAAUCCACAUCUGUAACAAGAUAUUACAUCCCUUGAAAAAANNNNNNNNNNNNNNNNNNNNNNNNNNNNNNNNNNUACGGCUAGGAUCAUUUGUACUAUAGUGUAAUCUUUCUUAAUCCGUAUCUGUAUCAUUGAUUCUCAUGAUACUCGUAAAAAAAUCCAAAUACUUAUGUAUCUCGCCAUAAUCGAAUGUAUCCAUUGCAUUCCACCAUAACCAAAGCUGCAGAGGGAUUUCAUCAACAACCUGAAGUGGUACACUUCCAUCCCUCUUUCUUUUUGACACUUUCCACGAGCUGGAGGAGACAUUUUAUACCUAUUGAUAAGGACGUGAGAUUAAUAAAUGUCUAGACUUAGGCAAAACUUAAUUUAUUAAUUUUGAAAGAAUUUAAUCUUGACUCGUGAGACCUAAUGCGACCAUUAUUGGGACUUAGUUGUAAAGAACAAUUUUAUCAAAGUGAGAGAAAUAUAACUGAUAAUAUUUUUAGAAAAAUCACUAAUUUAAAUUGACUCUUUUAAAAAUUUUGCAAUAACAGACCUCUAGACAAAUUUAAACUAUAUGUUUGAAGACAAUACUCCUAAAUAUACUUAAAAGAACAAAAAUAAAAUAAAAUGACUUAGAAAUAAAGAAAAAGAAGAAUGAUCAUUUUAUACAUGAAGUUGUAUAAAAAUUUUAGUCUCACGACCCCUGAAGGUUCAAGACUGUUAAAAUAUAUGUUUACAUAUUUUAUUACUUUGCAAAAAUUCAGCUCACGACCCCAAAAGAUUCAAGCUAUUAUGAUUUUUAUGUUAAAAUUAAUUUUAAAAAUAAGAAUGAAAAGUAAAAUAAAGAUAAUAAUAUUCAUGAAAACAAUUAUUUUUCUUAUUAUUAUUAGUAUUUUUAUUAUUUUUUCUAAAAAUAUCCUUCGAUAAAUCUGUGAAUAAAUAUAUUGUUAUUAUUUUUCAAAUAAAUGGUCGUAUCCUGGGUAGGACUUCCUACGUAUCUCACAAAAAGUGAGAAUCAGGCCCUCGUAGUUCAUGAAGAUUGUAAAAACUAUGUUGUUGUACAUUUAAAAAUUUUCUUUAUUUUUUUUUUCAAAAAUAAAAAUUCUUCUUUCAAAAAUGAUUAACUAAAUUUGAGGAUAAAUUAAUCUCUCGCAUUUUUAAAAUUACCUAAAGCUGGUCAACAAAUAAAUAGCCUUCCAAGCAAAUGUCAAAGAGCACGUAUGAUGCACAUGUUGGUCUUUAUAAAUUACGUCACCUGUCCUAGACAUACCCGACCCCUGUGCCGAGUCCUGCUAAGUCAAAUGCAUAUGAUGCAAAUAAAGCGGUACCUAAUAGGGAUAACCAGAUUCUGAUUUUUCAGUUCUUCUAAGUUUAUGCCUAAUAGGGAUAGGUGUCUAGACUGGUUUACCCGAGCGGACACUCGAGCCGGGGAGGGACAACUUGGUCGGUAGCAGGGAAACACCGCCUUCGUUGUCGAUCCGAGCCCCUCCUAACAUGUGUAACUAUAUCCUUCACCAUGUGCCUUGACACUCCGGCUAUCUCAAAAAGAAGGUGGGAUGCAUAUGUUGCAUUCCCUCUAUCCUAUUUCAGAGACUCAGAGGGGGUACGUGAGAGAAGACAAUAUAUAAUACAGUUAAAAUAAUAUCAAAGCAGUAAAUGAGCAACAAGUAGCACAUAAGGCCAACAAACACAAUAUCAACAAUAAUUAAAGCAAGUAUAAGUCAAUAUAAAAAGCUCGAAUUCUUAUUAAUUCCCCAGCAGAGUCACCAGAGAUGUCACACCUCUUUUUUCGCUCAAAGGAUCGAGUCGAAGGGUUUUUCAAUCAAAGUGACGAUUUUGAAUAAGGAUUAGUUUAUUAACAGAGUCGCCACUUGAAAUUGAGUUAUGGUGUUCCAAGUCACCUUUUUAAAUCCCUAAUCAAAAGAAAAUGACUCUUUGUUGGUCUGCGAAAACAGAAGACCGGGUAAGAAACUCUGUUGAUCGAGGAGAAGGUGUGAGGCACCCCUCAAGUCCCAUGGUUCUAGCACCGUCGCUUUUAUUGACUUAUCUUGACUUAAACUAUUUUAGAUAAAUUGUGUUAAGGCUAAAUUCGCUCAUUUUAAUAUAUAUUAAAAUUAUUUAAAACUCUUGUAUUAAAUUUGUGAAAAACUAAGUUUAGAAAAAUAUUUACCAAAGUGCAUUUUUGCAUCCUUGAAUUUUAAAAUAUCUCGAAAAGAUGCGUACGCCGCAUUCUUUAUUAAGAUGAAUAUUAAAUAUCUAAAAUUUGUCUAGCGUUAAAAAACAUACGUUCUUUAUUUAUAAACUUAUAAUAAUUUUUAUCUAUUAUAAACGUUAUUCAACUUUAACAAUAAGAUUAAGCGAAAUUCAUUUAAAAGGAUAAAUAAUUUAAUAAAUAAUUAAUAAACUUUAUUAAUAAUAUUUAAUAAAAAUAAUAAUAAUACAUAGUAAAAAUAAAAAUAAAAAAAUAGAUCAAUUAUCUAUAUUAUCCUAAUUUAUUGUGAUUCUUAUAUUUAUUUUCUUUAAAAUAAAUGCAAAUCCAAAAAUCACUUAAAAAAUACUUUUUCUUUAAUAUAUUUAUAUAUAAAAAAAAAAAUUGAUUUUUAAACAAACAAAAGAUUGAACAUUUGUUAAAUAUCAUACAAAGUAAACAAGAGUAAACUAAAAAGGGAAAAAAAGGACAACUGAUCUGAUUUUUUUUUUUGGAAUCUGGCAUUUAUGGCGACUGUGAGGAUCACCGACCGGAGAGGGAGGGAAGGAAUAUCGGUUGAUUUUUAGUUGAUGUCAGUGUUGGUGAUGAUGUUUUUUCGGCGAGACUUAGUUGGAAAAGAUCGAUUUUGGAAUUUUUCGACGAGAUUUGGUCGGAUCUAGGAGGAGAUCGACAGAUCUGGUUCGUGGUCGCUGGUUUCGGUUUCGGUUCUAGUGAAAGGUUCCGGCGAAGGGCGGUUUUGGGCGAUUGGUUAGUUUUCCGGUGACAAGAAAAUAAGCCCGGUGUCUUUUUGCCAUUUUUCGGUGAAGAUGGUCGUCGGAAUAGCGAUGGGGUGGACUGGUUGGAUGCGUUUUGCCGUCCAAUGAUGGCUGGCAAUGGCUGGACAGCCGAUUUUCGAUGAAAUUCAGCCGGCGACGUUGAUGGAAAAAAAUGGGGACGGAAAGAGGAAAAAUUCUUUAGGUGUGUACCGCGUUGGUGUUUGUCGGCAGUGUUUUUUCCGUUAAUGGUGUUGACAAUGGUAGUUGGUGUAUUCCGUCAAUAUGUCACCGAAAAAAAUUAUUCCACCAUCCAUUUCUCUCCCCUACUGAUAUACUUUUAUUCUACUAUUUUUUACUUAAUUUUUACACUGUGUUGGUGUGUGUACGGGGACUGCUUGUGAGUAUGAAUAUCUGUACUUAUGAAUUAUAACAGUGCCUAUUUUUCAUUCUACUGUUUUUCUUUCUGUUUUAAUUUUGAACCUUAACACACAAUAUUCUAAUAAAUUAACAGUAAAACAUAUGAUGACAAAAGGUUCACGUAAUUAAACAUGCAUAUUAAAUAAUAUAUUGAGAUCAUUGACAUAAGUUUGAACAUGAUUUGAUUAACUAUAAUAUUUCAUACAAUAAAUAAUACAAAUUUGAAGUAGAACCUGUUAACGGAUUAAUGUGCAAAUUCGAACGUCUGUCACUGGAAACUUCGACAAGAAAUUCAACUCCAACUUUCUUCUUUUCUCUUUUUGACUGAUCUUUCAUUUUUUUGUCUUUUUUGAUUUUUUCUUUCUUUUUCUCUUUGAUUUUAUCUCUGUAUUUUUUUUAUUUGAUCUGAUAUAGUGUAGAAUCUGAUGGUAUGAUGAUUUUUUUUCUACCUCUAUUUGAAUAGUGUAAAUAUCCUUAAAUAGAGGGAUUUGAAAAAAAGGGGGGAACAGUUAUCUUUUUAAGGGGGAGUAGUUUUAACAAUAGAUAAGGGGAGGGUUAUUUAAAAUUCAAAAUUUUUAUUUUUUAUUUAUUUUAAUAAAAGAUAAUAUUAAUAAUAAAUCAAUGAAUAAAUAAUAUAAAAAAUAAUAAAUAUAAAUAAAAUAAUAAUUAAUUAAUUUUAUAUUUAACAAAAGCACGAUAAUAAUUUAUAAAUAGAAAAAUAAAUAUAACAAAAUAAUAUUAAAACUAUUAAUUUAUUUAUUAAAAUUUAUAAAAGAAAAAAUAUAUUUUUAAUUUUUUAUAUUAUUUUUUAAAAUUAGAAUAAAAUAAUAUAUGAUUAAAUAUAAAUAUAAAUAUUUAAUAUUGAUAGACAAGUCAAAAUUUAGGGAUGGUCAAAAAUCACGUGUCUACAAAGCCCUUAGUACGUUUGACUUUCUUCCUUCCGAGUUUGAGAUCGUAGGGGGUCGAGAAAUUUUAGUGUCUAGCAAUUCCUAUGGCCCAUUCCAUUCGGCCUCUGGAGGGACAACGUUAAUUGCUUUCGAAUAUGCGAGGAGGUAACUUGCAGCUUUAUAAAUUGGCGAAGAGUACUCGUAGAUGGAGUUUCCAUAACCUACACCAUCAUCAUACUUUGCUCGCAAAGCUGCCAUCGUAUAUUCGCACGGCAUUUUCACCAAGUCAAAUUUCCAACAAGAAUAACUCCUUUCCAAGAGAUUGACCUUGGCAGUAACACCAUUUCCGAACAUUGUGCAUUCUUGUUAUCCCUUAGGAUCUUUUCCGCAUAAGGAACAAAUAUGUUCUCUUUACCAUCGACAUAGGCAUACCGCUCCCUAAACUUUUUACCAAAUUUUUUAGCAAUUGAAUUGAAUAUGUACGACAUGGGGUACUCCCAUUCAUCCAUUAAAAUCGAGUUGAGCGACUCGGCGAUGUUUGUGGUCAUCACAUCGUACCUAUUGCCCAGGAAGUGUGCUCUACUUUAUUUUUCAAAACCAAGCACAUUUUCAAGGACAUGUGCUGCCUUGGGGCAAUUAUACUUCAAUUUCUCAAAAUUCUCGCUAAACUCAUCAAAAGAAUACUCCUUUGCCGCGGCGUAGAAUAGAUAAAGAUGUUCUCCACAGUGUUGAUUUACACGGAGAUUUUCAGCGAGGUGCCUCAUGAAAAGUUCGUGAUGUGCUCGACUGUAUACCCGGGAGAAGGCAUUGGCGAUGCUAGUGUGCAUGUCAGAGAUGACACAUAGAUCUGGUUCAUCUUCUAUGAUAGAUUUCAACUUCUGGAAGAAGAAGGUCGUUCUGUUUAUCGACGACACAAAAGCCAAUUGGAAAGAUGUGAUUUUCGGUGUCCUGUGCAUCUGCACUCAGCAACACACACCCGUACUUUCCAUACAAAUGUGUGCCAUCGACGGUAAUUACCUUUCUUAUGUGGGCAUAUCCCCGUAUGCAAGCUCCAAAUGCUAAGAAGUAGUAAACGAACGAUCCAUCAAUCUGGUUUACCAUGAUAGAGUAGGAAUACCCUGGAUUCAACAACUCCACCAUAUGGGAAAAAAACGGCAAACAAGCAUAUCCGUGCUCCGGUGUCCCUUGAAUGAUGUUCUUUGCAAUUACACUUCCUUUCCAACACAUCCAGUAGCUUGCGUGGCAAUGCAACUCCUUGAACACAAUCCUUUAAAUUUCACUUAUGCUUGGACCCUUACCAUCCCAAAAAUGAUUUACGCAUAGUGAAGCAAUCAAUUCGGAUGAUAUUUUAUUAUGCUUGCGGGUGGCGUGUUCAACACCGCACGUGUGCUCCCGACAUACUUGUAUAUGUGAAAUCUUUCUGAGGUUUUGUACUUCCUUGCCCGCAACAACCAGCCACAACCAGGAGAUACGUAUUUCGCCUUCAACAAUUUGGUGCAGCUCUUCUCCAUACGAUAAUCAAAAGACUGCCUCACCGUUGCUCCGUCUAGUAGCAUUUGAGCUGUUUCUUGUCGGCAAAUAUUUGAUCACGAUAGAAAUUGGUUUCGUCGGAGAAGGAAUGUACUGGUUGGGAUCCCGUUCCACAGUCUUAUUCCGUAUCUUGUGAGUCCGAUGAAACGUCUUUCAUACGCACACAGUUAUGGGAUGAUCGUUAUCGCUCUCAUAAUUAUUCAAAUUGUUAUCAACUAUCGGGAUCGAGGUGGGGACAGUGAUGAAUUCAUCGGUCCUUUGAAGGACCCGUCGACUACAUUUAUCCUUAAAAUAGGCCUAAAAUCAUCUGUAUCAACAUUCAUCAUGUAAAGGGACACACGUGCAUCAUUAUUUAUGAUCGUAAGAUUCACCUUUUCCCUCGAAUGCAUUAGAUAACUAAUCACCACAUUGCUCGACGUGCAAUCUAGAUCCCCGCUCUGCUUUACGCUAGCAACCAAUUUGUCGUAUGAACUGUUGCGGCGAACUGCAAUGGACAGUGUCACCUUGGUAAAAGAUCUCCAUUUCCAACCUCUGGGAGUAUUCACCCAUUCUCCCAUGAAAUCACCUGCAACCAGAACAAAUUCUGCAACAGACAUCCUAGAAUUAACCUUUGAUCGAUGGUAGAUUAAGCUUAGGUUCUAUGUCGGGAUGUAUGUACGGUCGAUGAAUGACGAUGACGGAUCGAUGACUGCGCAGAUAUCCGUACAGAAACUUGAAAAUGCAAAUAUUGCUUCUAAUCAAUGGUCGUUGGGUUUAUGGAAUAGAGAAAUGAACUUGGAGUCGCCUCAGUUAUUGUAAUGUACUUCUAAAGAAUUUAUAACUGAUGUGACUGAUUUAAAGCUUUUUAACAGUGGUGGAAAGUGUGAUUAAGAAGAUAACAAACUAAUGGGUACCCAUAUUUUACCCAUUUGUCCAUAUUUGUAUGAGCUUUUAAAAUGAGUUGAAGUUCAUAUUUACCCAUUUGAAAUAUGAGUGAUCCAAUUCACUAAAUAUGAAUAAUAUGGACUCUUUUUACAAAUAUGGGUUGAAAUUGCCACUCCUAAUCACAAUUUUAUUAGGGGAGUGGUUAAUUUUGUUAUUAAGAGAAUAUUGAGGAUUGAGUUUGUCAGGGGUUUGUUAUCUUGUCUUCUAGUGGGAAAAUUAUCACGUAGUUAAGAAUACACGAUAGGAUAAGGUAAAUAGGUGGAAUAUAAUUUUUGAGGGAUAAAAUUACGUGUCUACGACAGAUAAUUGAGUAAAGUGACAGAUAUGAUUAUGGAUAAGAAAGAUUAUAUCAAUAGUACAUGCAUGCAGAAAUUAAGUUAAUAUAUUCGUUCGCUCAACAAAUACAGCCUAUAUCAACUUUGUAUAUUAGGAUUUAAAGUUGCAAAAUUUUAUCCAAACAAAAGACAAAUUCUACAUCUUAUCAUAAUUUUUUUUUGACUUGCACUGGAUGUCCGAGACUCUUCGAGUCCCGACUAAUCUCAACAUUUUAUCAUAAUUUUGUCUGCAAUCAAUCUAUCUGUUUUAAGAUUCCCUUCAAUAUAGUGAGUUGUGAACCACUAAUACAAAGAAAACAUGCAUAUUUAUGUGAUCAUAUCCUAUUUUGAUGUGUAUAUCAAUAAAAGAAAAGGACUAACUUGAUGCAAAUAUCACGCAAUAGGAAUGCCUUUUUGGGAGAUUGCCCAUGCAUUUCCAUAGAAGGGCGUUAUCCUUUUUUAUCAAAUUUGAGUAGACCUAGAGUCACAUAUGGUAGAAGUCACUUUUUGGACAAGUAUGAAACCGUGUGUGAUUCAUCUUACUUGUUUUAUAUACACAUUGUGAGUUAAUUAAGAAUUGGAGAAAUCCAUACCACAUCUCCUGCUUUCCUUAUACUUGACAUCUAAAUUCCAUCGGUGUGAAGGAUGAGAGGAUUGUUUAUCCUAAAAUAGGUACAACUGGAAUUUGUACGCUAUGUUUAGAGGGCACUAGGAUUGAAUUGAUGGACAUGACGAAAUUAAUAAACAAGAAAUAUUAUAAACAAGAGAUGGGCUAAAGCAAUUGGAUGAAUCUAUAAGAUUAAUAAGAUGAGUUAUGUAAGCAACUCUAGGGUCACAUUCUUGAGUGCAAACCUUGGGUUCAAUCCUCUCUCCUUCACAGACAAAUUUACCGUCUAGAUCAAAAUAUUAGCACCCAAUGUAGCCAGUGCAACAAGUGGUGCAUCCGGUUGGAUAAAUUAUCUACUCUCCUUUUGAACGAGGAUAUUUUGUUUGUGGAUCACAAUUAGAAGGGAGAAUAUUUGGAUUUUUGGGUUUUACUACACAAAUGAAAGUUUUGUUAGCACUGUAAUAAUUGCAAUCUUUAUUGCAAAACAACAAUUGGUGCAUAUGGGAUUUUCUGGUAUACAAGCCUUGGCAUUAACAUGUUCCACUAUGCUUACAAGUAGAAGCAUUAAUCGUACAACAAAUAUAUGCUAUAUAUAUAUUAAGGAGAAACAUAACGUAUACUACUUGUGUAUGACAUAUGUAUAAACAACAAAGAAAUAAUUAAAGAGAAAAAGGAGAAAGGAAAAAUCUUACCAAGUCCACUAACUUCUUUCUGAGCAGCAAUUAUGGAUCAGGAGUAUAUAUCUAUCCUCCUCCACUACUUAUUGCAAACAAUGAAAGAGAGUAGCUAACUAAAACUUUUUAUCAAUUGAUAGAAAAGAAAAAAUCCAUGUGUUAAGUUUGGCAUGUUCGCAACAAAUUUUUGUGGAUGCGGAAAAUUAACUACAAGCAAAAAUAAAUAAAAAGAAAUAAUAAUUUUAUAUAAACAAAAUUUAUGGGUAUAAUUCCGUUAUUCUCUCUAUUCUUCUCUCCUAAGUUUAUCCGUGAUUCGAGGGCCUUUGCAGCGUGAUUCUCGAAUGUAGGAUGAUUUAAGCCUCCUAGAAAUGCAUUUGGAUCUCCAGGAAUUGUCUGACAGCACUUCGUCUUGUCGAGUUGACCUUCGGGCAGAACUCCGUUAGUCGAUUCGUUGAAGAGCUGUAUAGUCAAUGCAGAAGCUUCCUCCAAUGCCUGCUGAAUGACCCAUUAAAAUUAUGUAACCCUCCUAUUUAUAGUUGUAGGGGGUAGGCAGUCCAAGAGUAAAUAACCUCUUUUGUCUCAUUCUGAUUGGUCCAUUCAAUUUUCAAGCUUAUCACAAAUGUUAUGUGACAAGGUUGCUUGUGAUUGGCCAAAAACAUGUCAUUUGGGACACUUGGCGUGUUUCAUUGGCUCUUGAAUUUGACUUGGAUUGCCACCUCAUUUGAUCGUGUGGCCUUGCCUCUUUGGUAUUUAAUUUGACUGGGAUGCCAUGUCAUUUGACACGAGCAUAAGUUUGGGCCUCAAGGUGAGAUGGAUCUUGAUGAAGAAUAAAACGGGUUUAUAGCCCAAACUAAUUUUAGACCUAGUAAAAUAUGGAUCAAAUCCAAAUUUUAUAUGAAUUUGAUUCAAUGAAUUUUACGUGUCUACAGAUGCCCCCUACUUCAAGGCUCGUCAAGGUGUUUGAUUUGUCGGACCUGUUAGAGACAACAUUUGAAGUAUUUGUGAAGCCCUAUUUUUUUUUUUAAAGACUUGAGCAUUUUAUCAAUGUCCGACUCCUCAAAGUCAUGAUUAUCCGUGUAGAAUAAUGUGAAUCCAGUAUAAAUUCUGUUUAAGACUAAAUAUAUCCAAAUUAUGUAGGAUUCAACUAUUAGUCCUAUAUCAAAUUUUAAUAGGAUUGAUUAAUGACGUUAUCCCACUCCAAAAAGAAUUAGGAAUUUGACUUAUUUUGGACACUUAAACGUCCCAGUUCUUGUUGAAGACAACUUUGUUCAGUAAAUUCCUUUUUAAAAUCAAAUUGGGGCCUUUUAGAGUCUAUAAAAGGACAUCAACUCCCCCUUUAAUCAUUGUAAUUCAGCCUGAGCAGAAAUUCAACUUCUGUUCUUCUCCUCUUUUUGCUCUUCUUUUCACAAUUGAGCUUUCGACACUUUGGCGCAUCUGUAGAAGAAGCUUCAUAACGCAUCGUGGAGGUGUCUGAAUCACGAACGACUUGUAGUGUUAGAAAGUAGACUCGCAAGACAUGAAAUGAAACACCAAAUCAGUCCACAAAUCACAAGAUCUGAGUACUAAGAUGGAGACCACUCUUGGAUUCAACAAAUACAACAAGAAAAUGAGAUAAAAAGGUGUGUUUCAACACCAAAACAGCUACAAAACAUGAUGAACAAGAUGGAAACAAUGAAUACAAUAUUUGGAUUCAACAAGAACAAAAGAGAACAAGAUACAAACACUUACAAAAUUGCAAGAAAGGUAAAGAUAGAUAGUGUGACAUAGAUUACUACAAUAACUAAGAACCUAAGUGUAGAUCCAACACUAAGACCCUUAAUACAUGUAAUAACAACACCAACACUCUUACGUGGACACAAGAGGGACAUCAACCUUCUCAAGCACCUACGUUUCCAAGCCUUGAAUGCAACACAAGUGAAAUCCACACUUGUAUCACCCUAGUUUCUGGUUGAUGGUCUUCUUUCCUUAGAGAGGAAAUGUUUCAAGUAUUAUACGCUCAUCAUAUUCAUCAAAAUUUUAAAAUGAAACCUUACAUUACUCUAUUUAUAGUGUAUUAAAAAUAAUAGGUAAAAUUACCAAAAGGCUCCUUAAUGAAUGGGCACCCCUCUAGUGUAUGUAGUGGACUGAUUUGACCCUUUUAGUGUAUGUAGUGGACUGUUUUGGUGUCCAUUUAGGUGCACCUUUGCACUUCAUUGCACACACCGAGCCGCGGGUCUAACAUAUACCCUCAAAAGUUUAUCUACGUAAUCGUACUCGUAUUAUCCUCCUCUUCUUGAAAAGGAUUCAACCUCGAAUCCGUACCUUGCAAAAUCAAAGAGAAAACAAACAAGUACAUAUCCUCAUGGUAUAAGGGUUAGGGUUAUAAAAAUAAUAAAUUAGCAUUAUCAUGCCACGGUGGUACACACUUGAAGUACAAGGAUCCUUUGUUUUAGUUAUGGAAAGCUUUUGUACAACAUCACAAAGGAAAGGGCUCGAAUGAACAUCAAGAAUUAAGGGACAAAAACCAAGACUACGCCUCUCAUACGAUGUAUAUCCAAAAACAUCAUGAAUAUCAUCAUAUGCAUAUAGGUAGUGAAGAAAGGCACCAAAGACACAAUUCUCAUCUAAGAUGUAUUCAUAAGUAGGAACACACAAUGAGAGAAAGGGACAUUGCAAGCAUGUAGGACCUCUCUCCUUCCAACCACUUCCCGAGGAAAGGCAUUCCAUCAAGGGAGUCAUACCAAUAGGGAGAAUAGGGAGACAACCAUGCAACAAUCCAAUCCAAGGCAAGUAGUUUUCCAAAGAACUUGGCUUCCCUCUACAAAUUAUGUGAAGCACGCUCCCAAAAGUCGCACAAGAUACUUCAACUUGUCCAACCCCAUGAAGGUGACAAGAAGUCUUUAACAUCCUUGGACCCUUCCACAAACAAGAAUACAACUUGGCAUCCAUAAGUUGUGGUUCACAUAACUUAAGUACAAGUGUGUCAAACAUAGAUGAAAGAAUAUGACCAACACCCCAAAGAGAUAAUGACACAUUUUUCCUAGGGUCCUCCAGUAGACACGAACCAAUAUUAAUAUCAAAGAGAUCACAAUUCAAGUUACCAUAUUUAUCAAGCACAGGUGCGGUGUCAUACAAAGGAGUACAAGCAAAAUCAUUUUUCAAAUAAUAAUCACAAUUCGGGUUUCCCAUGUAAUCAAGCAAAUUAUGGUAGUCUUCACCCGAUUGAUUAUUCCUUUCCAAGACUAUGCAUUCCCUACCCUUAAGAGUACUCUCAUCUUCCAAGAAGAGAUUUCCAUCUUGAGGAGAAAUGUUAUCACACCAUAAUGAGUUAGCAUAUAGGCUAUAGCUUCCAAGACAAGCCAUGUCGUCCACAUCACUUGCACCACUAGGUUCAUUGGGAGUGAAUAAACUAUCUUCAAACAAGACAUUGUACCUAAAGAGUGAAUGAUCUAAACCACAGACAGGUUUGGAACUUUCACUCUCUAAGGAAUCAUUAUCAAGUUUCAAAGAUAUGUCAAGCACAUGAUUAACCCUAUGAGCCAAACAAACAUUAGAAUCUUUACAACAACAUAGGCUCACGGGUUCACUCCCUUUUUCUUGACCAAUAUCUUCAAAUUUUCCACUCACUUGAUAUUCAUUAAUCACAUCACACAUAUCCUCAAGUGGUGGGCAAUUUUUAAUCACAAGUUAGGCAAUACAAAUAUCACACGAUGAUAUACUUUCAUUCAACACAAUAGCUUCAACACUAGGUGGACACAAAUCGAUCUUACUAGAAGAGUCGAUUUGGUCAUCUAUAGGAUCAACUAGUGUAUCCACUCGCAUAAUAUGUACAUCAUCCACUAGUGGUAGGGAAUCAAUAGACUCAUAUGUAGGUAAGCUACUACUCACACUCAACGGCUUAUUAGCCUCGCGGUCAUCAUUCAUAUGCACCAAAGUGUAAGAGUUAGAUAUUUUACCUUGACUUUCAUGAGUAUGUUCAUCUUUACCUUGGCGUAAUAGUCCUUCACAAGCUUGGGAAACAACUUUCUCCGAAAAAUUCUCAUCGCAAGGUGCUUGCACAAUUGAAUUUUGUGGGAAGAGUUUGGGUAGAAAUUGACAUAUAAUUUCAAUGUGCCAUUUCAUAUCUUCAAUAUUGUCAUCUAUGCGAUCAAAUGUGGCAUUGAAAUUAUGGGAAGCCAUUGUACCUACCAAAAAUACACAACAAACAAGGAAAACAAACAAAUUUGUUAGAUAAAAAAUGCCUCACCACACUCUUACUCUCAGUUUUACCUUGCACUUGGUUUCACAAGUGUUCAAAGUCGGCUUGUACUUCGUGAGUGAUUGAGGGUCGGGCUGACGCUUUUUCGGAAUGGAUUUUUGUUUGAAACUCAAACGAAAUCUUGUAGGACUUGAGUCAAGAACUAACAAUGAAUUCAAAAUGAGAAAAGCACACAACAAACGUAAACAUGAACAAAUGAAUACAAAACUAACUUACAAGCUAGUAGGAGAUUACUAAAUUGUCAAUUAGUGCACGAGCCAAAAAAUGAAACUAAGAGACAAUAAAAUGAAACUAAGAAAUCUAAAAUUUGAGCUUAAUUAUGUUGCGGUGAACAGUAAAAUAUGAUGAUGAGGCAGCUACGUAAUUGGUCACGGUCCCCGCACAAUUUUUUUUGUCCAAUUUUAAGUCUUGGUCAAUUUUUCAAUUUGGACUUUGGUGGAAUUUAUUUAAGGAGGGAAAUUCAAACAAGUCUUUGAGCCCCUUUUCAAUUUCAAGUUUUCAAGACUUGAAUUUCUUGUCUUUUCUCCUCAAAAUAUGGAAUUUGGUUUCCCUUAAAUCAUGGAAAGUUGGUGAGAAGUGAUGUAAAGCUUUUUUGGUGGCUGGGGGUCUUUCAAGACUAACAAUUACUUACACCUUUUUGGAUCAAAUAAGCACUUUUUUUUAACAAGGUAUGAAGAUAGUGAUGAACAUCAAGAACAAGAACAACAUUCACCAAGAAUAACAACAAUAAUUCCAAGAACCACAAUAAUCUUCCAAGGACACUAACAAUUUCUCUUUCACGUCCCACUCUAAAUCCACAACAAUAUUAUCUUCAACACUUGGCCAAGACAACUACAACUGCAAUUAAAUGGUUCUUAGGCUACCAAUUAACAACAAAAUCAUGUAGUCAAGCUAAGAACAACAACAAGGUGAAUACCAUACACCCAAAGUGGAGCCACAACAACAAAAACGUCCAGAACACUUUCAAGUCACCACAACAAUGGUCAAAAUUAUAAGCAAAACUUUAGAUCUAGUCACUUUUAGUGUUGGUGAGAAAGGAAUCAACACUAGAAACAAACUAAACAAGUAAAAGACUACUAGAUAUAGUCACAAAACUAACAAAUCUUGGCCAACACACAACAAGAAUGCAAUUUUGGCCAAGAACACAACCACGGACAGAUUUGCUUUUUUUCAGCUUUUCAACAACUAUUUUUUUGAAUUUUCUAACAACCAAGCCCAAGAUUGAUCUUGUAGGAACAAGAUCUAGCCAUGAUUUGAUACCAAAUGAUACAAGAAUAACAAGAGGAACAUGAAAUCAAACACCAAAUUAGUCCACAAAUCACAAGAUCUGAGGACUAAGAUGGAGACCACUCUCGAAUUCAACAAAUACAACAAGAAAACGAGAUAAAAAGUUGUGUUUGAACACCAAAAUAGCUACAAAGCAUGAUGAAAAAGAUGGACACAAGAUUUGGAUUCAAAAAGAACAAAAGAGAACAAGAUACAAACACUUACAAAAUUGCAAGAAAGGUAAAGAUAGAUAGUGUGACAUGGAUUACUACAAUAACUAAGAACCUAAGUGUAGAUCCAACACUAAGACCCUUAAUACAUGUAAUAACAAUACCAACACUCUUACGUGGACACAAGAGGGGCUUCAACCUCCCCAAGCACCUACGUUUCCAAGCCUUGAAUGCAACACAGGUGAAAUCCACACUUGUAUCACCCUAGUUUCGGGUUGGUAGUCUUCUUUCCUUAGAGAGGAAAUGUUUCAAGUAUUAUACACUCAUCAUAUUCAUCAAAAUUUGAAAAUUAAACCUUACAUUACUCUAUUUAUAGUGUAUUAUAAAUAAUAGGUAAAAUGACCACAAGGCCCCUUAAUGAAUGGGCACCCCUCUAAUGUAUGCAGUGGACUGAUUUGGCCCUUUUAGUGUAUGUAGUAGACUAUUUUGGUGUCCAUUUAAGUGCACCUUUGCACUUCAUUGCACACACCAAGUCACGGGUCUAACAUAUGCCCUCAAAAGUCCAUCUACGUAAUCGUACUCAUAUCAGUUCUACGCAAAAACCACGCUCAUCUUAUCACCAGAUCUGCCGAGGUAUCAUUUUAAAAUCAGACCUUCAGUUCUGUUUUAUCACUGUUUACUUGUUUUGUGCAGUCUCACAAAAACUCUCAUAUCUUGACUUAGGAGCAUCAAAAUUAGGAGCCAUUUUUUCGUGUUGGAAACUAGACUCAUAGAAAUACGUCUCACACAGAAACCACAAUUAGAUUGAAUUUGAAUCGUCCCAGAUAUUGCUCCAAAUACGGCUUUGUAAUCUUGGUUUGCUUGUUAUUUCAUCUUUGCGCAGAGUCACAAGAAAUUUCAUAUCUCAAUGCGGAUGUUUCGAAAUCAGGUGCCAUUUUUUGCAUUGAAAAGUAGAUUCAUAGAGCUACAUCUCACCUAGAAACCACAAUCAUAUUGCAUUCGAAUCAUCCCAGAUAUUGCUCUGAAAACAACCUUCUAUUCCUGGUUUGCUUGUUAUUUUAGCUUUGCGUAGCGUCAUGAGAAAUUUCAUAUCUCAACGUGAAAGUAUCGGAAUUAGGUGUCGUUUUUUGCAUUGGAAAGUAGAAUUGUAUAUAUACGUUACACGUGAAAUCCAUCAGCAUAAAACCUAUAUAUUUUCUCAGGUAAAUUCUUGAAGUUUCAUCCUAAAUCUUGUGACACUCCUUUUUCUUUUAGCAGACUUACAGUUUAAUUUGAUAUCUUUGGCAGGCCUUCAAACAUAUAGAGGCUAUCUUCAGUUCUUUGAAAUUAUGAUGAACUUCCGAGACCAAACGACACCAUAUCCUCUACUUGAAAUAGCAAAUGAUGAACGAUAUUCUCCUGCUAGCAUCCUUACCUUGAAAGUUAAUCCUCCGGUCAUAAGUGUCUUCCCGCUUGACAGAGGAUUUCCUGACAUGUAUCUUCAUCUAGACAAAUGAUCGACAAAAGAAGAAAUUGACGUCCUUGACUCUAAAAAGGUCAUUAAUACUACUGCUUUUGUGCUGCAUUCAUCUACACAUGACAAGGAGUCUACUGCUACAUAUCCCAAAGGGUUGAAUAAGGGUCUUGCUACAUAGAAUUAUCCCCAAUUAGGCUUUGGAGAUUUUCGUUAUGUUACUUGCUAUUGGGAGUGGGUAGAGGAUGUCCUUAGCCACAGCAAGGAGGCACUAGAGUGAACUAAGAUUUAUGUUGUUUUCGCUUUUUUAUUCACUUACGACGUCAACGAGAAUGUUUUGCAAGCCUUUUGUGAACUUUGGCAUUCCUCGACCAAUACAAUUUGUGUCAGCAUCGAUGAGCUUUCUAUUUCAUUAUGGGACAUGCGUAUGAUUGGGGGCCUUCCAGUACACGAAACUUUCUUUGAUGAAGUCGUCCCUUCGGUCAAAGAAUUGUCACAAGUAGAUGAGCAAGGGAAGCCCUUUUUGCCUAAAACUUGUGCUUACUUAUUUUCAGCAUUCUAUAAGCUUUCAAAUGGUGCGUCGUCUAAGGAGGUUUCUAUCCAUGAUUGGGUGAAUUUUUGGUUCAAAGGACCGGAGCAGUAAAAGGAUCCUUCACCAUGAGGCCCUAAAUAGCCAGCUAAACCAAAGUCAAAUCACAGUCCGAAUGGCUACAUUGAUAUGUCGUUUUUACCACAAACAGAAGAAGAGAACGUCUCUUUCGUCGAGUUAGGUAUGGAAGGGUCUCUUAGAGAAGAGACAAACUUGGCUAUUUUUCUUGCUUGCUGGAUUUGCAAGUUCGUUCUUCCAAUUAAGAAACUUGACGACAUCCGUCCUAGCAUCUUUAAAAUUGCAAGUCUAAUGGCUCAUGGGGAGAGGUUUGCACUAGCAAUUCCCGUUUUAGCUAGUAUCUAUAGAGGCUUGACACCGAUCACAACUUCAACAAACUUAGGUGCAGGCGACAUAAUUUUUCCUAUACAAUAUGUCUAUGGAUGGAUUGGUGCGCAUUUUAACUCCUAUUAUCAAGCACGUCAUUACAAUGGUGCUCGCAUGUGUAGGAUUGCUGGGGAAAGGAUGGCUAGAAGCUUUGAUCUUUAUGGUGCAAGACGAUUAUUUCAAAAUAUAGAUAUCUGCAGUCUUCCCACCUAGUCCAUGCUACAACCCAAGGAGUUGUUUAUAGCAGACAAUGGAGAAUUGUCUAGUCCUUGGAACGAUUAUUUCAUUAGUUUUCGUUCGAGCUACGUUACUCUGCGGUGUGAUGAUCACUUUGUCAUAGAGCCUUACAGUCCCCAUAGAUUCAGCCGACAGUUUGGAUUUGUUCAAGACCUGCCUGGAAACUUCAUCAAAUGACCGUUUAACGACAAACUUGAAGAAUUGGUACGACUUUGGGACUCUUGCACCCGUCUUAGUAGUUCUUCAACCAUUAGUAUACCACCAUAUCCCGAAAGGACUCUAAAAACCAAUAGGUAUGCAAAUUAGUGGUAUAUUGGUCAACCAAACCUUGUUGGGAAAAAUAAAAUUGUCUUGAAAAUUCUCCUUCGUCCAUCGGAACAAGGUAAGUCUUCUACUUCCUCCCUUGUUAAGUCAAAGACGAGGUCGUUGUCUUCUAAGUCUUCCCCUUCUAGGGGUAAGUUGGUGAAAACUGGAAAACGAUCAAGUCGUCCUUCAUUGAAAUUGAAUGACACUCCUUAUAUGGCUUUGAAUAAGACUCGCAAGCGAAACAACGAUUAUUCUUUACUUGAGACUAAUAGUGGAAAGAUGCCAACCAAAAUUCCACUCGACGAUAAGAUUCCGCCUAUCCGCAUAGUUAAUGAAGUCGUAGAUACUAAUGAUGACACAAGCUCAAUGGAAGGAGACCAAGACCAACAUUGGAAGCGCAAAAUAAAAAAGGCAAAAGAACAAUCUAGUGAGUUUGUUGAUUUGGACAAUGCUACCAUAGAUAGCGAGGUAUUUUCUGUUAGUGACCCUAGCUACACUAUACCAUUGACUGAACUCGCAGAACAAGUAACAUUACUUCCUUCUCUCUCUUUUUUUAUUUAAGAAAAAUAAUAAAACCCAGCUAACGUUUUAUUUUUUGAAGCUGAAUCUCCAAGGCAUCUUUACCGAUACGCUUAAUGGCAUUUUUGAUGGCAUUACGAGUCCAAGUUACCUUGAUACAUCUUCUCUUCUUGUCACAGAUAUUUUGACAAACAACAUGGAGGUUGUGGUUUCCCAAGCUAAGUCGCCUAAAGUUCAUGCGCCUUCAUUGUGUUUAUCGUCAUUUGUGGCCCCAAAUUUUGAACCACAAGAGACGAUCUCUACUUUCAAGAAGUCUUACAUUCUUCAGAUGUGUGGUGCAUUUCAUAAAUGGCUAACCAUGUUCUCUGUUGAAUCUUCGAAUGACUUUUCAAAGUUGAAAAAUGGUGUGAACAUGCUUAUGGAGGAGCUCAAAGGAAUUAACGCCAUCAAUAUCUCUAUUCUAGAGGGCUCUGUUAAUACUUUCAUAAAAACAUAUGAGGAGUACGACGCUAUGAAGUCAUCUUCAUCCCUGAAAAUAACUAAAGAGCACCAUCAAAAAUUGCUCUCUGACGUGCAACAAAGCCUUGUUAAUGCAAAAGAGGAAAACACUAAGUAGAGAGGGCGCAUGGAGGAUCUCCAAUCAAAUCUUGCUAAGUUUGAUGAAGAAAUGAAGCUCUUAUCUGCGAAGAGGGAGAAGACUAUUUCAUGCAUAAAAGAGAAGAAAUAACGGUUGUCUAAAUGCCAAGAGAAGAUCAUCACUUUUGAGGGCGAGCUUCAUGCGAUUAGGGAGAAACAUCCAUUAUCCGAAGAUGAAGUGGAGACACUAUCCAAACUGAAAGAGACGGUUGACGAGAGUCGUCAGCAAAUUCUGGAAUUUCAACCUUUUCCAUAGUUUAGAUACUUGCUUAGGAUUUUUUUUUUUAAUUGCUUAUUAUGAUGUAGUGACAUUUUUCCUUUGGUGCAAUAAAAGUGACCUUUAGCUUUCAUUCAAUUAUUGUUUCGUCUAUUUCUUUUUUUUUUUAAAUGAUCAAGGUAGAUGAAUUUGCUCCCAAUCAUGAAUAAACUUUGAGCUCUGUUGACAACAUGUAUCAAAAUCAAACUCCUUUCCAAUUAACCGAAAUUAAUAUUUUUUUUUAAGUUAACCAUAAAUCUGUCAGAUUUUAUAGUUUUGCGUGGCUAUGGUAGAAAAUUCAUAAUUCGACGUACAAGCCUUUGAAUUAUAAACCGUCUUUUUUGUUCUGAAGAUAACACCAAGAGUUAAAACAUAGGUAAAAAUCAUGACCAUAUCCUUUACGGAUUUGUACAAUUUGUCCUUGAAGUCAGCUCAGUUCGAAACAUGAGGGUCUCUUUCGCAGCUUUGAGUGGCUACGGUAGAAAAUUCAUAACUCAAUGCAAAAGUCCUUGAAUUACGAACCAUCUUUUUUGUUGCAAAUAUAACACCAAAAUAUACAACAUAAGUAAAAAUCAUGACCAUAUCCUUUACGGAUUUGUACAGAUUCGUCAUUGAAGUCAGCUUAGAUCAAAACGUGAGGGUAUCUUUCGCAGCUUCAAGUGGCUAUGGUAGAAAAUUCAUAACUCGAUGCAGAAGUCCUUGAAUUACGAGUCGUAUUUUUGGUUGAAAAUAUAAAACCAAGAGAUACAAAAUAUGUAAAAAUCAUGACCAUAUCCUUUACGGAUUUGUACAGAUUCGUCAUUGAAGUCAGCUUAGUUCGAAACGUGAGGGUAUCUUUCGCAGCUUUGAGUGGCUAUGGUAGAAAAUUCAUAAUUCGACGUACAAGCCUUUGAAUUAUAAACCGUCUUUUUGUUGCAAAUAUAACACCAAUAGAUACAAUAUAUAUAAAAAUCAUGACCAUAUCCUUUACGGAUUUGUACAGAUUCAUCAUUGAAGUCUGUUUUACUUUACUUGUUUCUUCAUUUUUGCUCAUCUGUUGUAAACUAAGCGAAGAAACGUUCAAUUCAUGUGACAUCUAUGUCCUCUACAAGUAUUAUUGUCAUGCUCAAUUAAUGAUGAAUCCUUUUCCUUUACUCUUUUUUUAACUCAUAUGAUUGAACUUAGAGUAAAAGCAUACUCUAAGCUGCCUACGUACCUCGGGAGGAUCAAGUCAUAACGUAGUUCAGGAUGAUGAGUUAAUUUUUUUUAGAGUUGUUCACAGUUUAGACUUAUGUGGGCCAGGAGUAGACAUGCAGUUUAUACUCGUGCCUUAAGGAGUGUAAACGACCUUCAUGGAAAGUACUGCUUCAGGAACUUGCCGUUGAUGGGACCAACUCUUACACCAUCCUGAUCGACGAUCUUAUAAGAGCCACUUGAAUAUACUUCUUUCACAACAUAUGGACCAUCCCACUUAGAUGUAAACUUGUCACCUAUGCGUUUGUUGAGGAUUAUGGGUCUUCGAACUGCUAAGAUCAAGUCUCCUACUUGAAAUGAUCGCGGUCACACUCUCUUGUUGAAAGCUCUAGCAAGUCAAGCUUGAUAACACUCCAACUUUUGUUGGGCUUCUAAUCUCUUCUUGUCCAAUGCCUCUAACUCUGCCAAACGAAGUUGAGCAUUACUUUCAGUUGUAAGACCUUCUUGGAUCUCUAUUCGUAGUGAUGGAAUUUGUUGUUCUAGUGGAAGGACUUUCUACGCCAUACACCAACGAAUACGGAGUCGGUUGGUUAGCAAUUCUAUAGGUCAUACGAUAUGCCCACAAAGCUUCACCGAUCCUCUCAUGCCAAUCUCUUUUAUUUUUGGCAACCACUUUCUUCAAGAUGUUACCAAGUGUUUUAUUAAAAGCUUCAGCAAGACCAUUGGCAGCGCAUUGUACAGUGAAGACUUAUGUUGCCUAAAAUUAAACUUUUCGCACAAAGUCCUCAUGAGCUUAUUAUUGAAGGGCGUUCCAUUAUCAGUAACUAUGUAUCUUGGUACGCCAUACCUGAAGAUGAUGUUUGACUUGAUAAAAUCAACAACAUUUUUCUUUUUCACCUCUUUUAGCGGCACGGAUUCAACCCAUCUCGAUAAAUAAUCGAUAGCAGUAAGAUGUACAUAUGACCUUUUGACGUCUUUGGGAGAGGUCCAACAACAUCAAGUCCCCGCGCAUCGAAAGGCCAUAAUGCUAUAGUUGGAUGAAGAUGCUCUGAAGCCUGAUGUAUAUAAUUAGCAUGAAAUUGACAUGCUUGACACCUUUUGGCAUGCUCUAGACAGUCCAUCACCAUUGUUGGUCAGUAGUAGCCCAUCCUUUUGAUGCGAAAAUAAAGUUUAGGCCCUGAUUGGUGUGCUACACAUAUGCCAGAAUGUGAUUCCUCCAUUGUUUGUUGAGCUUCUUCUUUGUUAAGACACCGUAAGAGUAACCCCUCGUAGGAACAACGAAAUAAAAUCCUUCAUUAAAGAUGAAUCGUGGUGCCCUUCUCCUAAUGUCUGCUCUUUUUCGUGGAUCCUCGGUCAGCCUUCCAUGUUCAAGAUACUCAAUUAGUUAUUUUCUCCAAUCUUCUUCUUCAAUGACUCGGACAGAUGUAUGGAGGCUUUCGUCUAAUUGAAGGUCAAGGCAACCGGGAAUAGCCCAUCGAUGACUUACUUGAACCUUUGUUGACUCAUUUUCUCUGAGUGCCAUCGUCGUAGCUAAGUUUGCCAGAGAAUCCGCCAUGCGAUUUUCUUCUCUUGGGACGUGGUUUAAGAACACUUUACCAACCUUUCAAGCAAACGCGUAGUAUAUCGAUGAUAUGGUAUAAGGUCUUCUUUCUUCACCUUGUAAUUGCCUAAGAGUUGAUUUAUGAUCAACUUAGAGUCACCAUAGAUAUCCAAUUGCGGAAUCUUCAUAUCUGAUGCCAUUUCAAGUCUAAUAAUUAAAGCUUGGUGCUCUGUUGCGUUAUUGGAACAUGUUUCACCCAGAACAAAUGAAAAUGUCAAGAUUAUUCUUUCUGGUGAUAUCAACAUGACACCUGACCCUGCACCAUCUUGACGUGCUGAUCCAUCAAAGAGCAUUGUCCAUGUCGGCAUUUCUUAAGUAAAUAAUACAUCUUCAUCAGGAAACUUAUCCCAAAUCUCCCAUUCUGACGGCAGGGGGUGAUCAGCUAAGAAAUUAACAAGUGCUUUUCCUUUUACAACCUUUUGAGGCAUGUAUAUGAUCUCAUAUUAGUUAAACAAUAUAGAGCAUCUGGCUAGACGUCCUGAGAGAACUGGCCGAGUCCUCACGAACUUCACAGGAUCAGCUCGAGAAAUUAGCUUGAUGGUGUAUGCUUCAAAAUAAUGCCUUAAUUUCUUUAUCGCAUAAAGCAAAUCCAAACACAUCUUUUCAAUGGGCGUAUAAUUUAACUCAGCUCCUAUCUAAGUUUGACUUAGAUAGUACAGUGCUUGUUCCCUCUUGGCUUCAUUAUCUUGAGCCAGAACUGCUCCAAGUGAUCACUCUUGUGAUGCAAUGUAAAGUAUCAAUGGCCUACCAGGAGUUGGUGCCCCCAAUACAGGUGGAUUCAAUAAGUAUCUUUUGAUAAGUAUUUCGACAUGAUUGAUCCCAGUGGAAUGGGGCAUCUUUCUUCAUCAGAUGGCUGAAGGGUUGACAACGUCCAGCCAAGUUAGAGAUGAACCUCCGAAUGAAUGCCAAAUUUCCUUGCAGACUGCGGAGGUCUCUUAAGUUCCUUGGCUCCGGCAUUUUCCAAAAUGGCACCAAUCUUUGUGGGAUCAACUUAAAUUCCACAGUGACGCACAAUAAAGCCAAGAAACUUUCCCGAAGGAACUCCAAAUGCGCAUUUGAGUGGAUUCAUUUUCAAGUCAAAUUUUCUUAACCUCUCAAAAAUAAUACGAAGAUCAUCAAGAUGGUCGUCCCUACAUUUUAUCUUUACCACUAAGUCGUCGACGUAGCAUUCCACCUUCUUAUGCAACAUGUCAUCAAAAAUAUUUUACAUUGCACGUUGGUAGGUGGCACCCAUAUUCUUUAGACCAAAUGGCAUCACCUUGUUGUAGUAUAUCCCUUUUGGAGUUUGAAAAGUAGUGCAUUCUUUGUCUCUUGGGGAUAUUCUGAUUUGGUUAUAUCCGGAAGAUCCAUCCAUAAAUGACAUAGCUUCAUGUCCAAUCAUCACAUCAACCAUGAGCUCUAUGAUUGGUAUCGGAAAAUCAUCCUUCGGACACGCUUUGUUCAAGUCUCAAAAAUCAACGCACACACGUAUUUGGCAUUUUUCUUUUUGACAGGUACAAUAUUUGAGAUCCAUGAUGGCUAUUUCACCUCUCAAAUAAAUCCGGCUUCGAUGAGCUUAUUAACCUCUACUUCAAUUUGUGUUACUAGCUCAAGGCGAAACACUCGUUGUGACUGCUUUACAGGACGUGCCCCUUUUUUGAUCCCAAAAUAAUUAAUAGCUACCUUAGGACUAAGGCAAGACAUUUCUUUGUAUGACUAGGUGAAGACAUCUUUGUACUCAACUAAUAACUUGAAGUAGUUCUGCUCUUCUUGCGGUGUAAGAAGUGUACUAACAAAGGUUGGGUGCGGAUUCUCCAAUGUACCGAGGUUUAUCUCCUUAAGUUCAUCUACAGUCGAUUGUACUCCAUCCUCUAGUUGAGGGGGUGCUUCUUGAGCAUCAUCAUCCAUUUUAUCAUGGCACAGAUUGUCCUCCACUAUUAUAUGAUAUGAUACACUGGCUUCCUCUAGAUCCUCUUUUGUUUCUCUAAGUUGUUGGUUGGUAAAAACAAUAGUUCUUUUUCUUACCUUUAACUAGACAUCUGUGGUAAUUGACAAAAUAGACUUUCUUUUCAUGCGCGAUGGGAAAGCACUAUGAAUUUCCUUAUCAUCAAUGUCCUCAGAGAAAUAUUGUUGUUCGUGCCCCAAUAAUGUCUUUCUAGAUUAUGGCUUUUCUGUGGCUCCCAAGAGAAGAAAAAUAGAGGCAUCCGCAGUGGUGACACGUCCUUCUACACAGUUAGAAGCUCCACUUCCAUCUUUACCUCCUAAUCUAUCAAAUACAGAGACACGAGGUGUUGAUUUUCCUAUGCGAUUUAACACUAAGUUCCAUUAUGGUAUUUUCUCGUCCCCACCCUUCUUUUUCCCUUCUACUAAGAUAUGGUGAGAUGAAGUCAUUUCCUUCACCUUCCUAGCUGAAAUUCGAAGAGGCUCUGGCAAUUUUGAAUCCUAGCCCAAACUUAGGAGUGGUGACGUAAUGUCCUUGCUUUCACAACUUUAUUUGGGAUGUUGUAAGGCCGUGUAUUUUUUCGCCAGUGACUUCAUCCUUGAGCUCUCCUAGUCUUAUCGGAUUGGAGAAGUCAUAACCUGAUUUUUCAAGUAAUGUGAAAGCCUUUUGAUUAAAGUGACCUUUUAUCUUUUCAACUAAGGUGUCAUUUCUUGAGGACACAAGAGUAUUAGCUUGGAUUUGUACGAUUGGUACUGUCAUACUCUUCUUCAAAUCUUGCAACAUUUCAUGGCUUAUUUCUUUUCUUGGAUGGAGAACUUAUUGAGUACAUGCUUCUAGCAAGGGUUGUCCUUCUCUUCGACGCUCACGUGGAAUGUAGCUAAAUAUUAAAUGCUCAUCAUCUGUCUUUGCUUUUAUGUCUCCUUCAGAUGAUGAGAACUUAAUGGCGAUUACUUCAGUACUUUCCUUAGACAUCUUAGCAACACCCGCCUGCACUCCUACCUUUUCUUUUGAAUUAACCCCAGUUGGGUUAGAGGGUGUUGGUUUCUUCAUGUCUAACUCACAAGGGUCCAAAUAGAAUUUCACAUCUGCAAAGUACGACUCUGUUUCUGUGAAAGGAUGAAUAUCUGCAUCAACUUUAACUACCUCACCAUCCUUCAUAUACUUCAUGCACUGAUGUAAAGUAGAUGUCACCACUCCAUUUUCAUGCAACCAGGGGCGUCCAAGAACCAAGUUGUUUGAUGUCUUGGCGUCUAUGACGUGAACCAAAAUAUUUGAUUUCAUAUUGCCAAUGGAUAAUUCUACGGAUAUUUUUCCCAUGGCUCGCUGCCCUCCUUGAUUGAAGCCUUGAAUUGUUAUAUUUCUUUUGGACAGUUCAUCAAUAGAGAUUCCAAGACUUUUGAGCACUGUCCUUGGCAUGAUAUCAGUAUAUGAUUGAGAUGUUGUUCUCGAAUAACUCCUACAACAAACAAAGGCCUGUUAUGCAAUUUGGACCCUAACAACAAGUCAUCAUCGGUGAAGAAAAUUACAGCAAAACACUGUGCAACUGCUGGCUUAACAUGACAUUCUUGUGCUAUUGUUAGAUGCUACUCUUGUUUACUUCCCUUGGGUUCUUCUAUGCUGGAAAUUACAUGCAUCACCCUAACUUGGCUAUCUUGAAGGAAUUUUUUCAGAAAAAAUUCAUGCAACAUGAUAGGCCUUCGGGCCUUCUAUGACAAGAAACCACUAAUCUUCUUUCUAGCAUUAAACUUGACACUUUUUGAUGGUCGCAGUUGAUCCACAUUAUGCCCCAUCACUUUCAUCUUAGGAAGUCGUAUUCUUGGAACUACUCGAUGUCUUCUUUUCUUAUGAGAUACAAGAGUCCAGCCGUUAUCCUUAUUAUUCUCAGAAUUGUCAUCUACCUCUAUUGCAGCUUUAGAAGUUCUUCUUGGGGCAUCAACUUCAACCGGCCUGAAGCUUCCAAAAUGCAAUAAGAUGGUGCUUCUCAUAGUCUGCGGCAUGGAGCAUUUUUGUUGAUCGACAACGCUAUCAUGAUUUGCAUCCAUGGUUUCAUCCAUGUUGAUGAUGAUUUUUCCUUUACUUACUAGUGUCAUGAUUUUCUUCUUCAAAACGAAGCAUUUUCCUGUCGGGUAGCCAAUGACGCGAUGAAAUUUGCAGUACUUAGGAUCAUUAACCCUAUUAAUUUCCUCAGGCCUCUUUGAUUCCAGAAGAUCAAUGGCUUUUUUGGCCAACAAUUCAUCAAGGAUCGUAGGUACGUCUGAAGCUGGAAAUGGGUAAAAUUUUGCUUCCAACUCUUUCAAAGUUGGACGACGUUUUCCCUCCCUUGGCUGUUGCUUUAAUGUUUCAUAUUCCUUCACUUUUUUCUUCAUCGUGACCUUUACGGAAGUUUUUUUCACCUCCAUGGAUUCUUUAGUAUGGAUCUUUGGGGUCGUAGCCUUCUUGAACUCUUUUUUUUCUGUAGUAAGAUCAACAAAAAGAGACGUCUUCCCAUGACUUGCGAUACUUAACUCCAUGUCAUGUGCUCAUAUAGCAAGUUCUUCAAAUGUUUAUGGUUUGAUUCCUUGUAGUAUGUAUAGAAGGCCCCAAUGCAUUCUUUGAGGGCACAUUUCUACAGCGGAUAUUUCAGAAAGGAAAUUUUUGCAGUCCAAACUCAAUGACCUCCAACAAUUGAUGUAAUCCACCACAGGUUCAUCUUUUCUUUGCUUAGUGCCAGUCAACUCUAUCAUACUCACAGUUUAUCGAGUGUUGUAAAACUGGUUGAGAAAUUCCAUCUCGAGCUACUCCCAACUAUCAAUUGACUCAUGCUCUAAGUCGAUAUACCAGUCAAAUGCAUUCCCUUUUAAUGAACGAGCCAACUGUUUCACCAGGAAAUCGCCGUUUGUUCUAGCAUUACUGCAAGUUUUGACAAAGUGAGCUCUUUAGUGGUUGAUAGUUCGUUGGCAUGGAUAGACAGUCAAUUUGCCUUUUGUAAGGCUCGGAGUAAUACAAUGAACUUUGUAGUGCUCUGCCAUAUUGAGCCCUGAUAGAGUUAGUUAUCAUGUCUUGCAACUGCUGAACAGAUAGAGCCCCAACCAAAGUAAACUGUUUCUCUUUUUGAGAUUUAGUGUUUCUAGGAGACUCAUCAACACUCUUAUUUUGCUGAGUAAAGCCGGAUGGAUAAGCAAGGUCGUGGCUUGAUUCUCCAGGGGCAAAGGACUCCAACUUGUUCAUCAGUUGAGCGAUUUGAAGAUCUUUAUCCUCAACAGAUUUCUGUAAAACUUCAAUGGUUUGUUCCAUUAUUGUGAACUUCUCAUCCAUAUCAGUUACGUCAGCCAUCAAGGCAUUGACCUUUAUUGAAACCGGAGCAUCAAUCGAAUCUUCUGAUCCACUAAAAUUGACGCCAGUCUGAGAAAGUUCAUCACAUAGCAAGGAUGUCAAGUUACCCCCCAGGAGUUGUGAUUCCAUCCGCCAUAUGAGAUUUGCUCUUUUUUGCCUUCUUCAAAGAAAUAAAGUAUUCACAUCUGUCCCAACCACUAGUCUUCAACUUGCGCCGAGUGAGUGGACCAACAUGGAUGAGCUCAUCAGAUGUGGCAGUAGCAGAGUUCUUGCAUGAGACAACUUUAGUAUUUUUGAAGUCCAUAGCAGUGGUUGAAUUUGAUCUCGCAGGAAGAAGAGAUGGAGAGUAAAACUGGUCCCACUAGGCGUGCCAAUUUGUUUGCAACAUAAUUUAAAUUCAUGGAAAAUAAAUUUUAACCACAAACAAAAAUAUGAAGCAACAAGAAUUUUAUAUUGAUAAACGAUUGUGGUUACAAAUCUGUUCCUCCCUUGAUUCUUCUCUCUUGAUUUUCUGCGUAAUUGAGGGUCGUUAGUGACUUAUUCUCGAAUAUAGGAUGAUCUUUUUAUAAAUAUCCCAUGAUUUUUUGUGGGAUAUUGAGAUCCCGAUCUUUUUACGACUACAUAUUCAAGAUGCCUGUUUCAGAGAACAUGUUACCUUUUAAAUACGCAAGAUUUAGGGUAAAGUAGACUUCUAGAACUCUAACAGAAUUUGAAUUGUCCACAACUUUUAGAUGUCUACAAAUAACCUCUACUUCAAGGCUUGUCGAAGUGUAGACUUGAUGACGAGUCUUGAAGUACACAUAGAGGGCUACAGAUAUGCAGAAUUUAUGAGAGAAGAGAUGAAGGACAAAUUUGGUCCCACUGGGCAUGCCAAAAUUUGUUCACAACAAAUUUUUGUGGAUGCGGAAAAUUAACUGCAAGCAAAAAUAAAUAAAAAGAAAUAAUGAUUUUAUAUAAACAAAAUUUGUGGGUACAAUUCCGUUAUUCUCUAGAUUCUUCUCUUCUAAGUUUUUUCGUGAUUCGAGGACCUUUGCAGCGUGAUUCUCGAAUGUAGGAUGAUUUAAGCCUCCUAGAAAUGCGUUUGGAUCUCCAGAAAUUGUCUGACAACACUUCGUCGUGUCGAGUUGACCUUCGGGCAGAACUCCGUUGGUCGAUUCUUUGAAGAGCUAUGUAGUCAAUGCAGAAGCUUCCUCCUAUGCUUGUUGAAUGACCCUUUAAAAUUAUGUAACCCUCCUAUUUAUAGUUGGAGGGGGUAGGCAGUCCAAGUGUAAAUAACCUCUUCUGCCUCAUUCUGAUUGGUCCAUUCAAUUAUCAAGCAUAUCACAAAUGUUAUGUGACAAGGUUGCUUGUGAUUGGCCAAAAACAUAUUAUUUGGGACACUUGGCGAUGUUUCAUUGACUCUUGAAUUUGACUUGGAUUGUCACCUCAUUUGAUUGUGUGGCCUUGUCUCAUUUGUUUUUAAUUUAACUGGGAUGCCAUGUCAUUUGACACAUGACAUGAGUUUGGGCCUCAAGGUGAGAUGGACCUUGAUGAAGAAUAAAACGGGUUUAUAGCCCAAAAUAAUUUUAGAUCCAAUAAAAUAUGGAUCAAAUCCAAAUUUUAUAUGAAUUUGAUUCAAUAAAUUUUACGUGUCUACAACAAGAUACGUACGAUUGCUUCUUUAUUAGAGAGCUUAACUUUUCAAAAUAACUAAACAUUUGGAGACUUGAACACAUAUCAUUUAUGUCCAAAAGAGCUCCAACACCCAUAUUACCUAGAUUAGCAUGACACUGUUCAUGCUUUUAUUUCAUAUAGUAGCAACCUUUGUAUCCCGUGCAACAGGUGGUGCAUCCAGUGGGGUAAUGUAUCGUCUUUCCUUGUGAAAGUGGAUAUUUUUCAUAGAGACAUAGCGAAUAGGCAAUAUUUGGAUCACAAUUCUUAGGGCAAUCUUUUGGGUUGUUGGGUUCAGACUCUCCUUCACAAAUAAAAGUCCCAUCAGCACUGUAAUAGUUGCAACCCUUACUGCCUGCACAACAAUUGAUGCAUAUGCGAUUUUCUGCACUUCCUUAGAAACGUGGACACUUUGAAUAGGCAAUUCUUGUAUCACAAUUUUCAGGGCAAGCUUUUGGGUUGUUGGGGUCAGACUCUCCUUCACAAAUAAAAGUCCCGUCAGCACUGUAAUAGUUACAACCCUUGUAGCCUGCUCAACAAUUGGUGCAUAUGCGAUUUUCUGCACUUCCUUCUGAACGUGGACAUAUCCCAAACCCAAGAUUACCACAUUCUUUGGUACAAGCCUUGGCAUCAACAUGUAGAAGCAAUAUUCCUACAAUAAAUAUAUAAGAUAUACAUAAAUAUUAAGGAAAAACAUAACACCACUUGUGUGGAUCACUACUACAAAAUCAAUAUUUUCCAACUAAAAUUUCCCGCUGAAAAGGUGCAUAAUAGUUAAAAAUGUAUAAAUAACAUAAAUACCAAUCAUUUUGAAAGUAAUUACACUUUCUCCCACUUUUUUAAUUACUUUACUCUCUCUCCCUAUUAAUAUACAUAACAUAACCGACAUAUACAUAGCUUUCUGUGUAUAUGUUGGGAUUUUUGUAAUAUGUUUAGGGAGCUGAGUUUUUUGUAAUAUUGAAAACAUAAGUUGUGUAUUUGUGCAAUUUUUAGUUUAAAAAUUAGGAAGCUUUCUAGUGUUCUAAUGAGAAUCAUUUUUUCACCAUGCAUUUUCUAGUUAUCCAGAAAUUAGGUGGGAAAUGGGAUCGAAAAAUCCUUUUUUAUAACGCAUAUUUUCUAUUGCUUCGCGGUGGGAAAACCUUUGUCUCUAACUGCAUAUAUAUCAAUGAAGAAAUUAAAGAGAAAAAGGAGAAAGGAAAAUCUUACCAAGAACAAGUAGGUAAGCAAGGAAACUAACUUCUUUGUGAACAACCAUAUUAUGAAUCGAUGGUGAUUAUUUACCUUGUUUUUGUUAUGGAUGAGGAAGUCUACCCAUCACCACCUAUUUAUAGCAAACAAAUAAAAUAUACGUGGCUAACUAAAAUUUUUAUUUCACAUUAAUAAAAGAUUGGAAAUUAGGUACUUACGCUUGAUUCUUUGUUAGAAAGCUUAUUUUUUCUUACUUGUUAUAUUCCUUCUAAUAAUUAAGCAAGUUGUACUGAGUACUGACCCCGACUUGCUUGUUUUUGAAAUAUUUUUCAUCUUGCAAUAAUUUUUCAUAUCCAUGAACCAUGAUACUGUAUGUAGUAUUCUAGUUGAUGGACAAUAAUGGAUUAUUGUGCAGACAAGGGAGUAGUCAUAUCCAUUUACUACAUAGUUGAUGGACAAUAAUGGAUUAUUGUGCAGACAAGGGAGUAGUCAUAUCCAUAACUAAAACCUGCGAACGAUGUACAAUGAUUGAUUGGCACUCCUUCCGUCUUCAUAACCUAUAUGUUUGUUUUCAAGUUGAAGUGUUUUUUAAAGAAAAAUAUCAUUGCUGAAAGGGGUAAUUAUGUAUUAUCUCAUAACUAAAACAUGCCAAUGGAGUACAGUGGCUACUGGUUUUGCAUAUUUUAAAAAUAUAUUUAUUCUUUUCGCAAUUAAUUAUUUAAUUACGUUAAAUUGAUGAAUAUCACUAAGCAUUGAGCAAUAAAAUUGUAAAGACAUAUUUAUGUUGAAUAUUAGCGAUGGAAAUCUCACAGUUAAAGAGAAUAUUUGAAAAUGAAUAAUUUUACAAACAUGAAUAUGAAAUAAUGUAAUGGUGAUUGAAACUGAACCAAUUAAAGCUAGGAAUCAAAAGGCAACAACUUAGCCUCUAAGUGAUUUGUAUGUUACCUCGCAAACAAUCUUCCUUCCCCUAAUAAUUAAGACUACGACUUGCUUAGCUUGUUUUUGAAAUUCUGUCAUCUAGCAAUAAUUUUUCAUAUCCAUGAUGUUGUAUCAAAUAUUCUAGUUGAUGGACAAUAAUGGAUUAUUCUGCUGACAAGGGACUAAUCAUAUCCACGACUAAAACGUUUUAACUUUUAACAAUGUACAAUGGUAAAAUUUCAUUUUUACGCUAUCUAAAAUAAAAUAUUAGUACCACGUCUUUUAAUAUUCAGAAUUUUUAUUUUAUUUAUUAAUAAGAUAAUUUAUAAUCUUAUUUAAGCUCAAAUUCCAUAAUGUAUAUAUAUUUUUGUUUCUUGAAUUCCAUAUGCUGUCAAACAAUACUAUAUAUAUUCAGCCAUUAUGGAUGCUUUAAUUUGUCAAAAUUAAUUUAUUUAUAGCUAACGAGUGAUCAACUAACAAAAAGAUAAGCCAGGAUCCAUCAAUUGAUAGAAAUUUGUUUUCUUUUUGUUUCUACUAGCUAGUGCAUUAAGUUUGGCAGGGUCGUAGGUGCAUACUUUAAAAAAAAAAAAAAAAAAAAAAAUUAAAAAAACGGACAUAACACACUUGCUUCACUAUUGAAUUAUUCAUAAGCGGUUUUUAAUUAUGGUUCACGAGGUACUACUAUUAGAACGCGAAAACAUUUUUUCUGCCAAACUUUUAUUAAAUAAUUUAAGUUCUAUGUAAAAAUAUAUUUUAUAAUUAUAUCAUUUUUAAGGUACUUACAUAUGUAUGUGUCAUGAUUCAAGCCGAAUUCUGGUCUUAAUGGGCACCCCGAACCAUGGAGAUCCAAGAAGAACCCUUAACAUACUAACAAAAACAUAAUUCAUGUAAAUUGCAAAUAUAAGGAAACUAAAGGAAAUCUUAAUAACAAUCUUCAGAUCCAACAUUCAUAACAAAACAUCUAUCUAAUCCAGUGUAUGAAACCUCUACUAACGAUUAACUAUCUAGUUCGGGACAAGGCCCUGAUCGGACCAUAAAAUUGAAUAUCUAAUUUAUACACCUUUCGAAAGAUGGAUGAUGACUUACCAAACAUGACACUUCGGAAAAUUCUACUGCUGUGUUGGACCGUGAGAUUGUGUCUCAGAACCUACAUUAUAAGAUAAUGUAACCGCCUGAGGACGGUCAAUACUUGAAAUUUAUUGACAUGAAGAACGACCAAAUAAAAUAACAUUUAAAUAGCAUUAGCAGUAACGUUAUACAAAACAUAAUAUGGGGUUACAAAAUAUCAAAACGACAUGUAAACAUAAAUUUCAGUUCAAAAGCUAAUUUCUGAAACUAAAUUAUGAUGUUUGAUAAUUCUGACUAGGCGGCGUACCCGACAUGGCCUAAAAACCCCAUGGCCUAUGCAGAGUUCGACUUUGACUCGUCGGUCAGGCCCCCAAUCCAAGUUUUUCACAAGGAUUGAAGUGUCUGCGUCUGGUAUUCCAAAGUAAGAAGCGAGUAUACAAUGAUCAUCUGUAUUUUAGGACAGGAUAAAUUUCGCAUCGGUGAAACACGAUUUUGAAAUAUGGCCGUCUUCUCAAUUAGCUACCUAAUUCUCUUUAAACCCAUAUUUUAGCCUUUUAAAACAUGAAUCUCUCGUAAGACUUGCAAGCUCAAAAUUAAAAGCCAUUUUUCAUGUUCCGGUUAAUCUCUACAUGUCAUGAAUCAUUUACCAUCAUAAGGUAUUUCAAAGUUCAAUUAAUAAAGCUCUUCAAAUCAAUGUGAUAGUUUAGUCAAAGAGAUUUCUCAUUCAUGUUUCUUGUAAAAAUCUUAGGGAACUCGCCCCAUUCAAUCGUAUUCAAAUAAACACCAUAAGUAGUAAGUGUAACACCCCAUAUUUUUGGGCUAAAAUUCAAGCCAUUGUUUCGAAGCGUAUAGAUCCGAACCCAAUGAUUCCUUGUUAAUAUAUGUUUGAUGAUCAAUUCUAUAGUGUGGGAAUACCUUUGAAUGUGAAUUGAGGUCACAAAAAUCCCCUCACUCAUAGACGAGUUGAGAACUUUUCUAUCGAUUAAGUUUUAGUGAACGUUUCAACUUGGGUCAACUUUCAAUGACCAUUACUCCUAGUAUAUAAUGAGUUACGUGACCUACUAUAUACCAAAUGAAAUAUCUUCGAGUUUUAUUUCCAACGCAACUAGUUUCACUUUAAUCCGAUAUCGGAGUAAAAAAGUUACGCUCGUUUUACUAAAAGGUAUCUGUCAGCCAAAGCGCGAUGGCCAGGGUGAUGGCCCAUCGCACUAGUGACGGCCCAUCGCACCAGUGAUGGCCCGUUGCACCAAACCAUCACCCUUAAGCAGAAAGACUAAAAAUUGGUCAUUUUGUGAUGGUUGGAGUGACGGUCCAUUAUCCAAACCUUCAGUAGGGACCGCUCUGCACUGUUAUAACGUUUUUAAAGGGGUAUUUUGAUAUUUUCCUCACCUCAAACGUUAUCCCCACGACUUAAAUCACACUUUAAACCCUUUUUACUAAUAAAAUUUCAGUUUCUCAUCACUCAUUCCCCUCUCCUCCCUCAAAGAGAGAAAAAUUAGGAUUUCCUCCCAAGACUCAUACUUCUAAGGCUUAGAUUCAAGACGUCUCAAAUUUUGUUCAUCAAAAAGGUAUGUGGGACUAUCCUAAAUCUCAUGGGCAUAAAUUUUUAUGUUUCUAACAAGUUUUAAAGAUAGAUACGUAUGUAUAUGAAAAGUGUUUUGGAAAUUAUUUGAAGAGCAUACAUCAUGAACCCAUUUUGAUUAAAGAGUGAAUUUAUCAUGGGGUUCUUCCAUAAACUUGAGUUGUAAUCAUGUGCAUAUAUGAUAUGAGUUUCGAAGAGUGUUUUAUGAGUAUGAUUUGUGAAAUUCCCUUUUUACAUGAUGAAAUUAUGAUCUUAACAUGUUAUGUAUUGUAAAUUUGGUUUGAGAGCAUGAGCUAUAAGUCCCCUUUUUUAUCAUGAGAUUUAUGUGUGUCAAAUGUUGAGGUUGUUUUAUGAUUGAUGAUAGUUCUUGGAUUUUAAAUCCAUCUUGAUUAUUAUACAUGGUUGUUUUACAUGUUUUCAAAGAGGUGAUUUCUAUUCUAAAUGCUAUAAUUUUCCAAUGAAGAAACUGUAUGUGAUUAAUGAAAGAAUUGACCACCAGGUGUUAAAGUCUUGAAAAGAUAGUGUGUUUGCAUAAGUUUCAUCUGCUUUUGAAAAUAAGAACUCUCAUGUGAUUUGAUAAAUCUUUUGGUGGUCAUCUGGAUUAUGUUGAAUAAAAAGGGCUAUGGAUAUAAUGUGAUAUGAUAUGAAUGACUUGCAAGUCUGGGUAUGAUGAUACCCUGUUAUGAUAUGCCCUUAAAAGAAUUAGAAAUUAACUUUUAUAAUCAUGAAGCAUGGUUUUAAAGAAUUAAAAUUGGGGCUAAAGAGAGUUAGAUGGUUACCCAAAGAAGGCACGAGUUUAGAUAACUCACAGCCCUAAACUGUAUUUUGUCGAUGCGGUUUUUUUUUUUAUAGAAAGGUAUGUCAUGCAAUAGGCAUAUCCUUUUCUGUGACAUGAUAUGUCAUGCAAGAGGCAUACUUAGUGAUUAUUAUGUACUCCAAUCCUAGCAGCAAACUUGGAUUGGUGGCUUGGACGCCGAGUUAAGGGUGGAUUCCAUAUAAUCCAUGAGAUUGUAGAAAUGUAGGUUGUACCAUCUAGCUCAGAAGUAAAGCAAAAAGUUGAGUCAUGAUUACAAGAAAAUAUUUUGAAGCUCAUCAAAUUAUGCACAUGUGUUUUCGUAAAGCAUAUGCUACAUUGCUUUAUGAAAUGCUCUCACUUAUGUUGUAUAAAAAUAUAUGUUAUAUUUUUAGAUUGUUCUACAUGCCAGUACUUUCAAGUAUUGACCCCAUGUAUUUUAGGUUCUGAGGCACAGUCCUGUGGUCCCAUCAACCAGUAGUUUAUUUUCAGAUAUUCAGAGUUAGUGAGUCUCCCUUACUUCAGAAGGCAUAUCUUUUAUGUGUGGUUUCCUUUUUAAUUUUAUGGUCCGUCCGGGGGCCUUGUCCCAGCUUAGACAAACUAGUACGCUCAAUUCAGUAGAGGCUUCAUAAUACAUGUUAGAUUGGAUUUGGGUUUUUCUUAUGGUUUGAUUUCAUGAAAUUUUAAGUUUGGUUUGGGACUACCAUGUUUCAGGUUAUCUUCUGCACUUUUACACCAUAUGAGUUAUGAUUAUGAUUACAUGCUAAGGGGUUUCUCGGGCCUUCAUGGUUUAGGAUGUCUGUCAUGGCCAGGGCCUUGGUUUGGAUCGUGACAGUAAGUAAUUUACAACACAAUUCAUGCAUGUUCUUCACAACCAUAUGCAUAUGGAUCGAUAAAUCAAGUGAAGGAAAUAUUCAGAACCCUAUUCGUUUUAUCAAUCACAAUAUAAUAUAUAUAUAAGUUUAACAAAAUACAUGAGUGCAAAUUUGAAACAUGCUUGCAUAGUUAAAUGGAAUUUCAUACUUAAAUCACUAAAAGAAUUUAAGAGAAUAAUAAUUAAACCCCCAUAGAUUUUAGGUCGUUCUACAUACCUUUGAUGAUAGAGAGAAAUUCAAUAAAAGUUAACCUUGGGGCUCUUCUACAUAACUUCCCAAUCUCUUGACUUAGAUGGGGAGAAGAGAAUGUUUUGGUGUUGAUUUAGGGUCAAUCCCAAUUUGGGAAAACAUAUUAGAAUAUUAGGGGAUGAUUUUUAGGCGUAUAAGGACCAAAAUACUCCAUAGACAUUUAAGAACCUUGGAAAAAUGACAUAGGGGGAGGGGUGUAUGCAGCGUGACCCCCAUUGGGUAACGGAGGCCUCAAGGCGAGACCAUCAUCGCACGACAGAGGCCUCGCGGCGCGACACCUAGCAUGAGUUAGCCCUCUUGCGGCGCGGGCCCUCUGCAUGGGUGAGGCAGCGGCACUCUGCGGUGGCCCUCAUGAUGUGGGGCUAUCGGCGGGGUCUUCUUCGAGAUGCACGACCUAUUUUUUCAUCUAAAGAUGCCCCCAACCCAUCCGAACCCAUCCUUAAGUGGUUUAUUCUCUAUAUAGAGGUCACAUGGACUCGUUCUUAGCUCUAAUCACAUGUAAAAACACUCGGGUUGUUAAAAUAUGAUAGUUAUUAAUAAUUGAUAACCUGUAGAAAAAGUAAUUGUCCUGUUCUAGAACAUUAGUAGAUCAUUAACAUAGAAGUGCAAGUAAACAUCAAAACCGUUGACCUAUAGCCUUUAUUAUAUUGUAAAAACUAUUUGAAAAUUAAAAGACUACAGAACAAAAUAUGAACGGUUCAGAAAGUUAUAAAGGAAUUUCGAACAUCACUGCAUACAUGACAUUUGGAUAAUACAUAAGGAAUUGGUAGUGACCUUAAGAUAGAUAAAAAAGAGCAUAAUUUUAUAUUUCUUCUUAAUUACUUCAACUGUUGGGUUUGAUUAUAGGUACCAUCCAUUUUGAACUUGCCAAAACCUUCAUCCAUCAUGUAUAGGUCGAACCAAGCCUGAUAUAAGGGCAAGUCAAUAGAAAAUAACCUUUUCUUUCCUGCCUCCUUGACCUAUAUUUUACAUUACCAUUGUAUAUAAACCAAAUCAAAUAAUUAACUCACCUUUGCACUUGAUAAUUGAGCAAAGUGAUAAGUGUGAUUAUGGAUUAAAAAAAGAUUAAAUCAAUAACACAUGUAGAAGUUAAGUUAAUGUAUUUGUUCGCGCAACAAAUACAGUCUAUAUCAACUUUAUAUAUUUUUAGACUUGAAGUUACAAAAUUAUGUCCAAACAAAAUAUAAAUUCUACAUUUCAUCAUAAUUUUGUUCGCAAUCAAUCGAUCUGUUCUGAAAUUUCCUUCAAAAUAGCGAGCUGUGAACCACUAAUACAAAACAUGUAUAUUUAUGUGAUUGCAUCCUGUAUUUGGGUGUGUAUUUGGGGUGUAUUGUUAUCUUUUAUGUAUUCGAGUAAAAGAAUCUGUAUAUAAGAAACACAAACUUCGACACUAGUUCAAGUCCAAGACAAGAACAUUUAUGAAGUUCUGUAACACCUUCAACACUAGAUUACGAAUAAUUUAUCUAAGAAGUGUGUUCAGAUUCAUAAAAGAGAUGAAACAGAAUGUAAGACCAAGUCCUCCGAAUUCACAGAGUGUCCUUAAGGAAUAAUUUCCCUCACAGUACCCGAGGUUUAGGAAUCUCACUCCCAGGAUAAAAUGUCCUUCAAUCUAAACAAUAGCGGUAACUCAAAUUGUUGGAUUCAGCGAACUCACUCAACAGUUUGAUAGAUCACACAGAAAAUUUUUCAAGACAAGAAGAGAGUUUGUAUUUUAGAAAAUUCAUACCUAAACCUGUGGAUGAAAGCAGGUUUAUAUAGCCAACAUGUGCCUCUUCUGAAAAGUGGCAAAGGUUCACUUAAAAGGUGUGACCUUUCUGGAAAAUCCAUGUCUAUUCGUCCAAAGAAUGUGUCUUUUUCGAACAGGCAAACCAUUUCAUGAAUCAGUGUGUCAUUUCAUUGAAGGGUUGCAUCCCUUCAUUUCAGCACUGCACUAUUUCAGAAUAUGCAUGCAUGCAUAUAAAUGGAGUAUCAAAACACAGAAAAAAGUUGUGUUUUUCUCUUUGAUAUUUUCGAACUGAAUUUCUGAAUUCUGAAUUUCUGUCAAAUAAACUUUAUCCAAAAAGAUAGAUCUCAUUGAUCAUUAUCCAAAUUCGAACCCAAAGCUAAAACCAAAGCCAAAGCUAAAGCCGAGCCGAGCGAGUGACGACGACAAUGACGUGAGGCAUCUCUUAUUUCUUACCUCACUUACCAUGUGGAGUAAUUGUUCCUUAUUUUAAACACUCACAAGUUCUCUUCUUUCACCAAUGUGGGAGAAAGAGUGAACUUUCCAAUUUGGGAGUACACUUUCUAAAUUAGUGUCUCCCUUCUGUCCACUAUUUUUUUUUCCAUUUUUCAUUCACACUUUUCAUAUACUUUGAACCCAACAAUCCCCCACAUGAAUGGGAAAUGACUAUUUUUUUGUAAAAAUUUUACGGACAAGUAUGUGAUCAUCAAGCAAAGACUGAUUGCAUCUGGAUAAGUGUGUUUCCUUUUGAACUUUCCAUAGUGAACAUGAAUCAGAUGCACUCGGUCAAUCGGUAGAUUUGAUAUCUUUGAAUCGUUGAGCUUUAGAGUACACCUAGACAACACAUGUCACACAACCAGUCUUUUACUGUUUAUGGUUCUCACAAUUUUGUUCUUUUCAGCCAUGAACACGUCUCAGUUUUGUGAGAGCUUAGAGAAUAGGCCUUUACUAACAUUCUCCUUGAAGCGGCUUCCACUUUGCCCUCACAUAGGGGAUUUCUAAACGUUCAAUCCUAUAGAUUAAAUUAUUUGGCCAAAUCUUCCAAAUUUAGAUAAUCAUUAAAAGACUUUUCACCUUAAGUCUUAUCCUUGUUUACUGAACAUUGUCUACUUCAUGAGAAUGAGUUGUUUAAUUGACAAUGUUGAACCUGUCAUACACAACUUUGUUUGAUCUCCUUGAACCUAGCUCUUGGGAUCUCCAGUCUGCUAGGUAGAGUUACCACAAUGCUGACUUGUCCUAGGCCGUAAACCCAUUUCCUUGGAUGUCCUUUCCACUUUUUCUCUAGAUAGUCCUUUUAAAAGUUGAUCCGACACAUUAUCCUUUGACUUUACAUAGUCAACAGUGAUAAUUCCACUAUAUAGAAGUUCCCUAACGGUAUUAUGUCUCCGUCGUAUGUGACAAGAUUUACCGUUGUACAUCAUGCUCCCUGCCAUACCUAUUGCCGCUUGGCUAUCACAGUGUAUACAUACUGGUGUCACUGGUUUGGGCCAAUAAGGAAUAUCUUCCAAGAAAUUUCAGAGUCAUUCUGCUUCUUCACCGGCUUUAUCUAAUGCGAUAAAUUCAGAUUUCAUUGUAGAGCGAACAAUGCAAGUCUGUUUGGAUGAUCUCCAAGAGACUGCUCCUCCACCGAUAGUAAGUACAUAUCCACUUUUGAAUUUUACUUCAUUCGAUCCGGUGGUCCAAUUUGCAUCACUAUAUCCUUCAAGUACCGCAGGAUAUUUAUUCUAAUGCAAAGCAUAGUCUUAAGUGUAUUUAAGAUACCCCAAAACUCUUUUCAUUGUCAUCCAAUGAGUUUUGUUGGGAUUACUUGUGUACCAACUCAAUUUACUAAUAGUGCAUGCUAUAUCUUGUCAUGUACAGUUCAUUAUAUUUAUUAAACGUCCCAAUACUCUUGCUUACUCCAAUUGUUAGUCACUUUCACCUUCAUUUUUUUGAAGAGAAAAGCUUACAUCCAAAAGAGUCUUGACAAUACCAAAUUUCAUAUUCUUGAAUUUGUCAAGUACCUUUUCGAUAUAAUGAGACUGUGACAAUACCAACCCUUGUGGAGGUCUAUGGAUUCUUAUACCUAAGAUCACAUCCGCAACUCCAAGGUCUUUCAUAUCGAACUUGCUUUCGAAUAUUCAUUUUGUUGCAUUUAUGUCUGAAAUAUCUCUACUGAUGAUCAACAUAUCAUCCGCAUAUAAACAAACAAUGACUUGGUGAUUCGGAGUGUCUUUAAUGUAAACACAUUUAUCAUAUUCAUUUAUCUUGAACUCGACAUGGUUUGGUAAAACUUCCCAUUCCAUUAUUUAGGUGCUUGCUUUAGUCCAUACAACGAGUUAAUAAGUUUACACACCUUAUUCUCCUUUCCUGGAACCACAAAACCCUCAGGUUGUUUCAUGUAAAUUUCUUCCUCCAAUUCUCCAUUUAGAAAUGUAGUUUUCACAUCCAUUUGAUGGAUCUCAAGAGCAUAUACUACCGCCAAGGCAAUUAACAUUCGAAUCGAUGUUAUCCUUGUUACUAGCGAGUAUGUAUCAAAGUAAUCAAGGCCUUAUUUUUGCUUGAAGCCUUUUACUACUAGUUUUGUCUUGUAUUUGUCAAUAGUACCAUCCGCUUUCAUUUUCCUUUUAAAGAUCUAUUUAGAACCUAAAGAUUUAUUUCCUGGAGGAAGAUCAACCAAUUCCCACGUAUGGUUGCUUAAGAUUGAAACAAUCUCACUAUUGACUGCCUUUUUAUAAAAGGACGAGUCUGAUGGCGACAUCGCUUCUUUAAAUGUUUGAGGCUCAUUUUCUAAAAGAAAUGUUACAAAAUCUAAUCCAAAUGUAGUAGAAGUUCUUUGAUGUGUACUAGUCUUGGAUUCUCUUCAUUAUGCACAUUCUAACUUGGUUUAUCUCGAGGUCGUUUAGACCUUCCACUAGACUGUUCAUGUCUAGUUUUAUGCGGGUAAAUGUUUUCAAAGAAUUCAGCAUUAUCUGAUUCAAUUGCCAUAUUUUUAUUUAUAUUCGGAUGUUCAGAUUUAUGAACCAAAAACUGACACGCUUUACUACUUUUAGCAUAUCCUAUGAACACGCAAUCCACAGUCUUAGGUCCUAUCUUAACCCUCAUAGGCAUAAGAACUUGGACCUUUGCCAGACACCCCCAAACUUUGAAAUAUUUAAAGUUGGAUUUCCUUCCUUUUCAUUUUUCAUAAGUAAUUGAUUGUGUCUUACUAUAGAGAACUUUAUUGAGUAUACGAUUGGCUGUAAGGAUAGCCUCCCCACACAAGUUUUGCAGUAAAUCGAAACUUAUAAGCAAGGCAUUCAUAUUUCCUUCAAAGUUCGGUUUUUCCUUUCCACAAUUCCGUUAGAUUUAGGUGAAUACGGGGCCGUAGUUUGAUGGACAAUUCCAUUCUCUACACUUAUUUUGGCAAAGGGAGAUUCAUAUUCUCCGCCCCUAUCACUUCUUAUCAUUUUUAUCUUUUUCUCUAACUGAUUUUCUACUUUAGUUUUGUAUGGUCUAAACACAUCUAUUGCUUCAUCCUUACUAUUUAGCAAGUAGACAUAACAAUAUCUAGUGCAAUCGUCAAUAAAAGUUAUGAAGUAUUUUUUCCCACCAAGUGAUGGUGUUGAAUUCAUAUCACUAAUAUCAGUGUGUACUAGUCUAAAGGAUUGGAAUUCCUUUCAACGGACUUAUAAGAAUGCUUUUCAUACUUUGAUUCCACACAUGUUUGACAGUUUGAUUUAUUGCAUUCAAAGUUUGGCAAAACUUCUAAGUUAAUCAAUUUUCGUAACAUUUUGUAAUUAACAUGGCCUAAACAUUCAUGCCAUAAAUUAUAAAACUCAAACAAGUAAGAAGAAUUUGAACUUUUAUUUAUUUCAACAUUCAUUACAUUCAUCUUAUAAAGACCCUCGAUGAGAUAGACUUUUCCUACAUACACUUCUCCUUUGCUAAUUACAAUUUUUCCAGAAGCGAUUACACAUUUGAAUUCGUUCUUGUCUAGAAGUGAAAUAUAAAUCAAGUUCCUACGUAAUUCCGAAACGUACAAGACAUUGUUAAGUGUCAAGACCUUUCCUGAAGUCAUUUUCAAGCCCACUUUUUUCUGUUUCUUCUACCUUAGCCAUAGCAGAGUUAUCCAUGUAGAUCAUUUCUUCCACUUGAGCCAGAGCGAAUGACGAAAAUAACUCUUUGUUGGAACAAAAUGGAGGGUGACACUAGAAUCCAUCCACCACUCGUGAGGAUUCCCCACCAAGUUGCAUUCUGUAAACAUAGCACACAGAUCAUCACAUUCUUUGUUAGACUCAAUCAUAUUUGCUUGGUCCUUUUUCUUGCCUUUCUUAGGGGCACGACAAUCCGUGGACUUAUGGCCAAUCUUGCCAUAAUUGAAGCACUUUCCCUUGAAUUUCUUCUUGGGUUGAUGGCUUCUUUGUUCAGCUUUCUUCCUUUUCUUAAAAUUAUUUUAGUCAUCUUCUACAAUAUGUGCUCCAUUAAUUGUAGAAUUCCCUUUUGACCUUCUUUCGGCAGCCUUAUUAUCCUCUUUAAUACGUAGUCGGAUAAUAAGAUCUUCGACAGUCAUCUCUUUGCGUUUGUUCUUCAAGUAGUUUUUAAAGUCUUUCCACAUAGGUGGUAACUUCUCAAUAAUCGUUGCUACUUGAAAUGCUUCAUUCACAAUCAAACCUACAAAACAGUUUAUGUGAGAACAUUUUCAAUUUGUUCAGCUAAGGUAUUUUUCAAAGAUAUACCUUCUGCUAGGAGAUCGUGAAUGAUUACUUGCAAUUCCUGCACUUGAGAGAACCAAUUUGCUAUCUAUCAUUUUAAAGUCCAAGAACCUUGCAACAAAGAAUUUCUUGAUUCCCGCAUCCUCUGUCUUGUAUUUUCGUUCUAGCGCCCCCCCCCCCCACAAUUUCUUCGAUGUCUUAGUUCCACUGUAAAUAUUGUAGAGGUCGUCUUGGAUACCACUCAAUAUAUAAUUCCUGCAAAGGAAGUCCGAGUGUUUCCAAGCUUCUACAAUCAUGAAAUGUUCUUUGUCCGAGGUUCCCUCGGGCACCUCAGGAGCAUCCUCAGUAGUGAACCUUUGAAGGCGUAGAGUGGUGAGGUAAAAGAACAUCUUUUGCUGCCAUCUCUUAAAGUCAAUGCCCAUAAAAUUUUUGGGCUUCUCCGUAGGUGCCAUUGGUUGCGGAGCAUUUGCUCGUCUUGUUGAAGCAAUGCUAGUUUCCCCCAUAGUCGUAGCCGCAUCUUGCAUUUGACUUUCGUUAGUCAUUUUUCUUGUCACCACAAGACAAUAAAUUUAGUAUUUUCAUAAUACUAUUUAUAAAGUUAAGCAACUUUAAACUCUUUCCAUCCACAUUUAUUCAGCGCCUCAUAGUAUGUCCAUCCUCUAUCGCGUAUAAAAUCUGCGCCCCCAGUGCAUAUCAGAAUUUUGGAGCAGACAAGCUUGGAUAGCAAAUUCGGAUGUAUCAUCAGAUUUGGGAUUUUCAGGGCAACAAUAUGUUAUCUUUUAUGUAUUCGGGUACAAGAAUCUGUAUAUAAGAAACACAAACUUCAAAACUAGUUCAAGUCCAAGACAAGAAUACUUAUGAAGUUCUGUAACACCUUCAACACUAGAUUAUAAAUAAUUUAUCUAAGAAGUGUGUUGAGAUUCAAAAAAGAGAUGAAACAGAAUUUAAGACCAAGUCCUCCGAAUUCAAGGAGUGUCCUUAAGGAAUAAUUCUCCUCACUGUACCCGAGGUUUUGGAAUCUUCCUCCCAGGAUAAAAUGGCCUUCAGUCCGAACAAUAGCGGUACCUCAAAUUAUUGGAUUCAACGAACUCACUCAACGGUUUGAUAGAUCACACAGAAAGUUUUUCAAGACAAAAAGAGAGUUUGCAUUUCAGAAAAUUCGUACCUAAACCUGUGGAUGAAAGCAGGUUUAUAUAGCCAACAUGUGCCUCUUCUGAAAAGUGGCAAUGGUUCACUUAAAAGGUGUGACCUUUAUGGAAAAGCCAUGUCUGUUCGUCCAAAGAAUGUGUCUUUUUCGAACAGGCAAACCAUUUCAUGAAUCAGUUUGUCAUUUCAUUGAAGGGUUGCAUCCCUUCGUUUCAGCACUGCACUGUUUCGAAACACUGUUUUGCAAUCUAUAUGCGUGCAUAUAAAUGGAGUAUCAAAACACAGAAAAAAGUUGUGUUUUUUCCUUUGGUAUUUUCAAACUGAAGUUCUGAAUUUCUGUCAAAGAAACUUUGUCCGAAAAAGUAGAUCUAAUCGAUCAUUAUUCGAAGCAGAAGCCAAGCGAGCGACGACAACAACAGCGUGAGGCAUCUCUUAUUUCUUGCCUCACUUACCAUGUGGAGUAAGUGUUCCUUAUUUUAAACACUCACAAGUUCUCUUCUUCCACCAAUGUAGGAGAAAGAGUGAACUUUCUAAUUUGGGAGUACACUUUCUAAAUUAGUGUCUCCCUUCUCUCCACCAUUUUUCCUCCAUUUUUCAUUCACGCUUUUUCAUAUACUUUGAACCCAACAUGUAUAUCAAUUAAAAAAAAAAAAAGGACAGCUCGAUGUAUGAAUAUCAUGCGUUAAAGAUGUACCUUUUGAUAGAUUAACUAUGCAUUUUCAAAGAAGGGCGUUAUCCCUUUAUACAAGUAUGAGUCAUUCAUCUUACUUGUUUUAUAGUCACAUUGAUGGUUUAGAAUUGGAAAGGGUUGGUGAAGUCCAUGCCAGAUCACUGAUUUUUGUCCUGACAACUGCACCUGUCCCUGCUUUCCGUAUACUUGACAUAGAAUUGGCUGAAUGAUCCAGGUAGCGACCGGCUACAACUUCCAUCGGUGUGAAGGAUAAGAGAGUUGUUUACCCUAAAAUAGGUACAACUGAAUUUGUAUGCGAGGUUUAAAGGACACAUGGAUUGAGUUGAUGGAGAUGACGAAUAUAAUAAACAACAAAAUACUAUGAAUAAGAGAUGAGCUAAAGCAAUUGGAUGUAUAUAUAUAUGAUGUAUAGUAUUAUGUAUCUGAAAUGUAUAUGCAUCUAUGUGACUGUUUAUAUAAUAUUUAUACAUUGCUGCAUUUCAUCUUUCUCAACAAGCAGACUUGUUUUUUAAAACAACUACAGCAAUUGGAUAUUUGCUUGAUUUCUGAUAAGAUUUUAGAUGAAUGAUCAAGAUGGAAUUUGUGAACCGUAUUUUGGUUUUUUUACUUCUUCUCUUGAACCUGCUGCGAUUAUGUUAGUAGAUUCUAAUUUACACUUUGAAUGUGAAAUGGAACAAAGUGCGUGAAGAGAAGAAGAAAAGCAGCGCGUAAUGCACUUCGCUUACAAUGAUAAGAGCCGAAAGCUUUUGUUUCAUACACUGAUAAGCUAGCUAAAACAUAUCAUCGAUCAGAAAUAAGCACUUGUCUUAUUCUGCAGAUAUAUAGAUCUGAGUCUUCCCAGUACAAUAAAGAUCCAUGCAUCACGACUAUAGAGUUUACAUCUAUCUCCUGAGGGGCAACAGUUAACGCAAACUUGACUAAUCUUGGCUCAUCCAGAAGACGGAUAAGUCAUGUAACUUUAAUUAGGGUCACAUUAUUGAGUACAAACCUUGGGUUCAAUACUCACUCCUUCACAGACAAAUUUAACGUCUAGAUCGAAAGUAUAGCACCCAAUGUAGCCCGUGCAUGCAACAAGUGGUGUAUCCGGUAGGAAAAAUUAUCAACUCUCUUUGUGAAUGGGGACAUCUCGAAUAGGCAAUUUGUGGAUCACAAUUAAAAGGGCAAAAUCUAGGUUCUUGGGGCCAAACGUUCCUUCACAAAUAUAAGUUCCGUUAGCACUGUAAUAAUUGCAACCGUUAUUGUCAAAACAACAAUUGGUGCAUAUGGGGUUUUCUGAACGUGGGAAGCUUGCAUGCAUAGCCAAGAUUACCACAUUCUUUGGUAUAUAAGCCUUGGCAUCAACAUGUUCCACCGUACUUAAAAGUAGAAACAUUAACAUAAUCCUACAACAAAUAUAAGAUAUAUAUAUUAAGGAAAAACAUAACGUACACUACUUGUGCAUGACAUGUAUAAACAGCAAAGAAAUAAUUAAACAGAAAAGGAGAAAGGAAAAUCUAACCAAGGACAAUAAGUAGGUAAGCAAGUCCACUAUCUUCUUUCUGAACAGCCAUUAUGGAUAAAUUACUGUUUUUUUGGGUUAUUAGGGGUGUCUAUCCUCCACCUAUUUGUUACAAAUAAUGAAAGAGACUAGCUAACUAAAACUUUUUAUCAGUUGAUAAAAAAGAAAAAUUCCAUGGGUUAUGUUUGGCAAGGUACGUACUGUUGCUUAUUUAUUAGAGAGCUUAACUUUUCAGAAUAACUUUCAGAAUAACUAACAUUUGGAGACUCGAACACAUAUUAUUCAUGUCCAAGUACAGCUCCAACGCCCAUAUUACAUAGAUUAGCAUGACACUGUUCAUGCUUUUAUUUCAUAUAGACACCCAUGCAUAUUACAGAGAUUAGCAUGACUCCGUUCAUGCUUUUAUUUCAUAUACAUUAAUAAACUACUAAAAUAUAUCAUCAUUGAUUAGAAAUAAGCAGCUGCCCCAUGCUGCGGAUAUGCUCUUAGGAUCUCCAGUACAAAGUAAUGAUCCAUCAUGACCAUAGAGUUUGCAACCCUCUCUUAGAGUGCAACAAUUAACACAAACUCUGGUACAACAAUUGAAGCCCGUGCAACAGGCAAUAUUUGGAUCACAAUUCAGAGGGCAAGCUUUUGGGCUUUUCUUGGGGUCAAACUCUCCUUCACAAAUGAAAGUUCCAUCAGCACUGUAAUAGUUACAACCCUUGUAGCCUGAAUAACAAUUGAUGCAUAUGGGUUCUUCUGCACUUCCUUCUGACAUAUCCCAUACGCAAAAUUUCCACAUUCUCUGGUACAAGCCUUGGCAUCAGCAUGUAGUAGAGAUAUUCCUACAAUAAAUAUAUAAGCUAUAUAUAAAUAUUAACGAAAAAAAUAACACCAGGUGUGUAUCACUACUACAAAAUCAAUAUUUUCGGCUGAAAAAUGUGCUUAGUAUUUAAAAUUAGGAAGCUUCUUAGUGUUUCAAUGAAAAUUUAUUUUUCACCAUGCAUUUUUCAGUUAUUAUUAAAAUGAUUAGUUUUAAUCUAUAAAUGAUGAUUAGUUGGUGUAUUUUAGCUAGCUAAUGUUAGUUAGUUAGUGGAGUCCAGCUGUCAUUAGUGUGGCAAAGAAUAGAUGAGUCAGUUACUUGUGUCGAUAUAUACAUAUCACAUGAUGCAGUUGUAAAAUAACAUACUUCAAUACAACCCUACAAAAUUCUCCUCUUCCUUUCUUAGCUCCUGUAGGUUCAUCAAUGGCGGACGUUUACCAUCUGCACUCCAAGAAUUCUCUCAAAUUUCACAUGGUAUCAAAGCAUACGAUCUUAUCUUUAGCUACGCUUCAAAUUUUUGAUCAGUUCAGCCAUUAGUUUUGCCAAUGGACAAGAGCAAUCUCACGCAACGACAGGUGUUCCUACUGUCGUAACACUCGACCAUCAUCAUCCUCUGUAUCUCCAUGCUUCCGACUCUCCGGGAUUAGUGUUGAUUCCAAUAAAGCUCACAUGACCAGAAAAUUACUCCUUGUGGAGCAGAUCUAUGCCACUAGAACUGCGAGGAAAAAGUAAGCUUAGAUUUGUAGAUGGAACUUGCACUAAAAACACGUAUAGAGGGGAAUUAGAGGAAUUAUGGGAGAAAUGUAAUGCUAUAGUCUUAUUGUGGAUAGGUAGCACCAUUUCUACUGAAUUAGUUCCGAGCAUUGUGUAUGCUUUGAAUGCUCGAAAAGUUUGGACUGAGUUCAAGGAACAAUUUGAUAGAUCAAAUUUGACUAGAAUUUACUAUUUGUGGUCUGAAAUUGCAAAUUUGAAGCAGGGCACUGACUCUGUGACAAGUUAUUACUCAAAAAUGAGGGAUUUUUGGAGUGAACUUGAUGUGAUAGUGCCAUUACCCUCUUGUGACUGUGAAGAAUCCAAUGCCUACGUAGAACACUUAAAAUCGCAGUGAUUGUUGCAAUUUAUCAUGGGACUCAAUGAGAGUUACAGUAGUUUAAGGAGUAGCAUUUUGUCUCGAAGCCCCGUUCUUACUAUGAAUAAGGCAUAUGCAACUAUUACUCAAGAAGAGAGUCAGCUGUCAUUGGGGGUGAUUGAUGUACACAAUAAUCCCUUGACUAUGCUAGCUAGUCGAUCUCAAGGAUUUCGACCAAAGAAGCCUGGGCAUUAUGGUGGAGGAUACAAAGGAUCUGGAGGAUUAGGAAAUUUAGGAUUUGGAGAAUCUGGCAGUCCUUGUAUACAUUGUGGAUAUAAAGGACAUGUUAGCGAUAACUGCUUCAGGAUUAUUGGCUAUCCUCCUGAUUUCAAAAGCAGAAAAAAGGCGCAAUAGCAAGCACAACAAGGUCCAAGUAACCACUUUAAUACAUCUACAAAUGCCACUACUAAUGCCACACCUACACCUCUUGCUCACUAUUCACCAGGUUCGAGCGCAAGCUAUUUCCCUACUGAGAAGCAGUAUCAACACAUACUGGACAAGCAGAGUUCAGCUAAAGUAUUAGCGAGUGUGUAUCUAACAUGGCAGGUAUACAUUCCUCACUGUCUAAUAUAUUUGCUUGCGAAUGGAUUGUUGAUUCUGGGGCAUCAUACCAUAUUACUCUUUGUAAAGAGUUACUAUGUGAGAUUAAAGGCUUAGAAGAGGACUUAAGUGAUAAGGUUCAAGCCCCAAUUGGUGGAAGGUCCCAAAUACCUAGUGCAGGUAGUACAACAAUUUUUGGUUUAUCAAAAAUGAAGAAUGUGUUAUAUGUUCCUGACUUCAAGUUCAAUCUUAUGCCAGUAUCUAAGAUAACCAAGGACUUGUCAUAUGUUGUUCUAUUUUUCCCUGAUUUCUAUGUAUUUCAGGGACUUUACAAUGGCAAGGUCUUGUGGAUUGGUAGAGAAAAGGAGGAGCUAUAUCUUUUAUGGGAGAAAGUUAAUCCUCAGGCGAAUGCUGCACAUUCUCACAACAAUGCCCAAUCUGAUAUUUGGUAUCUCAGAUUGGGACAUCCUUCAUCACAUGUGAUGCAUCAGAUAACAUCUCUUAAAAUAUUGCUGCACACUAAUAUCUAAGAUAGGUAUCAUAUCUGUCAUCUAGCUAAACAUCACAGAUUAUAAUUUCCCACUAGCUACAAUAAGGCUUCUGCUUAUUUUGAUUUGAUUCAUAUAGAUGUAUGGGACCUUAUAGGAAGCCUAUAUAUGAUAAAAAAUAUUACUUUGUUACUAUAGUGGAUGAUCACAGCAGGUACACCUGGAUUUGUUUGAUACAGUCUAAAUGUGAAGUUGUUGUUGUCUUGAAAGAUUUUCUAUAUCUUGUUAAGACUCAAUUUGAUGUUAUUGUAAAAAAUUUGAGAUCUGAUAAUGGGACUGAGUUUUUCAACUCUCAUUGCACUCAAUUGUUUGCUUCGUAUGGGAUAAUCCAUAAAAGUAGUUGUCCCCACACUCCCCAACAAAAUGGUACAGUUGAACGAAAGCAUAAGCAUAUUUUAAAAGUGGCUAGAGCACUCAAAUUUCAGAGUGAAGUGCCCAUCAAUUUUGGGAAGAUUGUGUCAGCACUUCUGUUUACUUGAUUAACAGACUAGCUUCAAAGGUAUUGGAAGGUAAAUCACCUUAUGCCUUAUUGUAUGGCAAGGAUCCUUCACUUAAUCAUCUCAGAGUAUUUGGAUGCCUUUGUUAUGCUAGCAGAUUACCUAGAGGUGACAAGUUCUCUGCGAGAGCUAGGAAGGCUGUUUUGGUAAGUUAUUCUUCAACACAGAUAGGCUACAAAUUGUAUGAUUUUGAAGACAAGACUUUCUUUGUUAACAGGGAUGUUAGUUUCAGAGAAGCUUUCUCUAGGUUCCCUUUCAAAUCAAGUCAACCAACUGACUUGGUCGAUCUUGACUUCUUCUCUUCUACUGAAUUUCUUGUUUCCUUAGACGAUGAUGAUUAAUAUCAUCUUUCUUCUACACUAUCCGUUGUUACACCUGUUGAUGCUGAUAUUCUACUUGGUGAUGAUGUUGGAGUCUUAACCCUUCCUUCCGACUUCUCUUCUAACUCAGAAGUUGUUUUACCUGGUAGUGAUAAUCCUGCAGAGGUUGUUGAAACUACUGCUAUAGUUCCUGAUGUUAUUGCUGGGUAUAUUCCUCACAUUAUUGAGCCCGCAGUAUCUGUUCCUGCUAGACCUACCAGAACAUGAAGACCUCUCAUCUGGAUAAGUGAUUAUGCUUCAAAUGGCAAAGGCAAAAGGCUUCCUACUCAUCCCAUAUCUAAUAAUUUGUCUUAUACUCACCUUUUCUCAGCUUAUCAAGUGUAUCUGCUAAAUUUCUCCAGUGUGACUGAACCAAGUUCAUUCCACGAGGCUUCACAAGACCCUCAAUUAGAGCUGUCGAAAUGGGCCUGGCCCGUGAGGUCGGCCCAACCCAACCCUUUAAUUUAGUGGGGUUGGGUUACUUUUUUCCGGCCCUUUUAGCAACGAGGCUUUUAAGCCUAUCCCCACUUGACCCGUCGGCCUCAAAGGCCUAGCCCGUCGGCCCCAGAGGCCAGCCCAUGGGCUACAAAUUUAAAAAUAAUUAUAAUAUAUUUUAAAUUAGUUUCUUAUUUAUCAAAUUUUAAAGUAUUCACUGACCACUGUCCAUGUCCAACUACAAGGCCCAACCGGGCAACCCAAAAAGCCAAGCCCAACCUAUUACCCAAGUAUCCAACUUACAUAGUUAUUAGUUACCCUACAUUCUAGAAAGCUGAACGUGCAUACUACAUAUAAAUAUAAUAACAUAUACUCCACUUACAUAGUUAUAUAAACUGAUAAACAUUAGAGAAUUAGGGCUUACACUUUACAAUUCUAUCAUUUAUUUUCUUUGAGUUCUCCGGUUUCAUAGUUGCAACUUGCGACGGCUGUGCAGUUUCACAAAACUCACUACGGCUGACGGCUCUCCAAAUGAAUAUGGGUAAAAAUAUGAAAAAAUUAUCUUCCCUCUCUCCUAUUUAAUCACCAUUUUUUUUAUUUUGGGAGUUUGAUGACAUUUUUUGAUUUUGGGAUCUGAUUUUGACACUAAAAUGGCCUCUCCGAGGAUCUACUCGCGAUGGUCAUCGCAUCGGUACCAUAAACUGACCUCUCCGAAGCCAAAUUUGGUCGAUUUGGGUACCAACAAUUUGGGUACUACCAUACCGAGGAUUUGGGGGUUUCAAUUUUGUUCUUUUUUUCUCAUGCAGUAGCAUUUUCAAAAUUUUGUAUUACUUGUUACUUCUUAUUUAAUUUUUCAUUACUUGUAUUGUAUUACUUGUUACUUCUUAUUUAAUUUUUCAUUACUUGUAUUACUUGUAAAAUUUCUUAUUGAUAGGUGUUUCUAUGUUUAGAAAAUAUAUAUUUUAGUUCAAAUUUGAAACUUUGAAUUUUUCAGUUCAUUUUCAGUUUUUGAAGUCUAAAAUUAUCUUUUGAAAUAUUUAUCUUAUUACAGGAGAAUCAAUGGAGGAUGUUGCUGAACAUAGUGCACAUCAGAAUAAUGUAGAAGUGAAUGAAUUUGAAGAACCUGAGAAGAAGAAAAUAAAGAAAUUAAAAUCAGAUGUCUGGACAUAUAUGAAAAAUAUUGGUGGAGGUUAUGAUGCAGUGGAAAGGGCAGAAUGCAGAGGACGUAAGGAAGUAUACAAGGUUGGUUCUACUCCGGGACCAAAUGGUAAGAAUUACGGAACAUCACAUUUAAAACGACACAUACCUAAAUGCAAAAAGCUCAAAUACCAUGAUUUGGGUCAGAUGUAUAUGGAUCACCAAGGUAACAUACAGUCGAGAAACAUAGAUCAAAUGAUUUCACGUGAAAAGCUUGUUGAAGCUAUUAUUAAGCAUGAUUUGUCGUAUUCUUUUGUUGAAUAUAAAAAAAUUAGAGCUUGGCUAGAUUAUGUAAAUCCUGAAGUAAUAAUGCCGUAAAGAAACACUUCUGUUGUGGAUGUUCAAAAAGUGUAUUUCAAAGAGAAAGAAAAGUUAAGACAAGCCUUGGCCAAGAUUCCUAAUCGGGUUUUCUUAACUUCUGAUUGCUGGACAGCAGGUACGUCUGAGGGUUAUCUUUGUUUAACUGCUCAAUAUAUUGAUGAUAAUUGGAAGUUAGUUUCUAAAAUUUUAAACUUUUGUCUUAUGAUUCCUUCUCAUACUGGAGUUGAAUUGGCUGCAACCAUAUAUGAUUGUUUGAAGAAAUGGGGAAUUGAUAGGAAGGUUUUCUCUAUCACUUUGGAUAAUGCCACUAAUAAUGAUAGCCUGCUUGCAAAAGAGUUUAUUAUGUGAUGGUGAAUUUUUUCAUGUGCGUUGUUCUGCUCAUAUUCUUAAUUUGAUUGUCCAAGAAGGUUUAAAAACAGCUACUGAUGUCUUGUUUAGAAUUAGAGAAAGUGUGAAGUAUGUAAAAGGAUCUGAUGGUAGAAUGAGAAAAUUUGAACAAUGUGUUAAGCAAGUAGGGAUUAGUACAAAAUUGGGUUUACGUUUGGAUGUGACAACUAGAUGGAACUCAACGUACUUGAUGCUUGAGAGUGCACUAUAAUAUGAAAAAGAUUUUUCUAGUCUACAGUUGAUCGAUAGAAAUUACUCUGUUUGUCCUACAUUUGAUCAUUGGAGAAGGGCAGAAAAAAUAUUUGAAUUCUUGGAACUUUUUUAUGAAAUAACCACUCUGAUUUCUGGUUCAAGUUAUCCGACUUCCAAUUUGUACUUUAUGCAAGUUUGGAGAAUUGAAUACUUGUUGAAGGAGAAUUUAAGUAGUUUUGAUGAAGUUAUUAAGGAAAUGGCUGCAAGGAUGUUCAAAAAGUUUCAGAAAUAUUGAAAUAGAUUUAGUCUAGUCCUCUCAUUUAGAGCUAUUCUUGAUCCUCACUUGAAGACACAACUUUUAGAAUUUUGUUUCUCAAAGGUGGAUGCUUCUUUGGCAAAAGAAAAUGUUGCAACUAUUGAGAAAAAAAUGCACAAACUCUAUGAACAAUAUGGAAAUAAUCAAAAUGGGCCAGGGCCAGCUAUUACUGUUCAAUGUAAACCAGUUGAAGAAGAAAGUCGAUCCAAACAAAAGAAGUCCAUUUUAUUUGCUGUAAGUAUCAAUUUCUUUUUCUUGUAUCUAUUCUUUCUCUUUUUUAUCUAUUAUUUUUCUGGAAACUUAUAUAAUGUACAGUACAUAUAAGAUGAAUCACUUUUAGAUCCUCGAGCCCACUAUCAUAUGUUUUACAGUUUUGCUAUUCUAUUUAUAUCAAACUUAGUUUUGCUAUUCUGUUUUAAUUUUGGUUGACGUCAGUUAGUUUGAAAAUGGUUGAUAUAAGGAAGUUAGUUUCUAUGUUUCAACCAUAUAUGAUUGUUUGAAAAUGCCGUCAAUUAGUUUGCUAUUUUGUUUAUAUCAAACUUACUAAAAUUGUUUGCAGUUUUUUUUUACAUCUUUGCUAAUUCUAUUAUUUUUAUAUUUUAUGUUUUAAAUUAAUAGGAGUUUAAAGUGUUUGAGAAUACAUCUAUUUGCAAUGCUGGAAAUUCAGAAUUGACUCUUUAUUUGGAGGAACAAAAGCUUGAUUAUGAAUCUUUUCAAGAGAUGGAUGUUAUCAAGUAUUGGAAGGAUAAUGAAAAAAAUCUCCUAAUCUUUCUGUGGUGGCACGUGAUGUAUUGAGUAUUCCAAUUACUUCAGUAGCAUCAGAAUCAGCAUUUAGUAUUGGUGGUCGUGUUGUUACCAAGUAUAGAAGUUGUAUCCAUCAUGAAAAUGUCCAAACUCUUGUUUCUACAAGAAAUUGGUUGCAUGGAUUGACCCAAUCUAAUACAGGUAAUAUUUUUUAUUUUUCUUAAAGUAUUUAUUAAUGGUUAUAUAACUAAUAUCUUGUUUGAUGUGAAUUAUUUAUGGUUAUCUAACUAAUAUCUUGUUUAAUGUGAAUUAUUUGUAGAUGAAGAUGAACUUCUUAAGGAAACUAUGUCAAAUGUUGAUUCAAAUGUGAUUGAUGGUACAAGUGCAAGUGAAAGUGGAGUUGGUAACCUUUAAUUGAUUGGUUUAGUAAUAUUUAAAAUUUAGAUUUAUUUUGUAUCUGGGCAAUAUUUUAGUCCAGCUAAGACUUGUAAGUUUUUGAAUUUAAUUUUUGUUCAUUUUUUUAUGAUUGGCAUUUUUUUUUUUUGGGGAAUGGGAUGACUCUGAAUCUCUUAUUAAUAUUGUUUUUGACUUGAUCUUUCUAAUCACGUUAUUCAUACUAUUAGGACAUGCGAUAAAGUGAUUUUUAAAUGGGCAAUAUAUUUUUGUUUAUUAUGUUUUACAGUUUUAGGUUAUUUUUAUUUUUUUAAAGGGCCAACCCGUCCUAACCCGUGGCUCGCUUAGGGUUGGGCUGAGCUGCAUUUUCAUUGGCCCUUUAGUUAAAAGGGUCAGCCCGUCCUAACCUAUUUAUCUCUCUAUCCCGUUAGGGUUGGGUUGGGUUGGGCUAGCCCAUAUUAACAGCUCUACCCUCAAUAGGUGUAACACCCCGUAUUCAAGUACAUGUAUUGGCGUAUUCAAGUACGUGUAUUGGUCUUAUUUAUAUGAAAUUAAUUUUUUAUUUUAUUUAUACCGGAAUUUGCCCGUCGAUGGUUCCAUACGAAGGUUAUUGAAUAAGCUUUCUAACGAUAUAAAUAUUUCCAAAAACGGAUAAGUUUCGAAUAUAAUCGAGCACGUUCGAAACUACAAAACGGUGGCCGGGAUAUGGUGAAUAGUAAAUGUGCAGGAAAAUUUCCUGCAUACAAACUACUGAGGCCUGCCAGUUUUUUGGGUCAACUUUGAAUGCUCAUAACUCCCUUAAUAUAAUGAACUGGGAGAGGUACGACCUAUCAAAAGAAAGAUCUUUGAGUCUUCUUUCCAAUUCAAUUGNNNNNNNNNNNNNNNNNNNNNNNNNNNNNNNNNNNNNNNNNNNNNNNNNNNNNNNNNNNNNNNNNNNNNNNNNNNNNNNNNNNNNNNNNNNNNNNNNNNNNNNNNNNNNNNNNNNNNNNNNUUUAUAUGAAAUGAAAUCCCUUUGAAUUAUGUUUCCAACGAUACCAAUCCAUCAUGGACAGAUUCGGAUUUACUUAAAAUUUUAAGGGCAAUAUGGUCAUUUUUCAUCACCUCAUGAACGAAAAUUGGUCAUUAUAUACAUAUAAUUAGUGUCAUAUCCAUCAAUUAUCAUCAAAUUAUUGAAAAUAAGAAACCCUAGCCUAAUUUCAACUCCAAUUAUCUUGUGAUUCAACCGUAGAAAAUCCAAAUUGAUUUCGUAGUUGUGUUCACCGUCUCGAGGGCUUCGAGAAGCACCCCUUAUUUGUGCCAACAGGACUUCGAAAUCAAAAGGGCCAUUUUAUGGUAAGGAUGUAAAUUAUGUUGGUGUUAUUUAUAUGGAUAUGUAUAUAUAUAUAUGCAUGUGAGCAUAAGAAGUAUGUUAUUUGAUUGUUGUUGAAAGAUGAUUGGGAAAUGAUGUUGGAUUAUGUUGAAUGGUGAAGGAAUUUGGUGUGAUGAUGUGGUAUUGAAAUGAUGAUUAUAUAUAUAUAUACACAUAAACCUAUUGUUCAAGUUGAUUUUUGGAAUGUUUUGCAAAUAUUGGUAGUAUGGAAUUAUGGAAGAGAAUUGUGGUGUUGGGUUGCUAAUACUAGAUGCCAAACAUUUCAUUGUAGAUAAGUGAUUUGUAAAGGCGGGAAGUUGUGUUGAAUUGGUAUCCGAAUCUACAACGAGGUAUGUAAAGCAUACUCUAACAAUGUUCUUUGGCAUGAAAACACCAAUGUUCCAUCAAGUAAGAUUCCGAGGUUGUCCAAAAACAUGUAUUGUUCUACGUUACCAACGAAGUUGUUUCCAUCCUAUAAAGUGUCAAAAUGUUUCAUUGAUAUACCAAAAGGCUCCUAUUUCAUUGUUGUGAUAUUGAUGAUUCUGAAACACAUUGUUGAUGUACCAAUGAGUCUUUAUUACAUCGUUAUUGUAUAGAAGGUCUAUUACUUGGUUCCUAUUGAUGUAUCAUUGUUUCAAAGUAUCAAAAAUGUGGUGGCGACCGAAAUAACAAUCUCAAAGAUUAAUUGAACUAAGUGAUGGAAGUUCUCUCUUAUCGGGUGGUAUCCCAGGGGCAUAAGCCUAGCAUGGGUCGAUCCCUAUUUAUGUGUUUAUGGGUGGUAUCCCAGGGGCAUAAGCCUAGCAUGGGUCGAUCCCAGUUGAUAUGUACUGGAGGCAGCCUAAUGGUCACAGUACAGUACAGUAAUGAUUACAAAGACGAUAAGAACGAAGGUAAAGUGAUUGAAUAAAUACAAUGUACAGGUUGUCACAAGUUCUAGUAAGUGUGGUCCACUCCUAUUACGACUUAUUCACUUGUUUCUGAUUUCUAUUGAGCUCCUAUAUCAUAUGUGAUUAUUUACAGCUUUACAUACUCAGUACAUAUUUCGUACUGACGUCCCUCACGGGGGACCUGCAUUUCAUGCUGCAGGCACAGGUACCUCAGCUCAUACACCGCACAAGUAGGAGCCAGGUCAUACAGCUAUUGUUGGUGAGCUCCAGUUUGCUUCGGAGCUUUCCGAGUCGGUUCCUUAUGUUUUGUUAUUGUACAUGAGUCAUGUGUGGGCGGGGGUUUGUCCCGACCCUAGUUAUGUCAUGUAUAUCCUAGAGGCUUUGUAGACAUAAGGAAGGGUAAAGUCAUGGAAGUUUAUAUAGUAACGUUAUAUUUGUAUAUGUGGUGGCCCCGACGGCCAAGUAUUAUAUAAAGUUAGUUAUAUGGCGGGGGGUGUCCCGACCUUAGUUAAACUCUGUGUAUUGUCUAGAGGCUUUGUAGACCUAAUGUACAGUCAAGGUGGUGUUUUGUUAAUAGACGUGAUGGCUCCAACGGCCAAGUAUUGUAUAUACAUAUAUAUUUGUGCGUGUUGUGCUGAUACAAGUAAUUAGACCCUUCUAUAUGCAACGAAGUGCUGUCCAAAUUUUUGGUGACAUAUAAGUGAAAGUACAGGUAUUUGAACGGGUUCUCCCGGGCCUUCUCGGCUUCGGGUGCCAGUCCGGCCCGAUGGAAUUUUGGGGCGUGACAAUAGGUCCAUGCAAUGCAACAGGAAAUCAAUGCCUUGGUAGCUAAUUACACAUGGGAGUUAACUCCUCUACCUGCUGGACAGGAUACUUUAGGUGCAAAAUGGAUUUACAAGAUUAAACACAAAGCCAAUGGAGAAGUAAACAAGUACAAAUCUAAACUAGCUAGUGGAUAAAAGCUACACUCAAGUGGGAACGGUAGAUGAUGAUCCCUUAUUAGAAGACACAAUUGCUUAUCAAAGACUAGUUGGAAAAUUGAUUUAUCUGACAAUCACAAGGCCAGACAUUUGUUUUGCUAUAUAAUUUCUUAGCCAGUUCAUGCAACAACCCAAGAGGUCUCACUGGGAUGCAUCUCUAAGAGUGGUAAGAUACAUCAAACAUUCACCUGGAUUACGGGUCUUUAUGAAAAAAGGAGCUGAGCUGAAGUUAAGAGCUUACUGUGACUCUGAUUGGGCAGCUUAUCCUAACACUAGAAGGUUAGUAAUAGGUUUUAUCAUUUAAUUUGGAGGUUCGUUGAUCUCAUGGAAGUCAAAGAAGUAGCACACUGUCAGUCGUAGCUCAGCAGAAUCAAAGUACAUAAGCAUGGCUUUAGCUGUCUCUGAAAUAAUCUGGCUAGUUGGCUUGUUGAAGGACACUAGAAUUCAGGUGCCUACUCUAGUAGAGUUGUUUUGUUAUAAUAAGGUUGCAAUUCAAAUAGCCUCAAAUCCUAUAUUUCAUUAACGCACUAAACACAUUGAGAUUGACUGUCAUUUUGUGAGAGAAAAGCUUCAAGCAGGACUGAUCAAACCAGCGCAUCUGUCUACUACCCUGCAACUAGCAGAUUUACUUACUAAAGGUCUUGGUGUGGCUAAACACCAUUUUAUCUUGUCCAAGCUUGAGUUUUUAGACAUAUUUCACCCUGUAGCUUGAGGGGGUGUAUUAAAAUGAUUAGUUUUAAUCUGUAAAUGAUGAUUAGUUGGUGUAUUUUAGCUAGCUAAUGUUAGUUAGUUAGUGGAGUCCAGCUGUCAUUAGUGCGGCAAAGAAUAGAUGAGUCGGUUACUUGUGUCUAUAUAUACAUAUCACAUGAUGCAGUUGUAAAAUAACAUAUACUUCAACACAACACUACAAAAUUCUCCUCUUCCUUUCUUAGCUCCUGUAGGUUCAUCAAUGGCGGACGUUUACUAUCUGCACUUCUAGAAUUCUCUCAAAUUUCAUAGUUAUCCAGGUGGGAAAUGGAUGAAAAAAAUCAUAUUUUAUAACACAUAUUUUCCAUUGCUUCGUGGUGAAAAAACCUCUGUCUCUAACUGUGUAUAUAUGAAUGAAGAAAUUAAAUAGAAAGAGGUGAAAGGAAAAUCUUACCAAGAACAAAUAAAAGAUACGCAGCUAACUAAAACUUUUGUUUCGUAUACAGAAAAUGGCCUAAAAUGCCCUUAAACUAUGUGAAAUGGUGCAAAAAUACUCUCCGUCUACCUGUUGCGCCUAAAAUGUCCUUCCUGUUUACCUAUUGGGCCUAAAAUGCCCUUUUUGUCUACCUAUUAGGGCUAUUUUGUCUUUUAUUAAAAAAAAAAUAUAAUACCAUAACUUAUCUUUAUUAAACUACAUAAAAUUUCUAUCAUUUUUAUUAAUAUUAACCAAAUAAAUAGCGCACAAUAUCAAUUUUUCGUCAUUCUAAAUUGAUCUGAUAAAUAAAAAGAAAAACAACAUAAAUAGCCAUUUUAAAAAAUUAUUACAUAUAUAUAUAGCCGUAUUAGUUGGUUGUCAGAUAUAGCAUAUAAACUAUUUAUAUAGCAUAUAAAAUAUUUACUUUUAUAACAGAUUCUAAUAUAUAGAAAAACAGUUAUAUAUUAAAUUUCCACAUUUCUUAUAAUACCUUAUUUUUAUGGAAGUCUUUGUUCAUUCAUUUUUUUAUAUGUUAUAUCAAAAUUUUAUGUUUUUUAUUUUUAUUGUUUGCUUUCAUGUUGCCUCCAUAAAAAUAUAUGGUAUAUUUAUAUAUUAUAUAAAUUAUAUUUAUAUCAUAAAAAUACAUGAUAUAUUUAUACCAUACAAAUUAUAUUUAUACCAUAUAAAUUAUAUUUAUACCAUAAGCAAAUAUUUUAUAUUUUAGAUAUAAAAAGUUUAUACCAUGUAAUACUGGAAAUAUAUAUUUAUAUUUAAUAAAUAAUUUUUUAAUAAGAAAAGUACUUCCGAAAAUAAAAAUAUAUGGUAUAUCUAUACUUCCAACAUAAUGAUUUUUAUUUCAUAAAUAUUUAUCCAUAAAAAAUUAUGGUUAACUCAUUUUAUUAGAAUUAAAAAUACGUGAUAAUGAAAUAAUACUAGAUUAUUAACAUACAUGAAAAUAAAAUGAAACAUACAUGAGCAAAUAAUGGAAUACUUAGUUCAUUUAAAAAUAUUUGAAUUUUGAAUAUAAGAGAGAGAAAUAUUUGAAAGCACGAAUUAUCUUUUCCACUUUUAAUUUAAAAAUUGAAAAUAUAUUUCUUAAAUUAAGGUGAAUUGAUAAUUAGUUAUAUCAUUAAAUUAGAAAUUAUAAUUAUCUUUUCUAAUUUUUUUAAAUGACGAUAUAUAUAAAAAUAAAAAUAUUUUUAUAAUAUUGAAAAGGUAUUAUUAUUUAUGUAAUUAAAUUUUAAAGAUGGCCUUUUCAUGUAAUUUGCCUAAAUAAAAGGGCAAAAUAGGUCAAUAGGUAGACGGAAAGGAAAUUUUAGGCUCAAUAGGUAGAUGAAGGAUAUUUUAGACCCAAUAGGUAGACGGAAAGGAUAUUUUAGGCCCAAUAGAUAGACGGCGGACAUUUUUGCACCAUUUUACACAGUUGAAAGGCAUUUUAAGCCCUUUUCCAUUUCACAUAAAUGUAAGAUUGGAAAUUAGGUAUUUACACUUGAUUUUUUAUUAGUUAUAUUCUUUCCCCAAAUAAUUAAGCAAGUUGUACUAACCCCGACUUGCUUGUUUUUGAAAUACUAGUUAAAUCGCACGUGCCUCGCACGUGUAACUUUUGAUUAUUUAAAAUUAGAUAAUUUCGUCUAUUGCGAAGUUUUUAAUAAAGUGCAAAAAGUUUAAAUCACUUCUAAAAGAUCCUUUACACUUUAAUAUAAUAAUGUAAAAAUAACAUAUAUUUUUAUUGAAAGCUCAUAGAUAUUUUACCACCAAAAGUUUCAAGUGGUUAAUGAAUCAUCAAUUUUGUGUUUGUCAUGUGAUACCUCUUUUUCUUACUGCUAGAGGCUAAGAGAGACGCAUCAAUUUGAACUAUAUUUGUAGUACGAUUAUUUUAUUUUCUUUUUCCUAUUUUAAAAAUAUCUCCUUAUUUUGAAAGUUAAAUCUUUAAAAAAUCUUUGAUUACUUAUUCUAACACUUUCAUAUUUAUUUCUUGAUUUUUUGAAUCUUCUUAAAAGUUGAUUUAGAAUUCUUAAACUAAUAAAAAAGGUAUUCGUUGUCAUUAAUUCUGAUGACUUUUAAUAAGAAAAUGGUUUUACUAUAAAUAUUUAAUUAAUUUUCAAAUCUUAAAUAUUAGAAAAAUAGUGAAAAGACUAUUUUGUCUAAAGUAAAAACUUUUAAUGAGGCGCAAAAUUUUUUGUAAAGCUCUUCACACUUUUAAUAUAUAUAUAUAUAUAUAUAUAUAUAUAUUGCACGUUUAUCCUUAAUUAUUUAAUAUAAAACUCGAAUUUCCAACGAUAGAUAUUUGCUUGGUGAUGAAAUCAUACCGCAACUAAAUAUCAUUAUAUAUUUCAAACAUACAAAUAUAUUAUAGCAGUAUCAAGAAACAAAAUAUAAUAUCACAAAUGAUAAGAUACUUAUGCAAGUUUUUUUCAUCCUACAAAGCACAAAAUAUAAAAAGUUUAUUAACAGAUAUAUAAUCGUAGCUAAGACAGUGUUUAUAUACAAAGCUCAAUAAUUUCUCGCUAUGUUCCUAUUAUAACAUAAAGGCAAGUCAAAUUUGAGCAUUGCAAGUUCUUAUUCUUCCAAAUCAAGUAGAUUUGGUCAACAUUUCGAGUGACUCGUGCUUUAUAAUCUCUUAAUCUUCAUCUACUUCCGAAUCCUUUCAGCUUCACCCCUCGCACUAUGACAUAUAACCUGCAAAUUGCAUAUGAAUUUAAGAAAAAAAAAUAAUAGUAUAUGACAGACUUUGUCAAUGCCAUUUCAAUUUCUAACGUGUAAUAAAAAAAUAGUAAAGAUAACAUAAUUUUUUAAGAGUACACGAUAAUAAUUUAUUAUUGUAAAUAUUAAAAACAAACUAUAAUUUAAAAACUUACCUCAAAUCAAUUUGAUUUACCAAUUAAUAAUUAAUAAUUAUACGAUAUUUAGUACGAUCAAACUAAUAUAUCUUUUCAUGAAAACAAACGUCUCUAUUAAUAAAUGUCUUCAAAAAUACAUGAUAUAGUAGAUCAUAUUGUUAUGUAAAGACUUAAAUUCUUCUGAAAGACCCAUCAGUAUGAAAUCUAGAAGGCAUGACCUAAAGAUAAAUUUCUCAACAUAUGCAAAAUAUUUUCUUAUACUUCUAAUGAUCACACUUAUACAUGUUUUAACUUUUAAUUGAUAUAACAUAUUUCAUUUGAAAUGUUUUGCUAGAAAGGAAACAAAAAAUCUCAACAUUUCGACCCAGUUGUGAGCUAAUCGUAAAAUAGUAUUGAUAAUAUAAUCUCAAGAAUAGCCUUUUUCAAAAGGUAAAAAAUUAUCUAUACCCGGUGUUUACAUCAAACCAAUACAUACAUGUCAUGUGUUUAAAUUUAGAGUACAUUUUACUUAACCAUAAUUAAUUAGCUUGUAUUUUAUAUUAUUAAAUUAUUUAAUCAUUAUAAAUUAUAUUAAUUUAAUGUAAACUCUAAGUGUGGACAUAUUUUUACCUUUUCAAAAUAGUUUCAAAAAUUUUAUUGAAUAUUUCAGAAUAAAGAGAACAUAUGAAUGCAUAUAUAUGGAUCAAUUUGGAAGUAGAAGAGAACAAACCUCAUGAGGUAGACAUCUAUAAUCAUUAGUCUCAUAGUCCAUUCCCCCCUCAAUACUCCGGCAAGCAUCUACUAUCACCCAAGCAAAUUCCCCUCAAAAUGUCUCAAACUUCAUGUUAUUCCUGUCAACUGUUCGAUUGGUGCUUUCCCAAAAAUCAUCUAAAAAACAUAGUCAAAUCAAACAAUGAUCGAUCUAGGUUCUUCACUAAAGAAAGAAAAAAAUAUAAAUAAAAUAUGCACAAAUUAAACAAAUUUAGUUUUUAAUUAUGAGAAAAAAAGUCAGUCAAAAGAUGAACAAUAAAAUUGACCCUAAUAACUAAGAGUUUAAAAUCAAACUAACUUAUUAUCAGGAAAAACCUAUUAUAAAUUUAUUUAAAUUCUUUUCUUAAAAAAAUAACAUUUCAAAUUUUUAUUUUUAUUUUUAUUUUUAAAAGAAAACUAUGCUAUAUACUCUAUUCUCACACACCCAAUCUUUCCCUUUCUUCUAAAUAUAUUAGAGGAAUAGAAAGCCAAGACUUAGGGAAUGAAGAGAAAGCCAAGAAGAAUAUUAAAAAGGUUAAGUGUAGGUUAAGGAAUACCUAAUUUUGCUAAUGUUUUUCAAACAAUGAGGAAGUUCAUAGACAAAUUGGCUGUCAAUUUGCUUAGUUGUUGUAUCUGAAGUGCUUAAACCUUGUAUUGAUGAAAUCACAUAAUAUUCAAUGGUGAAUUUAAAAUUUUCACUAAGGAGGUUUGAAAACUAAAAAUAUAGUGAUUGAGAUAUGAACUUGAACUUAAAGGUGAAUAUUGAACCUCCUCAAUUACUGACCCAACCUCUAAUCUUACAUUCUAAAGGUUCAAAAUCAAUAAAUACACAUAGAAAUUAAAAAAAAAAAAUCUAUUGAAUACGUGCCAUGAACCUAGCCAAAAAUUUAUUGGACAACAUUUCAAUAAUUUCAAUCAAAUAAUCACAAAAUAGAAACAAAUUAAAUCAGAAGAUGAAAAAAAAAUUCACAACAAUUGAAAUAUAAAAACAAUUAAAAUAGUACAUGAAAAUUAGUUUCUUACUUCAUUACUUAAUACUUUUUCUAUGAAAUCAAGAGACACUAAUAAUGCCACGAAGAAAAUUUAUUAUCAUAUAUUGACCAUGAGAAAAAAAAAAAAAACACAAACGAUUAUUAUGACCAUUACGGUAUUAUAUUGAAAGUCCAAAAUAUAACACUAUCAAUUAGGAUUUCUAUUUAAAAUAUACAAUUAAUUUCUUUUCAUAAUUUUAUUUUACAAGGUUGUUCUCAUAUAUUGUAGGAGUCCUUACUCUUUUUAUUUUAGUUGUAAUAUUUAAUUCAAAUAAGGAAAGAAUUUGUAUAAAACAUAAGUUUAAAUUGAAAAAAAUCCUAUUCAAGUAAGGAAAGAAAUUCUAAAUUGAUUAAAAUUCUAAAAUUCAGAAUUAAUUUAUAUAAGGAAAAAAUUUUAAACUAAAAUUUAUUAGGACAAGAAUUUAAAUAAAAAUUCAUUUGAUAUAAAUAAGUUUCCCAACAUACCCUAAUUUUUUUUUUAUGGGAGAAAAACAGAAAUCAAAGUAAAAAAUUCAAUUGAGUUAAAAGUGUUAAAUAAUGAUUUAUUUUUGGAACUAAAAUCAUAAUAAACGUACAAUAGUUUUUUCAAAACUUUAAGUGAGAUUUUAUUUUUCUUUUUUACUUAAAGUUUUCUAUUAAAUCAUUUUUUUGUUCUUUUAUCAUAUAUUUUAGGACUUUUUUCUUAUCAUAUAUUUCGAGACUUCUUUUCCACGUAUAAAAGGAAACAAAAAAUUUACUAAUAUUAAUUCUCUAUAUAUUUUUAUUUUAUCAUAUAAUAAUUUAGCACACCUUGCUUUUAAAUAUUAAAAGAAUAAUUAUAUAAUAAUUUAAGAAAAAUAGUGAAAAAAUAAUUUUAUCUAUUGCAUAGUGUUUUAAGGAAGGACAAAAAGUUCAAAUCAAGGCCUUCACAUUUUUAAUAUAUUAUAGAUUAUAGAUAUAGAUUUGUCAUCUUGCAAUAAUUUUUCUUCUCCACGUGAUAAGUUGGAAAUCAAUUGCACAUCGCUCCAAUUAGUGAAUAGAAUUAUUUUUGCAUUAAAUAUUACUACCUCCGUCCUAUUUUAUGUAUCAUUAUUUUUUUUAUUUGUUUCGAAACAAUAUCAUCUUUCCUUAUUUGAUAACUAUUUAAUGACAUAAUCUCUAUUUUAUUCUUAGUGGAUCCCACUUUAAAAGAAAAAACAAUAAAAAGUAAACUUUGAGGGUGUUUGGAAGAGAUUAUAAGUUGGUCAAUGGAAGAGAUUCUAAAAGUGAUUUUGACCUUUUAGAAGUGUUUGACAAUUUUGAAAAUUGCUUAAAAAAAGUCACUUUUAACUUUAAAAAAGUUAAAAAAAGAAGAAGUUGGUAUUUCCUACUUAUUUUUUCUAACUUAUAAUCUAUUUACAAUUGACCAAGUAAAUGACUUUUUUGCCCUUAUAAUUUUCGCUUAUUCCAAAACUGUCCUCUUGUUGCAAUUUUGGAAUAAGUAUACAGCUAAAAAGGCAAAAUUACAAAAUUAGUAUACAACUAGAAAGCCAAAAAUAGCUUAUAUUUCAAAAUUGCACACUUUUAUUACUCGCAAAAAUAACCAAUCGAUGCCUCUCAAUCUUCACAUUUCUCUUGCCCAUCUUUACUGAUUUCAAACUCCAAUUUACACAAAUACUUAUAACGUUUGGAUAGAUGUGUCAUUUUCUACUACUAUUAUAUAAUGUCAAAUAUAAAAUAUUUCAUCCUUCUUAUAUCAUGAUAAAUUCAACAAUGCAAUAUAAGAAAAUUAAAAUAAUAUUUGAAAUAAAUAUUAUUAACAUAACAAUGAAGAAACAUAUUAUCUUUUAAUUGCACCUUAAUGAUACGAAAUCUUAACAUAACCAUGAAGAAACAAAUAAUCUUUUAAUAUAUAACUAUCUUUUUCAAACACAAAUAUUCAACACUUAAACUCUUAAAAAAAAAGGUUUUUUAGCGUACAAAUUAAUAGUCAUUCAUGAAAAUAUUUUUAAAAUAUAUAUAUUAAUUUUAAUUUAAAUUAUUUUAGCAAUAAAAAUUAAUAAUAAUCAACUCUAUAUAUUAUUAACAGCUAUAAGGGUAUUUUAGAUAUUUUGACCAAAAAAAGUGCUUAAAAGCAUUAUUUACCAAACACAUCAAUAACUUUUUUUCAGUUUCAGCACUUUUAUCCAAACACUUUUUAAGUGAAAUUAAUUCCCCUGGACUUUUUUAAAGUGAAAUUAAUUGCCCCUGGGACUUUUUUAAAGUGGAAUUAAUUGCCCCCCUCCCCCCGCAAAGUUAUACUCAGUUUUAACGUCGGAAGUAUAGUACACGCGCUUUGUCUUCUCCAUUUUAUCACUUUUCAACAUUUUUUCACCAUUAUAACCAUAUUAAAGAUUCCACAACUCAAAUUCCUUCUACAAAUCAAAUUCCAAAUGAUUUCAUUGAGUCAAUUACAAAUUUCAAGUCCAAAAAAUUGGAAAUUCAAAUUUCAAUUUUUGACUAUUGAACACAACCUGUGGCACAUUGAACGCAAUGAAACUGGAAAUUGGAAACUGGAAAUUGAAUUUGAAUUCAAGUAUGAAAUUGAAUUUGAAUUUGAAAUUAUUCAAAGUUUCAAAUUGAAAACUUUCUUCAAGAAUUAUUCAAAUUUGUUUCUAGUUUCGACGAAUAAUUUUUUUCCCUCUCUUGGUGAAUUUUUUAUUUUUAUUUUUUCCCUUAGUUGGUGGCUGAACAAUGUUGGUUGGUUGGUGGUGGCAAUGGUGGGUUAAAUUUUGUCAUUUUGAUGGAAUUGAAGAUGACCCAUUUGGGGUGUGUGUUGAAAUUGAAUUAAAUUGAUGUAAUUGAAUUGGGUGUGUUGAAUAUGACUCAUUUGGGUGUGUAUGUAUGUGAUGAAAUUGUGCUCAAUUUCAAUUCAACAAUAGAGCAAUCAUUGUUGAAGACUCAAUUGUUGGAGAGAUUAAAGAAAGAAGAUAGAAGAGAAGAGAGAAGAAAGAAAAAUAAAUAAAAAAUCUAAAAGUUUAAAAAAUUAGAAAAUUUGGGGGUUAUUUGGUAAAAAAAAUAGGAGUUUUUAACGUUUUUUAACAGUUUCACGCGCUCAAUGCGCGUGACUAACAUGUAAUGGACCAAGUGACAGAUAUAUGUCAUUAAAAUACGAAAAAAAAAGUCUGGGGGGUAAUAGGACCCCCGCAAAGUUCAGUAUACUCAACUGGUAAUCCGGUCAAACUUCAUGUAUUUUUGUGAGUAUUCUCCCUACUUUUAAAGAACUUUUUUUCAGCCUAUCCAACCGGGCUUUUUAAAAGGGACAGUUUUAUAAACUUUACAAAGUUAUCAUUUAUUUUUUAAAUUUCGUAUCUGGUCAAAUGGCGACACAUAAAAUAAGACGGGGGAGUAUGUGAAUUAAGUGUUUCUGAUACAACUAAAACGUGCCAAUGAUCUAUGGUGAUUAAUUGUUACCUCCUCUAGUUAUUAGGUACGAUCUAAAGGUGUCAAAUGGGUCGGGCCGGGCCAACCCGAAACUGGUCCUUCCAUUUUAAUCGGGUUGAGGGCCGGUUAAGGGCCGGUUUUGACGUUAACUAGGCCGGGCCGGGCCAAACAGUAAAAAAAUUAAAACCCACCCUAACCCGGCCCACUUAACCCAACCCGGUCAAAUCGAUCAAAACCCAGUCAAAUCCAUUUCAAAAAUAAAUAAAAAAUCCAAUAUACACUCCAAUAUACAAUAUAUAUUCUUAAAAAAAUAUAUAAACCGGGCCGGGCCAAACAGUAAAAAAAUUAAAACCCACCCUAACCCGGCCCACUUAACCCAACCCGGUCAAAUCGAUCAAAACCCAGUCAAAUCCAUUUCAAAAAUAAAUAAAAAAUCCAAUAUACACUCCAAUAUACAAUAUAUAUUCUUAAAAAAAUAUAUAAACAAUUACAUAUAUAUACGUACCAUUCAAUAUAUAAUUAUAUAUGACUAUAUGUACUACUUUAAAUAAAACAUAUGCUAUAAUAGUAUAAUAUAUAUAUAUACACACUACAAUAUAUAUAUAUAUACUAAUUUAUAAAACAUAUACACAUGUAUACGUUAAAUAUAUACUACUUUAGAAGAUAUAUACACAUAUAUAUGCACCAUUCAAUAUAUAUGUACUACUUUAAAUAAAAUAUAUACUACAAUAUACAUAUAUAUAUANNNNNNNNNNNNNNNNNNNNNNNNNNNNNNNNNNNNNNNNNNNNNNNNNNNNNNNNNNNNNNNNNNNNNNNNNNNNNNNNNNNNNNNNNNNNNNNNNNNNNNNNNNNNNNNNNNNNNNNNNNNNNNNNNNNNNNNNNNNNNNNNNNNNNNNNNNNNNNNNNNNNNNNNNNNNNNNNNNNNNNNNNNNNNNNNNNNNNNNNNNNNNNNNNNNNNNNNNNNNNNNNNNNNNNNNNNNNNNNNNNNNNNNNNNNNNNNNNNNNNNNNNNNNNNNNNNNNNNNNNNNNNNNNNNNNNNNNNNNNNNNNNNNNNNNNNNNNNNNNNNNNNNNNNNNNNNNNNNNNNNNNNNNNNNNNNNNNNNNNNNNNNNNNNNNNNNNNNNNNNNNNNNNNNNNNNNNNNNNNNNNNNNNNNNNNNNNNNNNNNNNNNNNNNNNNNNNNNNNNNNNNNNNNNNNNNNNNNNNNNNNNNNNNNNNNNNNNNNNNNNNNNNNNNNNNNNNNNNNNNNNNNNNNNNNNNNNNNNNNNNNNNNNNNNNNNNNNNNNNNNNNNNNNNNNNNNNNNNNNNNNNNNNNNNNNNNNNNNNNNNNNNNNNNNNNNNNNNNNNNNNNNNNNNNNNNNNNNNNNNNNNNNNNNNNNNNNNNNNNNNNNNNNNNNNNNNNNNNNNNNNNNNNNNNNNNNNNNNNNNNNNNNNNNNNNNNNNNNNNNNNNNNNNNNNNNNNNNNNNNNNNNNNNNNNNNNNNNNNNNNNNNNNNNNNNNNNNNNNNNNNNNNNNNNNNNNNNNNNNNNNNNNNNNNNNNNNNNNNNNNNNNNNNNNNNNNNNNNNNNNNNNNNNNNNNNNNNNNNNNNNNNNNNNNNNNNNNNNNNNNNNNNNNNNNNNNNNNNNNNNNNNNNNNNNNNNNNNNNNNNNNNNNNNNNNNNNNNNNNNNNNNNNNNNNNNNNNNNNNNNNNNNNNNNNNNNNNNNNNNNNNNNNNNNNNNNNNNNNNNNNNNNNNNNNNNNNNNNNNNNNNNNNNNNNNNNNNNNNNNNNNNNNNNNNNNNNNNNNNNNNNNNNNNNNNNNNNNNNNNNNNNNNNNNNNNNNNNNNNNNNNNNNNNNNNNNNNNNNNNNNNNNNNNNNNNNNNNNNNNNNNNNNNNNNNNNNNNNNNNNNNNNNNNNNNNNNNNNNNNNNNNNNNNNNNNNNNNNNNNNNNNNNNNNNNNNNNNNNNNNNNNNNNNNNNNNNNNNNNNNNNNNNNNNNNNNNNNNNNNNNNNNNNNNNNNNNNNNNNNNNNNNNNNNNNNNNNNNNNNNNNNNNNNNNNNNNNNNNNNNNNNNNNNNNNNNNNNNNNNNNNNNNNNNNNNNNNNNNNNNNNNNNNNNNNNNNNNNNNNNNNNNNNNNNNNNNNNNNNNNNNNNNNNNNNNNNNNNNNNNNNNNNNNNNNNNNNNNNNNNNNNNNNNNNNNNNNNNNNNNNNNNNNNNNNNNNNNNNNNNNNNNNNNNNNNNNNNNNNNNNNNNNNNNNNNNNNNNNNNNNNNNNNNNNNNNNNNNNNNNNNNNNNNNNNNNNNNNNNNNNNNNNNNNNNNNNNNNNNNNNNNNNNNNNNNNNNNNNNNNNNNNNNNNNNNNNNNNNNNNNNNNNNNNNNNNNNNNNNNNNNNNNNNNNNNNNNNNNNNNNNNNNNNNNNNNNNNNNNNNNNNNNNNNNNNNNNNNNNNNNNNNNNNNNNNNNNNNNNNNNNNNNNNNNNNNNNNNNNNNNNNNNNNNNNNNNNNNNNNNNNNNNNNNNNNNNNNNNNNNNNNNNNNNNNNNNNNNNNNNNNNNNNNNNNNNNNNNNNNNNNNNNNNNNNNNNNNNNNNNNNNNNNNNNNNNNNNNNNNNNNNNNNNNNNNNNNNNNNNNNNNNNNNNNNNNNNNNNNNNNNNNNNNNNNNNNNNNNNNNNNNNNNNNNNNNNNNNNNNNNNNNNNNNNNNNNNNNNNNNNNNNNNNNNNNNNNNNNNNNNNNNNNNNNNNNNNNNNNNNNNNNNNNNNNNNNNNNNNNNNNNNNNNNNNNNNNNNNNNNNNNNNNNNNNNNNNNNNNNNNNNNNNNNNNNNNNNNNNNNNNNNNNNNNNNNNNNNNNNNNNNNNNNNNNNNNNNNNNNNNNNNNNNNNNNNNNNNNNNNNNNNNNNNNNNNNNNNNNNNNNNNNNNNNNNNNNNNNNNNNNNNNNNNNNNNNNNNNNNNNNNNNNNNNNNNNNNNNNNNNNNNNNNNNNNNNNNNNNNNNNNNNNNNNNNNNNNNNNNNNNNNNNNNNNNNNNNNNNNNNNNNNNNNNNNNNNNNNNNNNNNNNNNNNNNNNNNNNNNNNNNNNNNNNNNNNNNNNNNNNNNNNNNNNNNNNNNNNNNNNNNNNNNNNNNNNNNNNNNNNNNNNNNNNNNNNNNNNNNNNNNNNNNNNNNNNNNNNNNNNNNNNNNNNNNNNNNNNNNNNNNNNNNNNNNNNNNNNNNNNNNNNNNNNNNNNNNNNNNNNNNNNNNNNNNNNNNNNNNNNNNNNNNNNNNNNNNNNNNNNNNNNNNNNNNNNNNNNNNNNNNNNNNNNNNNNNNNNNNNNNNNNNNNNNNNNNNNNNNNNNNNNNNNNNNNNNNNNNNNNNNNNNNNNNNNNNNNNNNNNNNNNNNNNNNNNNNNNNNNNNNNNNNNNNNNNNNNNNNNNNNNNNNNNNNNNNNNNNNNNNNNNNNNNNNNNNNNNNNNNNNNNNNNNNNNNNNNNNNNNNNNNNNNNNNNNNNNNNNNNNNNNNNNNNNNNNNNNNNNNNNNNNNNNNNNNNNNNNNNNNNNNNNNNNNNNNNNNNNNNNNNNNNNNNNNNNNNNNNNNNNNNNNNNNNNNNNNNNNNNNNNNNNNNNNNNNNNNNNNUUUUUAACAAUGUUGAUAAAUAAAAACAAUAUUGUGAAUGGAGUCUAAAAAUAUCAGACCGACAAGUAGUUCUAGGAAUACCAUUAAACAUAGGAUUAUAAAUUGCUUGUAUAUAACGAAUAAAGGCAUCAGAAGAAGGAAAACUAAAAGGCAAACAACCCACAACUACCUUUUUAGCUAUUUCUUCCAUGUCCCUCAAUUUAUUAUACUUAUUCGCUACGUGACCGGUUGCUGGGUCCAUUUUAGUUUGCGUUGACCCACCAACAUCCCCACCACCUUUUGCAAUAUUUAACUCUCUUUUGUGAUCUUCAGCUACAUGUCUCAUUAACGUACCCGUACCCCCUUGCUUGCCUCCACUUCUAUGCUUAUAUAUUUGUUGACAAAUAUUGCAUUGCACCUCAAUAUCUGAUAUACGUUCAAAAAAUUGNNNNNNNNNNNNNNNNNNNNNNNNNNNNNNNNNNNNNNNNNNNNNNNNNNNNNNNNNNNNNNNNNNNNNNNNNNNNNNNNNNNNCUGAGCUUCUACAUAAUCCAUAUCGUGAGCACCUAUACCUAUUUCUUCCUCAAAAGGUGUACCAAGCGGUACCGGAGGUGAAGGCACAGGGUAUAUCUACUAUUUGAACUACCUCUACAGCGAGUAAUUCUCUUUUUACUACCACUACCGCUUCCGGGACAAAAAAUUUUAACAUCUUUAGUAGCGAGGUUUCUUAAUUUAUCCAUAAUAUAAAUUAAAUUAAACUAAAAAUAUUCAAAAUACACAAAUAUAAUAAAAUUAAAUAUUAAACAAUUAAUACAAUAAAUAAAAAUUAAACGUAAGAGAUGGAACGACAAUACCAAAUUUUGGAAGUAUCCGAAGGUUGCGACUUUAGAAACUUCCGCUCGUACUUUGUAAACGAAAAAUUAAAAAAUUAAAGUGAACACUUUAAGAAAUUAAAUAUAUUGAAUAUUUGAGAAUUGAGAAUUGAGAUUUGAGAGAGAAUGAGAUUUGAGAGAGUGAAAAAUUGUGUGAAAAAUGAUUUAAAGUUGUAGGGUAUUUAUAGAUUUUUUUUUGAGAUUAAAAAAUAUUUUUUAAAGUUUUUUUUUUUUCUUAAUAAAUGGGCCCAAACUAGCCGUUUGGACCCAAAAACGGCUAUAUAGCCGUUGGGCCAACGGCUAGUUUGGCCCAAAAUCCAAAAUAUCUUUUUUUAAAAAAAAAAAAAAAAUUCUGGGCUGGGCCAGCCCGGUUAACCGGCGAGUCUGAACCGGGCUUGGUCCGGGCCGGGUUAGCCAGGCCCAUUUUAACAAAAUAACCGGCCCGGGACACAAAACCCUAAAGUCCUAGGGCUUACCGGGCCGGGUCAAACCGCGCUGGGUUAGGUAGUCGGGCCGGGUCGGACCGGAUCACUUGACACCCCUACCUUCAAUUGCUAGAAAUUUGUUUUCUUUUGUUUCUACUUGCUAGUGCAUUAAUUUUGGCAAGGUCAAAUGUACGUACAUGUAUAUAUAUAUAUGUGUGUAAGUUUGCCAGUGCAUUUUAAAAAAAUUAAAAUGUACGUACAUACGAUAACUUCGCUAAAAUCUUCAUCCAUCAUGUAUAGGGCUAUAGGCCAUACCAAGGCCUAAUAUAAGGGUAAGUCAAUAGCGAAUAAUCUUUUCUUCUUGCGGCCUCCUCGGCCUAUAUUUACGAAUAUAAAUAAAUCAAAUAAUUAAGUGGUCCUUGCACUUGCAGAUAAUUAAUAUUGAGCAAAGAGAUAGGUACGGUUAUGGAUAAAAAAGAGAUUAUAUCAAUUUAUGGCACAUGCAGAAAUUAAGUUAAUGUAUUCCUUCGCGCAAUAAAUACCGUCUGUAUCAACAUUAGAUAUUUGGACUUGAAGUUGCAAAAUUUUGUCCAAACAAAAGACAAAUUCUACAGUUCAUCAUAAUUUUUCCUGCAAUCAAUCGAUCUGUUUUGAGAUUUCCUUCAAUAUAGUGAGUUGUGAACCACUAAUACAAAGAGGACAUGCAUAUUUAUGUGUGCAUCCUGUUUUGAUGUGUAUAUCAAUUAAAGAAAAGGACAGCUUGAUGCACAAAAUAUCUGACAAUAAGAAUGUUGUUUGAGAGAUUGCCCAUGCAUUUUCAAAGAAGGGCCUUAUCCUUUUUGUCAAAUUUCAGUAGACCUAGAAUCACAUAUGAUAGAAGUCACUUUUUGGACAAGUAUGAGACCGUGCGUCAUUCAUCUUACUUGUUUUAUAUACACAUUGUAAGUUAAGAAUUGGAGAAACCCAUACCACAUCUCCUGUUUUCCUUAUACUUGACUUCUAACUUCCAUCAGUGUGAAGGAUGAGACCAUUGUUUAUUCUAAAAUAGGUUCAAUUAAAUUUGUACACGAGGUUUAGAGGGCACUUGGAUUGAAUUGAUGGAGAUGAAGAAAUUAAGAGACAACAAAUACUACAAACAAGAGAUGAGAGGUCAGAUAAAGCAAUUGGAUGUAUUUAAAUAAAUAAGAUCAAGUAUGUAAAGCUUAUUUAGCCUGAUUGGAUGGUAUCCUCAAUCGGACUUCAGGGAGAUUAUGUUAGUACAUUCUCCUUGCGAACGAGGACAUUUCAAAUAGGCAAUUUGUGGAUCACAAUUAGAAGGGCAAAAAUUUGGGUUCUUGGGAUCUGAUGUUCCUUCACAAAUGAAAGUUUCGUUAGCGCUGUAAUAAUUGCAUCCGUUAUUGCCAAAACAACAAUUGGUGCAUAUGGGGAUUUUCUGGACAUCCUUCCGAACGUGGGAAGCUUGCAUAGCCAAGAUUACCGCAUUCUUUAAUUUGGUAUACAAGCCUUGGCAUCAACAUGUUCCACCGUGCUUACAAGUAGAAACACUAAUCCUACAACAAAUAGAAGCUGUAUAUAUUAAGGAAAAACAUAACGUGUACUACUUGUGUAUGACAAUAAGUAAAAACAACAAAGAAAUAAUUAAAGAGUAAAAGGAGAAAGGAAAAUCUUAUAUACCAAGAACAAUAAGUAGGUAAGUAAGUUCACUAACUUCUUUCUGAACAGACAUUAUGGAUAAAUUAUUGUUUUGGGGGGUUAUUAAUUAGGAGUGUCUAUCCUCCACCUAUUUCUUUCAAACAAUGAACGAGAGGGAAAGGGAGGAGCUAACUAAAACUUCUUUCAAAUUUGAAAUAAAAGAAAAUAUCUGUGUGAAGGUACGUACGGUUGCUUCUUUAUUAGAGAGCUUAACACACUUGAACACAUAUUAUUUAAGUCCAAAAGGGCUCCAACGCCCAUAUUACAUAGAUUAGCAUGACACCGUUACGUUCAUGCUUUUAUUUUUCAUAUAGACGCCCAUGCGUAUUACGGAGAUUAGCAUGACACUGUUCAUGCUUUUACUUUUCAUACAGACAUAGUGAAUAGGCAAUAUUAGGAUCACAAUUCUUGGGGCAAGCUUUUGGGUGGUUGGGGUCAGACUCUCCCUCACAAAUGAAAGUCCCGUCAGCAUUGUAAUAGUUGCAACCCUUGAGGCCUGCACAACAAUUGGUGCAUAUGGGUUGUUCUGCACUUGCUUCGGAACGUGGACACUUUGAAUAGAAAAUUCUUGGAUCACAGUUCAGAGUGCAAGGUUUUGGGUUGUUGGGGUCAGACUCUCCUUCACAAAUGAAGGUCCCGUCAGCACUGUAAUAGUUGCAACCCUUACGACCUGCACAGCAAUUGGUGCAUAUGCGAUUUUCUGCGUUUCCUUCGGAACGUGGACACUUUGAAUAGAAAAUUCUUGGAUCACAGUUCAAAGUACAAGGUUUUGGGUUGUUGGGGUCAGACUCUCCUUCACAAAUGAAGGUCCCGUCAGCACUGUAAUAGUUGCAACCCUUACGACCUGCACAGCAAUUGGUGCAUAUGCGAUUUUCUGCGUUUCCUUCGGAACGUGGACACUUUGAAUAGAAAAUUCUUGGAUCACAGUUCAAAGUACAAGGUUUUGGGUUGUUGGGGUCAGACUCUCCUUCACAAAUGAAAGUCCCAUCAGCACUGUAAUAGUUGCAACCCUUACGGCCUGCACAACAAUUGGUGCAUAUGGGUUCUUUUGCGUUUCUUUGUGAACAAGCCUUGGCAUCAACAUGUAGAAGCAAUAUUCCUACAAUAAAUAUAUAAGCUAUAUAUAAAUAUUAAGAAUAAACAUAUCACCACUUCUGUGUAUCACUACUACAAAAUCAAAUAUUUUCCUACUAAAAUUUGCCGCAGAAAAAUAUACUUAAUAUUUAAAAUUAGGAAGCUUUCUAGUGUUUGAAUAUAAAACUGUUUCUCACCAUACAUUUUCCAGUAAUCAGUAAGGUGAGAAAUGGAUGGAAAAAUCAUGUUUUCCUCUAUCUCUAACAGUGUAUAUACUAAUGAAGAAAUUAAAUAGAAAAAGGAGAAAGGAAACUCUUACCAAGUACAAGUAGGGAAGCAAGGAAACUAACUUCUUUGGGAACAGCCAUAUUACUGAUGG